UUUGUGUUUGAGGUUAAUUCUGUCAUGCGAUUUUUCUUUUUGGAUCUUCUUCGUGGAAGAGGGAAUUGAAAUAUGUACGAAAAUGAGAGGAUGUAAGUUUUAAUUCUACUUAUUUUGAUAAAUUUUGCUUUGAGAACUAGUUUGUGCAUAAUUAAAAUACUAGCGAUUCCUCUUUGAGUUGCUGUCUCUGGGUUCUAUAGCUAUUUUUAACCAGGAAUAUAUGUUAUUGGCAAUCAAUGUUCAUUCACAUGGACCAAUAUAUCAGGACUGUUAUGAAACUAGUGGUAUUAUCAUAUGAAGCCAGGUAUAUAAGAAGGGAACAAGAAGUCAGGCUGCAGUUAAUGUCCUCAGCAUGUACUGUUGAUCUGGUGCUGGAGUUGGAAUCUGGAUGGUGAUUGGUGAUUCUCUUUUUAAUAGGUUUAUCUGUCAUAGGAUAGUACGUUAUUUGUUCGUACCAGUGAUCAAUUCUUUGUUUAGAUAUUACAUCUGGUGAUAUCUAGUUGAUCAUUCUGUUAUAUGCUUAACUGACCAAAUAAAAUGAUUAACUGUUUCCAGGGAUAUGGAUCUCCACAUUGUGAUAUAGGGGCCUAUGAUGUCCAACUUUAAAUACUUUUAUCUAUUGGUUAGUGUGAUUUUAUAGGCCAUGUUUUAGCAUGUUGAUUGUUGCAUAUUUUAAGUUAUAAUCCUCUAUAGGAUUAUAGGACAAAUAAGUAAAAAAAAAAAAGCAGAAGAGAUCAAAAUAUAAUGUUGCUUGAAUGUAACCUUAAACAAAGUAAACAUCAUAGUGUUGAAGUACUAAGGGCCUGCUUGGUAAUGUCAAUUCAUCUAUGUUUAGUGUUGAUUUAUUAAACCCCUGUUUCUUUCCUGUCUGUUUUACUAUUUGAGAGAUAUGAAUAUGUUCACUUUCUUUUUUCGUUUAGGAAAUCCUACUACGCAUUCCUGUUUCUUUCUUUGUAUAUUGUUUCUCAUGGUUCUCCUAUGGGAAAGCUUUCUUUCCUGAUUAUCGUUUGAUGGAAUUAUAUGAUAAAAGGUCUGACAAUUCGGUAUGAGAUUUAGGAACUGAAGAAAAUAAUUGAAGCUGGUCUUAGUGUACUUGUUAAAGUGGGAAUGGGCCUUCAAAGCUGGAAAUAUGCAUCUGUCAAGUUAGCUGACUGUUUUUGAUUUCUGGAGGCAGUGUUAUAUUGUAGGUAUGGUGGGCACGAGCUUGCUCUGCUAUGUAUCAUCUCUUGUUGAUCCAUGUCAAAAAAAGAAAUAUUGUUAUGAAUAGAUAUUCAUAGUAUGGAUGGAAGAGACCCAUUGUAUAAAGGUAUGAAUUCUUGUAUUCCGUUGAAACUUGCUGACAGAGUAUAUCUAGAAGAUGUGGUAAAGUAUGGGUUGAUUCUUUAAUCUGUUAGUGUAGAUGAUUGGUAUCAACCACUUGAGUGAUGGAUUGGUAUCAUUCAGUAUUGUCUGGACUUCAUCUUCUUUGUUGAGAUGUUUCAGAACCUAGGGUGAUUGAGACAUAGAAACUAGAGGUUCCAAGAUCUUACCUUCCCUGUAACUGAUCAGUCAUGGUUUAGCUUAAUGUUAGUACCAUCUCAAAAUAGGUUACAAUAUGGUACAAGGGUUAGAUACGCACCCAUACAAAUACAUGGUAUAGGUACUAUUCUGACUCCAAUAGCAUAUCGUAUGUCCUCACGGGAGUGUAUGAUACCUGAACAAUUACAUGACCUGUCCACUCUGGCAGCAACUACUUAUUGUUUGGCUGAUAUGUUUUAACGGUCAUUUAUUUAAUAUCUUGCAUGUGUAAACAGAAGGAAUUUAAAAGAUCUAAAGAUUUCCAAGCUUUAUACAUGGUAGUUAGACGGAUUGAUGCUCAAGAAUUGCUGUCUUGAUUCACUUUAUUUUAGACUGACUGUCUCCGGAGAUCAUGCAUGAACAAAUCCUCUUCUUCUGCAGUAUGUAUUUUCCUUCGUCAAGUAUCCCACUUUAGCUACCAAAAGUGGGAUACUUUUACGUAUCCUAAUUUUGUUUAUCUUUUUUAUAUAAACUACAGUUCAAUCGGUAUUCUAAUAGAAUGGACAAAAAUUGGAUAAAUAAGUUGAGAUCCAGUGCCGAAUAUUUGGAUGGAGUUCAGAAUUUCAUUAAGUUUGCUUUUGAAAAAUCUAAUAUGAACGGAAAGAUUUUAUGUCCAUGUCAAAAAUGUAUAAAUAGUUCUGCUCUUGAUCCAAAAAUUGUUGAAGAACAUUUGGUGUGGAAUGGUUUUCUAAAGGGUUAUACUGAAUGGGUACUUCAUGGAGAGUUCACACCUUUAUGUAACCAACCCUCCUAUCUAGAACACACUUUCAAUUUUGGAACCAGUGAUACGGAAAAAAAUUCUGUAGAAGAAAAUGAUAUAAGGGGCUUACUUAGAGAUGCUCUUGAACAUAGUAUUAGAAUUGUAAGAGAAGAUGAGCAUACAGUUAUUAAUCAGUCCAUGCAUGUUAAUAAAUCUAUACAUUCUGAUGACACAGCUCGUUAUGAUAACUUGGUAAAAGAUUGUGAUUAAGAACUAUAUCCGGGUUGUAAGAAUUUUACGAAGAUUUCUUUUUUUCUGUAUUUAUUACAUUUGAAAUAUUUGAAUGGAUGGUCCAGCAAGUCUUUUGUUGAAAAAAAAAAACUUAAAUGCACACGCGGCCAAAAUCUCGGGCCGCGUGCGCGUUGAGAAAAGGUAACGCCCAGCGGGCGUUACGCAUUUGAAAACGGACGCGUUUGAAAACGCGUCCGCAAAUGACCAAACGGCCCCUGUAAAAACCCCUAUUUAAACCCCUUGAUUUCAUCUCUUUGGAAGCACGAAAAAUUUCAGAAAAAUAGUGGAAAAAUUCUGGAAAAAUUCUUCUCCCUCUUAGCCACUUCCAAAUUUUAUUUUUACAUUUUUAUUCAGUUUAUUUAGUUCUUUUCAUUCCGUUCUUUGCUGGAUCUGCAAGUUCGAUCGGGUUCGCUUUGACUUCUUCCGAGACGUGCCGAAGAAGAAGUUGUAGGGUCGUCGUAUCUCCGAGAAGGAUUGCCGGGNNNNNNNNNNNNNNNNNNNNNNNNNNNNNNNNNNNNNNNNNNNNNNNNNNNNNNNNNNNNNNNNNNNNNNNNNNNNNNNNNNNNNNNNNNNNNNNNNNNNNNNNNNNNNNNNNNNNNNNNNNNNNNNNNNNNNNNNNNNNNNNAUUAAAAGCAUAGAUUUAUUUUGUACUAGAAUAUAUUUAUUUUGCAUUAAAAUAAAAUUAUUUGGAUGCCGAAUAAUAUGCAUGUAUAUUAUUCCCUUUAAGAUUUUCCAUUAAUUGAAUUAAUAGAUUUAUUGUUUAUUUAUAUGAUAUAUUGCUAACAAUCCAAAGAAGUAUUAAUUUUUUUUGUUAGUAAUAUAUAAUUAAUUAAAUUCUUUAUUACAAUUGUGGCAUAUUAGAUUUUAAUUGCAAUAAUUGUUUUUGCUAGCACAUCAUUAAUAAUAAAUUAUUCUAAAGAGUUAAUAAUUUGGUUAACCUCCAAGAGGUUUAUUAUACCUCCAUUUGGACUCCUCAAGGAGUAAUUUCCAGAUCCCAUUCAAACGAAAAAUUCGGAAAUUGGUUGAUAUAUAAUAAUUAAUCUAUUGAAUUGACUUAUUAGAUCUCAAUCAAUUAUUUUAAUAAAGGAAUAAAUCUUAUAAUUCAUUGAAUUGACUUAUUAGAUCUCAAUCAAUUAUUCUAAUAAAGAAAUAAAUCUUUUAAUUCAUUGAAUUGACAUCUUAAUUACAAUAAUUGAUUUGCUACAAAAUUAGUAAUUAAUUAUUCUAAUAAGAAAAUAAAUCAAUUCUACUAUAAAUAAUUUAUUAAAUUGAUAAAUUAGAUUUCAAUUACAAUAAUUGUUUUGCUAGAAUUAAAUUUAGUAAUCAAUUGUUACUAAUUCGGAAAGAUCAAACGAAAAAAAAAAUUCAAAAAUUAGUUAAUCCAUUUAAAUUUGCAUUUAGGUUAUUUUAAAUAUUGAAUUUGUGUGAUUUCUAGUGGUUAUAUCCACUAACUAAUAGUGUCUAAGAAAAGCUUGUCAAAAAGGCAUACGUGCCUAAGAAAGGCUGGUACUUAAGUGAGCCUAGUGCUCCACCACCGAUCUGGAGCUGAUCUGACUAUUAGUUUUUUUGGAUAUAUCAAUUAGACAUCCAAAGUUCAAUAUAAAUAUUAGUGCAAUCUUUUGAAAUAGAUUUUUUGCCUUCAAUCAGGUUUCUANNNNNNNNNNNNNNNNNNNNNNNNNNNNNNNNNNNNNNNNNNNNNNNNNNNNNNNNNNNNNNNNNNNNNNNNNNNNNNNNNNNNNNNNNNNNNNNNNNNNNNNNNNNNNNNNNNNNNNNNNNNNNNNNNNNNNNNNNNNNNNNNNNNNNNNNNNNNNNNNNNNNNNNNNNNNNNNNNNNNNNNNNNNNNNNNNNNNNNNNNNNNNNNNNNNNNNNNNNNNNNNNNNNNCCCUCUAGGACACCUGAUGAGAUAGAUUAUCAUUGUAUCCAUAGAAUCCUAGGUGCUCUUUCUGAGAGGCUGUAUGAUAUCUAUUACACAGCCAAGAGUGCCAAAGAACUCUAGGACACCCUAGAUAGCAAAUAUGGUCUUGAUGAUGCUGGGGUAAAGAGGUUCAAGGCCUCCGACUUCAAUAAGUUUAGGAUGGUGGACUCAAAGCCUAUGAAUGACCAAAUUCAUGAAUUUGAAAUCCUGAUCCACUAGCUUAGGGCUAAUGGAACCAAUUUGGAUGAAUCAUUCCAGGUAGCUUGUCUGAUAGAUAAACUACCUACUUUCUGGUCUGAUUUUGCCAAGACCCUGAGCCAUACCCAAGGAGUUCUCACCCUAACCCAAGUCUUAAACUCCAUUAGGAUUGAAGAGCAACAUAGGCUCAGAAAUAAUACCUCUACUGGACCCAAAAAUAAUGCAUAUAAUGUAGAGGCUCCUCCUAAGAAAAAUCAGAACCGACCCUUCCGUAAGAAUUUCAAGAAGAAACCCUACAACCCUAGAAACCCUAACCACUACUACAAUGGGAAGCCUAUUCAAUCCCAGGAGCAGAAGAAGAAGAAAGAGGAAGGUGGUGCUCAUUUCUGUUAUGUGUGUGGUCGGACCAACCAUUUGUCUCCCCAGUGCUUCUAUAAGAAAACUUCACCUCUUCAAUCUAAGAAGAAGGGUCCACACACAUCCAGUGCUCAAGUCAACAUGGUGACUUCCGGCGCUGGCUCCUCUGAGACAGCUUUCAGGUCUGUUUCCUUCACUCCUGAAGUUAACAUGACUUUACAAGCACUUGAUUGAUGGAUUGAUACCGGAGCUGGUAUUCAUAUUUGUUCGGAUCGCUCCUGGUUUUCUUCUUUCCAGAUCUCAAGUGGAGGAGCUGUGAUCAUGGCAAACAGCUCGGAGGCGCGUGUGUUAGGAGUAGGAUGUGUGGACUUAAAGCUUACAUCUGGAAAAGUCAUGUCCCUGCACGGCGUCCAACCUGUUCCAGUUGUUAGGAGAAAUCUCAUUAGUGGUUUCUUGCUUGUCCAGCAAGGCUUUCGUCUUGUUUUUGAGUCCAAUAAGGUUGUAAUUUCUCAUGGUGUAAUGUUUAUUGGAAAAGGAUUCCUUAGUGAAGGAUUGUUCAAGUUGAAUGUAAUAGCUCCUUCAAUAAAUAAAAAUUCUUUGAUUAUGAAUAUAGAACCCCCUUCUAUUUGGCAUGGUAGAUUAGGUCAUAUAAAUUAUAAUUCAAUUAAGCAACUUAUGAACCUAAAUCUAAUACCAAAAAGGAUCUCAAGAACCAUGAGAAAUGUCAAACUUGUGUAGAAGCCAAACUCCCUAGGAAGCCUUUUAAAUCUGUUAAUAGGGAUUCUGAUCUAUUAGAGUUGAUCCAUAGUGAUGUUUGUGACUCUGGUAGAACUUCUAGGGGAGGUAACAGAUACUUUGUAACAUUUAUAGAUGAUUUAUCGAAGUUCUGUUACAUCUACCUAAUUAAAACCAAGGAUGAAGUGCUCAGCAAAUUUAAAAUUUUUAAGAUCGAAGCUGAGAACCAACAGGAAAAGAAAAUUAAAAUCCUUAGAUCAGAUCGGGGAGGUGAAUAUACAUCAAAUGACAUAACUCAAUUUUGUGAAGAUCAUGGAAUCAUUCAUGAAGUGACUGCUCCCUAUUCUCCCCAAUCAAAUGGAGUAGCAGAAAGGAAAAAUAGGACUUUAAUGGAUAUGGUUAACUCCAUGCUUAUAAGCUCAGGAGUACCAGAGAAUUUGUGGGGGGAAGCUUUAGUUUUAGCCUGUUAUACCCUUAACAGGAUUCCCUAUAAAAAUAAUGAUCUAACCCCAUAUGAAGUUUGGAAAUAUAGAAAACCAAAUCUUAGCUAUUUGAAAGUAUGGGGGUGCUUGGCAAAAGUUAAAAUACCUGAUUUUAAGAGAAAGAAAAUAAGGCCUAAAACAGUGGAUGCUAUAUUCAUAAGUUAUGCAGCCAAUAGUAAUGCCAAUAGAUUUCUAGUGAUAAAUUCAGAAGUAAGUGAUAUUAGUAAUAACACCAUCAUAGAAGCCAGAGAUGCAACAUAUUUUGAAAACAUCUUUCCACUUCGGACUAGAGUAGAGAGCGGUAUAGCUAGUAGCUCUAGUAGAAUAAGGACAAGAGAAAUAGAAGUAGAAACUGAACCUAGGAGGAGUAAGAGAUCCAGGGUAGAGAAAACAUUUGGAGAUGACUUCUAUACUUUUCUUAUAGAAGACUCUCCAACUACCUUUGAGGAUGCAAUGAAAUCCUUAGAUUCACCUUUUUGGAGAGAAGCUGUGGACAAUGAGAUGCAAUCAAUUAUCCAAAAACAUACUUGGGAAUUGACUAUUUUCCUCCUGGUUGUAAAACUAUAGGGUGCAAAUGGAUCUUUAAGAAGAAACUUAGGCCUGAUGGCUCUGUAGAUAAAUUUAAGGCUAGAUUAGUUGCCAAGGAUUUUACUCAGAGACCUGGGGUAGAUUUCUUUGAUGUUUAUGCACCUGUAGCUAGAAUUACUACUAUUAGGGUCCUUAUAGCAUUAGCCUCCAUUCAUAGAUUAGUGAUUCAUCAGAUGGAUGUUAAGACAGCUUUUCUAAAUAGAGACUUAAAUGAAGAAAUUUAUAUGGACCAACUAGAGGGAUUUAAAACCUCAGGCCAAGAAAAUAAAGUUUGCAAACUAGUCAGAUCUCUUUAUGGUCUUAAACAAGCACCCAAGCAAUGGCACUUGAAAUUUGAUGAAACAAUAAUGACAUUUGGAUUUGAAAUCAAUAGCACAGACGAAUGUGUAUAUCAUAAGAGAGUUGGACACAAAUUUGUGAUCUUGUGCCUUUAUGUAGAUGAUAUACUGAUCUUUGGAACAGAUCUUCAGAUAAUUGAUGAAGUAAAACAAUUUUUUAAGUCAUAAGUUUGAUAUGAAAGACUUGGGACAAGCUGACUUAAUUUUACAUACCAAAAUAAUUAGAAGUGCAAAUAGUAUUGAGUUAUCCCAAAGUCAUUAUGUUGACAAAAUACUCAAUAAAUUUAAUUAUUCCGAUUGUCAGUCUGUCUCUACUCCAUUUGAUCCCUCUACACAUCUUAAGAAGAACUUAGGAACUCUUGUCCUUCAAAGUCUAUAUGCUCAAAUCAUAGGCUCACUAGGAUUCCUAACAAAUUACACCAGGCCAGACAUAGCAUAUGCUGUAAAUAGACUUAGCAGAUAUACUGUUAAUCCAAAUAGAGAUCACUGGACAGCAUUAGAAAAGAUCCUUAGGUAUCUUAAGGGUACCAAGUCCUAUAGAUUGCACUUUAGUGGAUUUCCAGCUGUUCUAGAAGGCUAUAGUGAUGCCAACUGGAUCAGCGACACCUUAGAUAUUAAAUCCACCACAGGAUAUGUCUUUCUUCUAGGAGGUGCUGCUGUGUCUUGGAAAUCCACCAAAUAAAUCUUAAUAUCUAGGAGUACCAUGGAGUCUGAACUGAUAGCUUUAGACACCACUAGCACUGAGGCUGAGUGGCUCAGAGAUCUACUAAUAGACCUUCCUGUAGAUGAGUCACCUUUACCACCUGUCUCCUUACAUUGUGACUGUAAAUCUGCAAUAGAUAAAUGUAACCAAGAAAAUGCCAAUGUAACAAUGAACAUGCACUUAAAAGUAUGUCAUAAAUCAUUAAGAUAUAAAUUAAAAAAUAAUGUUAUUGCCUUAAAUUUUGUAAAAUCAGAAAACAAUUUGGCCGAUCAGCUUACUAAAGGCUUGUCUAGAACAGUAGUUCUAGAGUCGUCGAGGGGGAUGGGGCUUAGCCCAUAAAGAUAGAUCACCACGGUGGGAACCCAACCUUAAAAGGUUCAAUGGGUAGAAACAAACCGGAGUGUGACUAAGAGGAGCACUAUUUCAUGUUUUCCUCAUCCCUAUGGUGCUAGUGCUCAUAAAAGCAAGCGGUAGGAUGAGUUCGUUUGUAUAACUCUUAAUGAGUCCGAGAUCCAAGAGGCAGGAGCUUCCUUGCUAGCUUCCUUAUUAGGACUCACCUAUAUGUGUAGUCGUGAGGCCGUGAUUAUGGAAAAUGGGUGAUUCCCUAAAAAGCACAUUAAAGAUAUCUGCGCAUGGCCAUAAAAGCGCAAUCCGCUUAGAACCCAAAUCGAGCUAUAUAUGUGUGCUGUUGAUUUAAUCUGACCCAUGGACCGAGGUUCAAAGUUAAGACCACAUUGGCUCCACAGAUGUAAUCAAUUGUCACUAAGUAAAGGUUCAAACCGAAAGAUACCUACACCUAUUACAUAAUAUAAGAUAUCCAUCAUUUUAUUUUGAUUUUAAAAUUAUUUAAAUUUUUGUGGAGGAUUGUUAGGAAAAAUUUAAAUGCGCAUGCGGCCCGAAAUUUGGCCACGUGCGCGUUUGAGAAAAAGAAAGGCCAGCGGGCAUUACGCGGACGCGUUUGAAAAUGCGUCUGCAAAAUUACCAUAUUGCCCCUGUGAAAAUCCCUAUAUAAACCCCUUGUUUUCAUCUCUUUGAAAAGCACGAAAAAUUUGAGAAAAAUAGUGAAAAAAAAUUCUAGAAAAAUUCUUCUCCCUCUUAGCCACUUCGAAAUUUUGUUUUUACAUUUUUAUUCAGUUUAUUUAGUUCUUUUCAUUCCGCUCUUUGCUGGAUCUGCAAGUCCGAUCGGGUUCGCUUUGACUUCUUCCGAGACGUGCCGAAGAAGAAGUUGUAGGGUCGUCGUAUCUCCGAGAAGGAUUGCCGGGUGACCCGUACGUGGAGGCAAAUACUUCUUUGGAACAGCGUCUAUGCGCUUCGACCUGCCUUCAAUCAGGCUACUUUCUUCUACUUUUAUUUUUAAUUUAAUAUUAGUAGAUUUGUAGGAUUUGAAAUUCUAUAAUAUAAAUUUAUUAAAUGCAUAGAUUUAUUUUGUGCUAGAAUAGAUUUAUUUUGCAUUGAAAUAGAAUUAUUUGGAUGCCGAAUAAUAUGCAUGUAUAUUAUUGCCUUUAAGAUUUUUCAUUAAUUAAAUUAAUAGAUUUAUUGUUUAUUUAUAUGAUAUAUUGCUAACAGCAAGUAGGUACAUGAUGUAUAUGACGAGAAGAAUCGUCCUACAUAGGAUUUCAUCAAUAAUGAUGACUUGCUUACACCAUUGUAGGGCCUAGUGAAUAGAUAAGAAGUUUUAGAUUUUCUUGGCGCCGCUAUUUUCAUUUCAUCUAUAGGAUGCUGAGAGGUAGAAUUCAUAUCAAAAUACGCCAUACCGAUUCGGUAUUGAUAUCCGGUACAGAUGGCGUACCAUACUAACACUGUGCUAGUGUGGCAUCGGUACGGAAUUCGGUGCCAAAACGAUGAAUUUUGAUCCAUAUUAUCCUAACCUGCUUCUGCUCGAAGGCAAACCACUCAUUUUCAUUGGCAAUACAAGCCACCUCUCUUUUGAAUUGCAACCACCGUUGAGUAUGUACCCUUGAAAUGUUCUAUUCCAAUCUAAUACCUCCCAUCUCAUUGGAUUUCAGACUCAUUCAUCUCCUCUUCUGCCUAAUUUCAUAACUGACUAAUUGCAAUAUCAUUUUAACAAAAUUUCCACUAACUCCAACAAUCAAAUUCAACAGGCUAAUAUAAAUCCACCCAAUUUAACCCAAUUUGCCAACCUGAACUAAUUCUCUCCUAAUUAUACAUUAAUUCCACAUUCUCUCUACCCAAUUGCUGAUUUGAGAGUCCAAUAAAACUUGCCUUGCCAAUUUGAUCAAUUCCCACACAUGAAAGAUGAUUGGAUUUGACUGGUUCACUUUCAAGUCUGAAUUUGACGACUUUUCAAACAUGGUCAUGGUCAUACAAGCUCAAAUUGCGACAAAUUUGAAUCGUAGACUGAUGCAGGAUAGUAAGGAGAGAAAAGAAGAGAGAAAAGGAAGAGAGGAGAAAUAGAGAAGAAGGAGAGAGGAGGACGGAGGAGGAGGAAGAAUCAGGCUUCUCACCUGGCCCUGCUCAGGAUUUCACAUGCUAAAGCUCAAAGAAGGAGAAUCAAUUUUCAUUCAUCAUAGCAUAACCCUAAACAAGUGCAUGGACCCAUAUAUAUAGGGUCACAAAUUAGCAAAAAAACCCAUGCAAAGAAAACAAUCCCAUAAAAACCCUAAAAUGACAAUAUACAAACAAGUCCCUAAAAAAAAUUAGUCUCACAAAAGACUCUCAAAAUAACGAAAUACCAAAAUAAUUCCUAAAGACUGUCAAAUAACAAAAUACCCUAAUAAGCCCAUAUAACAUAAAAUCACUGCAAAAUAAAAUCAAACUGGCUGGACCAUCCUCCUGCGACGAUCGUAAACCCGAAAGACGGGUAACCUGGAACUGAUGUCCGCACCAUAGACUCUCCUUAUAAUUCAGGUAUCCUGAUUAAAUUUUAUAUUCUUGAGCAUCUCCAUCCUCACCAAUUGAAAUAAUACCAAAAAGGCUUAAAAAUCUAUCCAAAAGUCACUAAACAUGGAAGAGUGUGAGAAUAACAAAUAUAUUUGAUCUUUCUAGCUUUUACUGACUGUCUCCUGAAGUUGAAUGGAAGGAAGCAUUUUUAGCCGUCAGAUUUAAAAAAAGAGCAUCCAAACCAUGAAACCAAGUCUUGAAACCAUGGUACCCUCCCUAGGGCAAACCUAGGAUGCCACUAAGCAUCAUCGCCACCUUUUUCCAAUUCAAAAAAUUUACACUUCACCAAUUGGUCUAACCCUCCUCCAACUACAAAUAGAUACCUGGAUAAAAGAAAUGAAACUCCUUUCUAAUUCCCUUCAACCAUUUUCUAACUCUUUGAUCUCUUAGUUUGAGCUAAAGUUUCCCUCAGCUUUAGCCCUCCCCUCUCUCACUCAAGUUGCAAUCACAUCAAAAGAAGGUUUAAAAACAAGGAUUAGCUCAACCUAGGAGAGAUCCCCAUAAACUCCUGCAAAUUCCUGCAAAUACUGUCAAAUUGGACAAGUUCCCCCCUUAGACUUAAAUAUGUUAGGCUGGAGAAGUUUCCUAAGCUUGAAAGAAAAAGGCCGGCAAGAUAAUUAUUUGACAAGUCUAAUAUUGCGAGUUUCAGCAAAUUUUGUAUUUAAUGAGGAAUUUAGCCAGUGAGAUUGCUGGAAGUUAACCUCAGCUUCAAGACUGGUAAGAUUGGCAAAACAUGGAGGGCCACAGCCAUUGCUCAAUAGGUCAGUCACUGAAAUUCUGGUGAGAUUAAUAAGGACAUUCAGACUACUAGAAAACCAAUUCUAUGAUAAACUGCGAAAAGUGAGGUUGGAAAAUGUAUCAAUGUCUGAUGGGAUGCUUCCAUAUAGUAAAUUACCACUGAGAUCAAAGAUGGAUGAGGUUAUGAAAGAAGGAGAAGCUAAAUCGUUGAGGCCCGUUUUUGGAUGGAUAAAUAUCAUGAAAAAGCUAGUCAACUUUUUCAUUGGACAACUUACUCUUAUUCUUAUACUUCUUUAAAUGAAAAAAUUAGCUUCCCAUGGAUAGCAUUUACUUAUAAAAUAGAAGGGUAAAUUAUCUUACCCAACUAGAAGAUGGGUAAGUCAUUCUGCCAUCAUACUUAAAAAAAAAUUUAUUUUAUUUCUAAAAUAUCCCUAACCCUAUAAUAAUAAUAUAAUAAUACAAUAUAUAUUAUAUUUUAUAAUAGAUAUUAUAUUAUAUAUUAUAAUAUGUUAUAAUAUAUAACAUUAUAUGUUCUCUAUAUUAUAUUAUUAUUAUAUAUAAUAAUAUUUAUAUAAUAAAAGAUAUUAUGGAAAAUACGGAAAUGCAAAAUAAUAUAGGCAAGAGAUUCCAGAGCCAUCUUAUAAUGCAUAAAAGAACAUAGGUAAAUAUUUUUCCAUCUAAAUGUUGUCUAAAUAUUGCCCGAGAAAUACUUCCCCAAAAAAAUGCAGAUUGCUGGAUAAGUUUUUUACCCUCCAAAGAAAAAAAAAACCGCGAGUGUCAUCAAGUCUAGAAGAUUGCAGACUUAUUCUGGUCACACUUUAGGCUUUGUUGCAUGCAAUACCAGUCCAGUCGCAUGGGUUUAUUGCUUCCACAUUGGUGGCUUUAUCAGGCAGCCUCCAUGAUUGAAGAAAUUAGCAUUAUUGAGACUAUUUUUCCACCCCAAGGAGGGCUCCUGCUUCUGAAUUCACUGAAGCUGGAUUCUCCAUUGCAGCCACGGUUAAGGACAAACCCAAAUUAGGCAUAGCCAGCCACAACAACAACAGCCAAAAAAAAAAAAGUAGUCUGUGGAAGAAUGGGAGCCUUGUGCCUCUGCCUUCAACCAUGCUAUAGCUGGCAUACCCACACAUCAUCAUCUACUUGUUGAAGGAGUCUUCAAGGAUAUGCUUUGGCUUGGUAUUUAUUUAGCCUCCAUUUGAAAUUCCAAUUGAAACAUAGACUAGUAUGUACAUAUUUGUUCGGUGGUAAGAGUCAACAAAUUAACAUUGGUCCUCUUCCAAGCCCAUCCCCCCAAUCAAACAUGACAUUUGUCUUCACAGGGGGAGAUGGUCCCUGGAAGGAGAACAAGAAAUAAAGAAAAUUUAGGGAGACAGAUGUAAGCAGUGUGCCAAUUGUUUAUUUCUUUAGUCUGCCAAAAAGAGACCCAAUUAAUUCCACCAAGCUUUUUGUGGACCUGGUUUGGGUUGCUCUUCAGUCUUUAUCUCCACUAGAAAUUUUAUAUCAAGAAACCAAUACUCUCCUCUCCCAUUUCAGGGAGGAAACCUCGCCAGGAUUUAAUUUCUGUUACUGCAGUAUUAAUGCAAAAUAAAUUCAUAAACAGGCUGCUUUUUCAUUACUCACUACUCUUUCUAUAGCCAAAUCUCUCAAUGCAGCAGAAAUUAAGAAGAAAAUCUUUUUCAAGGUUACUUGGUAAAUAUAGGCCUUCACUGCAUGUUUGUAGAAGCAUCACAUGAGAGACACCUUUUCAUCAUAAUCAUCUGCUUAACAAAAUUCAAUCUAUUUCACUGCUCCUCAAGAUGUAAUUGUAAAAAGCAGGAUAUAAUGUUGGGAUUUUCAAGCUAAAAUUGAAGCCUGAAUAGGUAAUGGAAACAAAACCUUAUUAAAUCAGCAAAAGAAUAUAUGGAGUCAUAAAGUUCACAAGCUCCAAGAUUGACGCAAAUUGAUAAGGUCUCAGAUCUCAAUUCUUUGAUUUAGGUACUCUGGACCACAAUGGAGGUAUUAUCUUGUAGUCUUUGACUUCCUCUUCCCCCUUACCGCUUUCACUUUCCUCUUCACCUAAAACAUCCUUGGAAAAUGCAUCAGGAUUUGCUUUGAUGCAAUCCUGCAAGGCAAUAAAGGGUUUCACACAGUCUGAUCCCUACAAAACCAAAACCAGAUCAUUAGACUUGCAUAGCAGUUCAAAAUCUUCCUUAGGACCGUUCACCGUAUUAAAUUAGUCCCACCUGAGAAAAUAAAAUCAAACAGCAUUCUGCCAAAGAGCUAGCUUAUUGAAUACACAGUAGCAAUAGUAAUAUUAACAGCAAUUUUAGAGUAAGCCAAGGAAAGAGAGAGAAGCAAUUGAAAAAUACAAAAACUCAUCAGAAUUCAGCAGUUUUUAGAUGAGGGUUACCUUCUCUUCAGCAGUGCUCUUAAUAAAGCAGACGAAAGCCUCUGUGAACUGAGUCCCACAAGGACCCUUUCUCAACUCUGCAACGCAUGGGCACUCCAGUGCUCUCUGUGCCUUCACAUCUAGUGACUACAAUAACCAAGAAACUCAGAUUUUAAUUGUCAAAAGAAUCAACAUAUAUUGAACAACAAAACUAAUAAAUAACUCGCCCAAAGGAAAAGAAAAAAGAAACUAAAAAACAAUGCCACCACAUCUAAAUUCAAGAACAAGUGUAACCUUGCCUAAAUCAUAAAAAAGAACAGACCUCGUUCUCAUUGCUGCCCAAAGCUGUAGCUUCUGCACAUUUCAAAACAUGCAAAGAUAUCAUGGGAGAAUUAAACCACUAAAAUGCAGGAAUCAAGCAUUCGCAUUCAACUCAAAGAAUAUAACUGAGAUUUGAAACAACUACCAUGCCUCCAGCCAUUAUUUUUUUAUUUUCUUAUUUAUUUAUUUAUCUCUAUGUAUUAAAAUAUUAAAUUAUAGAGGAAUAUGCCACUUUAGAUUUGGUCUGUCAAAUUUCGUCACCAAAAUACCCUUACUUCAGCCCCAUUUGGUAUUGUAGUUGGAGAGCCAAAGAGCUAAUUGGAAGGGUCGAAAUCUCUUUUGGAUGAUUUUGAGGUAUUUAGUAAAAAUUUUGAAACAACUUUUUGCCCGCUCCAAAAAUUGAAAAAAGUCUACUAGGGGAAAGCUCCAAUUUGAAGCUUUUGGGCAAAAGCUUUGCUUGAGAAAACACAGGAAGCUGUUUAAUUUUAAUGAAAAUUUUACAGAGAUGAAAAUGCCCAUGUUCAUCUGUCCCUUAUUCUUGGACCUCGAAAGCAGCCCUCCCCAAGUCGAUGCCUCUAAUCCCUUCACCUUGCCAUGCUCCAACCUAAAUCCUUCCUAGACCAUGUGGUGGGUGUCAUCAAGAUCAGCGAAUCUGGUGCCACUCCAACUUCUGAUGGUAGCUGCUCGAGGAGUUGAAGAAGAUUUGAGGUCUGGCGAGGCGGCAGAAGAAAACGAUGAAGAUAAGGGGGGGCUUCACGAUCUGGAGGGAGCAGGUUGACAAUGGACUUAGGAGCUUGUGGAGGCAGAAAUUGUUACUGGGGUUUGAGAACAUCAUCUGGUCAUCAUCGAAGACUGGGACAAAGGCCAGGAGGAUCAAGGGUUUUCUUCAUUUAUGCCAUGCUCAUGCCCCAUGGCGGAGAGAACAUUUUGGAGCGAGCCAGAGAUGAAAGAGCAAGGGUUUUGGUGAAGGAAAUUUUUCUUUUUUCUUAAUGAGUUUUUUGAAAGAGUUCUAGGUACGGAUGUUCAAAGGAUUCUGUUAAUAAUCAUAAAAUAUGUUAUGUAGAAGUAAGUAUAGUUGUAAUGGAAGAAUUAAGAUAGCACUUUUCAUAAAUCUGCCAAUUAGAGCAGAAUGGCAUUGUCUUCUUCUUCAAAAAAAAAAAAGCAUGAUGAUACUAAAAGUACACAGUAAUAUAUUUCUUUUUCCUCAAAAAUUAAAUAACUUAUGUGUUGCAAUUUAUAAUGAUAAUGAAGGUUCUUUGAAAAAACUCUAAUUACAUUAAAUAUAUAAGGAAUUUAAAUAGCAAUUGUAAUCAAAUUAUUACCUUUCUCCGGUAGUUGUUAAAGAAUGAAAAUAACAGUUGCUACUCCCAUUGUCUCACUAUAAUAGUCAGAAGUUAUUUUAUAUUUUUACUGCUUAUAGAAAUGAAAUUAUAUUUCUAAAUUUGAAGUUUAUACCAGCUAGAAAAUUUCCCAAAGGUAGCUUGAGCAAAUAAAACCAUUAUUUUUUUCUUACUUUUCAUUAUAUCUUAUCGUAACAAAGAACCUAUUUUUAUUUGCUGAUCCAAACAAAGUUGAUUGUGGUGUGGUGAAUUUGAAGUUUUGGGAUCAAAGAUGCUGAACAAAUAAUGUAUGAUACUACAAAUAAUUUAUAAAUUAAAAAGUGGUGUGAUGAAUUUGAUGUUUUGAGAUCGGAAUGACAAUUAUUUUUUAAUUAUAUUAUUUAGAUUAAAAUAUCAAGAUAAAUUAUUUAUAAAUUAACAAUACUUUCUUAAAGCACUUUCUUAGUUUGGUUAUCAAACAAAUGUUAAAGCACCAUGGCACUUUAGAAGUGUAGUUACCAACAAUAAACAUUUUUUUCUUAAAGGCUCUAUAUUACCCAAAACUCUACAAACAAAAGCUCUACUACCUACAACAAUACCAAACUGGGCCUUCCUCUCCUCAAGAAUAUCUACGAAAAAUACAUUUAAGAAGAUCCAUGUGUGCCCGUAUUUAUUUCUUCAGCUCUAAUUCUUACUUGCAUUGUUUCUCCAUCUCUUGUUCAUGUCCCCAAAUAACUGGACUCUUUUUAAAAUUUAAAAACAAAAAUUACUCUUUAUCCAAUCCACAUAUUCUAUCUCUAUUAUCCCCAAUUCUUUGAACCUUUUUUUAAUAAUUUAUUUUUUAUAUGUGGUACAUGUGUUCAUUGCGAGUUUAUUUUUGUAAGUUCUAGGACUUACCAACCAUCCAGUUGACACCCUCCUGAUUUCAACAAACUUGAACCCUAAAACCAGUCAAUUUCUGCUGCAUUCAAGUAUCCAGCAGUUGGUGGAAACACAUUUUCUGCUGCAUUUGGUUCAUGGAAAAAAGAAAGGUAGUAUAGGAAUAGUAAUCCCUCUUGGAAUAGUCAUUAUUUUGCCGUUUGAUUGAAUCUUUUAUUCUUGGCUGAAAAAACCUUAGCGUUGGGUAUUAUUUUUGUCCAUACAAAAAGGGAAGAAUUAAUUUUCAGGCCUUUAUUCCAGGAAAUAGUUAUUCCAUCCCCACCUUGGAAAAUCUAUUCCAGAAAUAAGCAUGCUCGACCAUUUAAAGCUGUUUCUCAUGAAUAAGACUGACUCCAAGCCUUAUUCCCACUUUACUCCCGAACCAAAUGCAGCUAAAUAAAACUUGUUUCGUGAUUUAACAAAGACAAAUUUCCUCCAUCAUAACCUACCACUCUUUUUUAAUCAAAAAAAGUUAGUUUUGAAAGCCCAUUUCUCUGAGCAGUUUAAAUUUCCUCCAUCAGUCAAAGAUUAAAUUCCUCCAUCUCUAGAAUUGCAAAAACUCUGCUUUAAUUUUAAUUUUUUGUUCUUUUACAAUCUAAAUUUUUCCAGCAAGCAUUAAUGGGUGAACACCCACUCCUCUAACAUAAACUGGUUUCGUUGUUCAAAUUAAAAUACCAUCAAUUGAUGACUUUAACGAUCCGGUCCUCGCAUUACUACGAGCUAAUAACGGGAGGCAAAUAAACUUCAAAAGGUUUGGCGCACGAACCUGCGACUAGAUCUUCAAAGGAAGGCGCCGGUGAUGGAGAGGGUUGGGUUGCAGGUUGAGAUGUCUGAUCUCCUUCUGAUGAGGAGGCAUCGCUCUGAGUUUGGCCCAUCAAGAGCAGGAACAGGAAGGUUGCUUGGGAUUUCUCUCCAAGGAUCAGAAGUGAAAGGGAAGCGCUUUUCUCUCUCCCUCUCGCUUUCUAUUAUUUCCGCUCUCGCUGGGAAGGGCUUUUAUCCCCACCGCGGUGCAAAACGAGCAUCCAGCGGUCCCUGGAAGGUCAAAGGUGGGUAGCGGAGCGGGAAUAGCAAGCCAACAGGGCCGUUUUUGGUUUGUAGCACCGAGUCCAAUCGGAUGGGCCGAAGUUCUGUGCCCAAAGAAAAAAAACUCGUUCGUUUGGUUCGGAUUGUCGCAGCUUUUGGUGAAUUACUCGGUUACGCAAGUUCCACCAUUGUUGAAUCAAUUUCCAAAUUGGCACAUGCAACUCAUGUAAAAAAAAGGAUCUCAUUGCGAUAUAUAUUUUUAUAAUAUUUUGUUCAAAACUAUAGAGUCAAAUUCUUUGUGGUGCGCUGUUUACAGCGCAUAUAGUUGUAUAGUCAUGAUAGCCCCCUUGACAUAUGAUCACAGAGACGGACAGCUAUCAAAUAUUCAAAGACGAUGCAUCAUGUAUAGCAUGCAAUCUCGUAUAACGUGCUAUGUCCAACAACCAUCAGUCUUUAUAAUUUGAUCAAGACUAUAUAGUGCAAAACAUAUUCCAUAAAUAGCGUAUAGUGAUCUAAAUUGGAUCACCGAAGUAAUUUUAGAUCACUCGCGAUCCUUAUCCUCAAUGAUUUAAGAACACCAUAUUUGGCAUGCUAUGUUCUACUGAUCAGAGAUUCUCAAGCAUCUACGAGUAAUCUGUUUGGUAUUGCAUGGAAAUCCAAGAACACUCACCAUAUAAUACUAAAAUUAUCACUGAUAUAUUCUGAAAAAAUAUAAUAUUAGUUAUAUAAAAUUUAGUAUAAUAAAAAUUAAAUAUAUUAUCUAUAUAUUAAUUAUUAAUAUAUUUUAAUUAUUAAUGCUACAAGAUAUAAUAAUUAUUAUUAUAGAAUUAAUAUUUUUAUUGAUACUUAUAGUAUAUUUCUAAUACUAAUAAUUAUUUUGAUUAAAAAAUAAGAUAAAUAGAAGUAAAAUAUCAAAUAUUUUCAUUAUAUAAAUAUAAAGUACAAUAUAUUUCUACUAUAAUUUAAAAUAUUAUUAAAUGAUUAAUAAUAUAAUAGAAUAUAAUAUAUCAUAAAUAUAAUACUGAUAUAAUAUAUUAACACUAUGUUAAUAAAUCAAUUUUUUCUAUUAGACUGAACGUCAUUUUUAUUCUCGACUUUUAACCAAAAUCACUACUCUGGAACGGUCUUGAAUUUCUAACCUGAAAGACAGACAUUCCGUCACUGAGCUGGGUGGGGAUUUGAGAGGUGAGAGUGAUUUGGGAUCACUGGAUCACCAUGGUCAAUCAAACACAGUAACCUCAUCACCUCCGUCUAUAUUGUCUUUGAUCUUGAGGUGAUCAUCCCAUAUCAAAUGUCUCCUAGAGGAUCCUAACCCAAAAAUAUAAUAGAAUCCAAGUUCUAAAUUAAUAGCUGAUCUGGUGUUCUUACCAACUGAUUGGAAGAGAGCCGAUCUCCUCCUACUUUGAUCCUAUCCCAGUCGUCUGUCCUCUGGUACCAGUCCGGCCUUGUUCCCGCCAGCACCAACUCCCUCGUGGCCGCGAUCGCAACAUUCACUUUAUCCUCCAACUUCCCAUCCUCGUCAUUGACUCCUUAAUUUUGGCCUCAUUGCCGCCAAAUCAACCUUCAAAAUAAUACAUGAUACAGUAGAGAUGCGGAAGCGAUGGUUCAAAAGGAGAAAGCCAUAGGCCACGCCCUUAGCCGUGGUCAGGGGGGAAGAAGUCUUUUUCGUGCCAUAAUUAUGCUACAAAGAAGAUCCUAAAGAGUGCAUUACUUCUACGACUACUAUAUCUCGUAGAUGUUGACUUUGUAAUUUGCGGUCACGACUCCAAACUAAUAGCAGUCAGAGAUCGGCGUAUCUUUGACACGUUUGUCUCCGAAGCAGAGCUGAGGGCCGCUUAGAAAGGUCUUAUCUAUGUGAGGCUUGUUUGGAAGUGGAUAGCAUCCACUUCGAAGAAAAUUCUGCCACGGUGAUCUAGUGGAUAUUCGGGGUCUGCAUAAGACCGGUGACAGACACCUGUUGCUACUGGAUAUCCGCAGGCUGUCGAGAGGUUGUGGCACAUUUCAAGCCACUAUCGGCUACCGAGAGACAAACAUGGCUGCCGACUGAGUUGCCACUUUCGUUGCACUGCAUUCGAGUGGGAUCUUCUAGAAAACCCACGAGGCUGCCCAUUUUCUUAAGGUACCUGUCAAUCACACUAUUACUAUGAAACAACAUUUGCCAAUCAAUUACUAAACCAGCUUGGUUGUUGGCUUAAUAUAAAGGCCCAGUCUUACAAGGAAAAAAAAAUCUAUAUGAAAUUUUAAUAGCACAUGAAUCAAAAGUAUUAAAAUCAGCAUUAUAACAUAAAGCAAAAAUAUUCCAUCAAAAAAAAAGAAAACACAAAAACAAAGAAAAAAGUAACAAAUUAAAAUAAUAUGAAUCUACAAACUAAAAUAAUAAUAAUAAAAAAUCCACAACAUCAACAUCACUACGCUCAUAACCCCACUUCGCCAUAUGCGACAAUUCCUUAGCAUCCACUUUCCAUUGAACGACUUAACAAUGGAAAAUUCUCUUAUUAAAUUUAUCUCCGUGGGAACAUGACCAUAAAAAUAUUGUCUAGUAACUAACUAAAUAUAAUAUCUAAGAUUCUGAUCUAACAAUAACUGGCUUUGAUACAUAAAAUAUGCGUUCUGUUUUGUAAAAUUAGAUUUUUGAUUCUAUAUAUUCGAGUAAGGAAAGAGAAAUUACAACCUAUGAACCAAUCUAGAUCCUAUUCUGAAUAAGAAAUUUCAUUUUGGCAAAAGAACCCAUUCACAAAGUGAGUCCUCCAAACUCCACAAAACCCUAGCACGAGAAGUGGGAGAGGCCUUAACUUCUCUCAUUCAGUUUUAUUUCAUGCCUUUUCUUGAAAAAUAAACCCCUCCCUAUUAAAUGAAAUAUGGAGAAACAAUUACAUGAAAACUACUCAAGUUUAAAAAAGGUUUUUCUUUAUAAAAUCUCUCUAAUAAUUAGUCAUGAUCAAUAGGAUCAUGACAAUCCACUGGAUGUGUGUGUGUGUAAAUAUAUGUAUAUGUAUAUAUACCCACAUGUGUACACACACAUAUCUAUAUAUGUUUGUAUGCAUAUAUGUAUAUGAUUAUACCAUAUUUACCCGCCAAAAAUUAUUUUUUAGAUUUAUAUAUCCCUCAAAUCAUCUUAAAUUUUACAAUAAUGUCUCCUCCUUCAGUUUUUUGCUGAAAUUGUUAUGGAAAAAUACAACUCUUUGUACUAUAAGUUAAAUUGUAGAUCUUUUCAAGGGUAUUUAUAGAAGAAGCUAAUAAUGUUAUUUUAUACUUAAAAUAGUUAAAUAUUUAGUCAAAAACCUAAUGAGAGGAUAUUUAUACUCUUUGUAGUUUUUUUUUUUGAGAAAAGAACUAAGCUAUAUCAUAGCAUUCUCCUGAAAAUUUGACAAACCCCCUCUCUCUGAACUCUAGAAUUCUUUCAAAACUCUUAAGAAAAAACCAAAAGAAAGGAUUUGAAAAACUUAGGGGCAGUUAUUAUAAGGGUGUCAACCGGGUCGGGUUCGUCCGAAUAUGAGUUGAGUCGAAUGCGGAUCAGCUCAAAAAUUUGUCAGCUUAAAUCUAACCUUUUUUAUUAAGUACGUAAUUCAACCCCACUCACAUAACUCGUUUUAAAUGGGUUAAGCAGGUCGGGAUAUAAAUUGCUACCCUAAUCAUAUAUUAAGGAUGGCAAUAAGUCGAGCCAUGGUGGGAUUCUAGUUAAAAACUUAAAAACUCCCAACUCAAACCCAACCAAUUUAUAAUCGGCUAAAACAUGCAAUCCCAUACUCAUACAUAAACUCUGUUGACCCUAAAGGGUUGAUUUUGAUGAUACAAAACAGUUGAAUCAAAAAGUUGACUAAUCUAUUACUUUGAGUUUAAUUGAUUAAUUUUAAAAAGCAAAGAAGAAAGCCUCUCCACAUCAAGAAGUUAAACUCCAAAAGGCUAUGAAAUAUUUUUUGGAAGUUCACAUACAAGCACAAAAAAUUUUAUCCUGAACUACCUCAAGAGUCGACCCCAUGCUUGUAACGAGUUGACCCCAAGCCUGCAAUAAGUCGACCCCGACACACUGUCACUAACCGAUAUAUCUUAAUGAGCCGACUCCAAUAGAUCGCGAGUCGACCUUAGAAUAGUCUCAGAGGAUAGACAAAAAGACAAGAAAUUCAUCACAUUGAUGAGUCGACCCAUGAAGUACUCGAGUCAACUCUAGCUUAGCAAGAGUCGACCCCAGAGUGGCCACAGAGAAAAGAAAGAGUUGAAAAAAUUAUCGCAUUGGCUUGUCGACCUAUGAAAUUCAUAAGCCGACUCCAGUCAAACUAGAGUCGACCCUAAAAUGGCCACAGUGGAAAGACAAAAAGCAGUGAAACUUAAUCCAUUAAAGAGUCAACCUCUAAAAGCAACGAGUCAACCCCAGUCAUUUGACGAGUCGACCCCUUUACACCUGAGAGCAGUAACAGUUAGUUUUUAUGUGAAUCAGAAUGGCUAUUUUAUUCUCACAACGGCUCUAUUAAUUAUUUAACGACUAGAAAAGUAUGCCAACCAUAUCCAAAGAGUAUAAAUAUAUGGGAACACCAAAGAAAAAGACGAGCUCAAGCACUACAAAGAAAAAUUCACUAGAGCGAGAAAAGAAAAGCAGGAAGAAAGAGCCUCAAAAAGAAUAUCAUUCAAGAGCUUUCCUUGCGAGCUGAAAGAUCACAUCUUCAACAUCAGAGAGUUGGCAAAGCGCCUUCAAAAGCAAUCAAAGUCAACCAAAAGUGUCUAGCUCCAUUUACUAUUUUGUAUUUAUUGUCUUAGAGUUGUAUUCAUUAUGCUUAAUUUUUUUUCAUUCUUUACUAUAACAAGUUUCAAGAAUUUAAACUUGGGGAAAAGGUCCAUCCAAACCUGAAAUUGGAUUGUAAAGGUUUUGGUUGAUUGCCUGAAAAAAUCAAUUGGAUUGACUGUGAAUCUGAAAAAUAAUCAGUGUAGGUUUUGAUCGAUUUUCUAAAAAAAUCAACUAGGUUGAUUGUCAAUCCGAAAAACAAUCGAUUAAAGAUUUUGGUUGAUCGCUUGAGCAAAUCAACUAGGUUUGGUUGUUAACUCAGAAAACAACUAUGAUGUAAUAACUCGAAAAUUUUCAAGAAUGAAGUAUUAGGGAGUGGAUGUAGGUGUGGGAUUGGCAUCGAAUCACUAUAAAUCUCUAGUAUUUGCAUUGCGUGAUCUAUUUACUUUUAUCUUCAGCAUAUUUAAUUAUUAGUUUAAAGUUAAAGUUUGUAUUUCUCUAUUAAACAUUUAAUUCCGCUGCAUUCAGUUAGAAUUUUUUGAAAAAUCCAAUUCACCCCCUCCCCCCCUUUGGCUGCAUAGCUGGGCAACAAACCUGAACCCAGCUACCAACCUAUUAGGAUAAUAAUGGAUCAGAUCAUGUUGGGCUCAAGUCAGAAAUAUCUCAACGAAACCCAUAAUUGAAUGAGAAGAGCUAAUCCAUUCAUGUAAACAAAUGAUUGAAAUCAUUUGCUUACAAGGUUGACAAGAAUGAAAGCCUUGAGAAAAAUAGAUGUGCUAUAAAAAACAGGAGGGUGAAAUCAUUACAAUGUAUAGUUUGAGGUGUGCUAAAUAAUGGCAGCAAUAAAAAAUACUUAUCAAAGUCAAAGCAAGUGAUGUAUAGAAGAUCAACAUCACAAUCUGCCCCACUUGAUGGAAAAAGAUAUCUAUCAUUAUUUACCCCUAAUAAUAGAUUAUUCAUAAGCUACUUUCAACUAUGCAAUUGGUGGGGAGGAUGGAGAAGGCGAUGUAUUGGAGGAGCGGGCAAGGGGGGUUGAACAGACAAGGAGACUGGAGCGAACAAAGGGGAGGAAGUAGCCAUGGAUGAGGUGGGCAUGGAAGAUGAUUUGGACAUGUUAUGUCUAGUAAGCCUCUACAAGAGCUAACUAUCCUAAUCGGAGCAAAUGCUAUUACCCUUGGUCCACAAUCAAUGGCAUAUUUGGCUAUGUCUCACCAUGCCUCGACUUAAGUCAUAGGUACUAAGGUUUCAAAUCCCAUGAGAUAGAGAUGUCUCAGUUUCUCCAUCGAAUAGGAUGCCCCACUAUACUGCCCCGUUCCGGCGGCGGUCUUGAUCAUACAUCCUGAUAGAUAUCCUUCUGUCUCCCCCCUUUUUUUUUUUUCUUUUUUUCUUUUUUCUUUUCUUCUUUGUUUUUUCUUCUACCUUCCUUUCUUUCCUUUCUUUUCUAUCCUUUAUUUCUUUUUANNNNNNNNNNNNNNUUCUUCUUUCUUCUUUUCUUUUUCCUUCUUACCUUACUUUCUUUCUUUUCUUCUUCCUUUCUUUCUUUCUUUCCUUUUCUUCUUCUGCUUUCCUUUCAUUUUUCUUUUUUUCAUUCUUUUCUUUCUUUUUCUGCUUUCCUUUCAUUUUUUUCGUUCUUUUCUUUCUUUUCUCUUUCUUCUUCUCUUCCUACCGAAUAGGUUUUGAAAUUUCGACUCUAUUCCAGUCCCGUUUCUCACAUUAAUGAAACAGGAUGGCUAGGAUGCCCCCCAUCCUAUGAGGACUUCAAACUUUGACAUGUACCACUUUCACCAUCAACCUACAACAACCUAUCCUUCAUCUUAUGUCAGGACUCUUGGUAAACCACCACCACCCAUUGAAAAAGCAAAUUCCUUCCAUGUAAGCCCUCAAAUCCACUUUCUAUUUCACUUGCAUGUGAAGUCCCAUUGUCCUUUUCCUUCUCUUGCUGAAACUUGGAAAACAAAUAUACCAAAAACCAUUUCUUUCAAACCCCUCUCUAAAAACCUCAUUAGCGCUCUCCCUUUAAAAAGGUAGCUUGCUUUUGGUAUGGUGAUUUGGCCCAUCUCCAAAGUGCUACAAACAACAUUGUGUGGUUCUCCAAGCAAGAAGUCAGAUGUGCCUCAAAGACUUGCCAAGCCUCUCCAAACCCCUCUCAUCCACUAGAAUCGAUGAUCGUUGGAGACCAGCCUAAGCUUAAGCCUUUAUACCAAUCAACACCAAAAAUCAGGACCCUCUUCAAUGAUUCCUUAUGUACAUGUAUUGUCAAAGAUCUCCAGUUCCCAUCUUGCUUCGAAAUCUCCUCUCAAGUUAUGAUUGGAGGCUGCAAUAUUUUGGGUUUAAUUAGUUUCUUGUUACAUUCCCCACCAGAGGGCAGGUGGCUGGGCACAUCUCAAAAGAGUGAUCCAAAUAUGCCACUUUUUCUUAGUGUGACACCAUGGUCAAUGAGGAAUGGUGGUUGACCAUAUAGGCUUAACCAUUAUACAAUGCUUCAAUUUUUAGGGUUGCCAAAAUUCUAUCAUAGUGCAAAUUACAUCCAUAGAUCAAUCGCUGCAUUGUUACUAAGCAAGGUUGUUGUUAAGAUCAUUAGAAAAAUAGGAGACUAGAUCCAUGUAAAUAUAGCCUGAAACAAGGGAACCCCUUGUCCCCGUUACUUUUAAUUCUUGCAAUCAAUUCUCUUAAUAAAAUAUUCAACAAAGUUGCUUUAUCUAAGAUAUAUAUAUAUAGACGUGCUCAUUGGGCAAGCCGGGCGAGGUUCGGGCUAGACCCAACACUAUGUAUAAACAAAAUUAGCUAGGCCUGUGCCUGGUAGCUUCGAGCUUCUAUCUGGGCUUGGCCUUGGGCUUUCACCAAUUAACUAUGAGCAGAUAGAUUCAUACGGAGCCUACAUCGGCGACGGGGGCAGAGAGUACAGAAAUAAAUACCUAUCAAAAGUAGAGGUUGAGGGCCAUAUAUUGGUGAUGGUGGAGAGGGCGAGGGGUGGUGGUGGAAAGACGAGUAAAUUUCGACAUUGGUGAGGUUGGAAGGGAGAGCGAUGGUGGAGAAGCCCUAGGGCCUACCUAGAGUAGAUGUUCGAUUAGGAGGUGUAGGAGCGUUGCAUGGUUAUGUGGUGCUUGUCGUCCUCCUUGAUCUCCACCUCAGCCUCAAACGAACUUGAACCCGACUUGUUUAAAGGAUGGGCUCAAAAAUAAAGCCUGGUUCGGCCCUUUGGGCUUAAAAAUCAGGCCCAAUCCCAUACAAAAUGAUCCGAGUUCAAGCAAGCCAUUCGAUAUUUGAGCACAUCUAGAUAUAUGUUGGAUUGGGCAACCCCUAGACUAUUGGUGGCACUAAAAUUUGACAAUAUACUGACGAUAUUCUCAUCUUUGUCUAGGCUAGGAAGGAUUACAUAUGUGUUCUGAAGUUAAUACUAUAUUAUUUCAAACUUGUGACAUGAUUGACUAUGAACUUUCACAAAAUCUCAAUUUUCCUAGUUGGCAUUGAGAGUGUAGACAAACCUCGAUUUACUGCUCAGCUAAAUUGCAAGAUUCCCCUCUCUCCUUCACUCGCCAUAGUUGAUUGGAUGCCAUUGAUUUGAAAAGCAUACUUUUAUAUCUGGGAGAUAGAUUUAUCCUUGUUAAUGCCAUUCUAUCUAUACUUCCAUAGUACUUUAUGUCGCUCUAUAAAAUACCUGAGUGGAUGGUCAAAAGAAUUGAUAAAUUCAAAUGUGCAUCCACACCAUCCAAUGCGAUCUCAUGCGUUGUAACUAGAAACUAUAUGCUUAGAAAAAGGAGGGCUCAAUGUUUAAGAUUUGAGGCUAAUUAAUCAAUUAAUACUAGCACAAUGGCGCUAGCAUUAUUUGAAAAAGGUAAAACCCUUGGAGAGAACAAAGCCAUUGAGUCAACCUACUGGAUAGAAUCUAAAAAGGAGAACCUCACCUUAGAAAGAUAUGGUUGCUUCCUUAACCCCACCAUGGAACAAAACCAUCAGAUCGAAAAUGACCCAAGUGCACUCUUCUGAGAAGAUUUAUGGAUUAGAGAACAACCUCUAUGUAAUUGUUUUCGUAAUCUUUGCAAUUGUUAUUAUGACACCCAGCCUAGCUAAUAAGAAACUAGGCCUAGUCUACUUGAUCGGCCCAGAUGUACAAGUUAGAGUAGGAGACGGAAAAGAAAUAUAAUCAUGUUCAACUUGGAAUAGAAAACGGACUCUUCCAUCUCGAUUUUCUACGAGAGCUAGAAAACCUAGCAUCUAAUGGCUAUUUAAAGAACCCGCACCCCUUGUUGCCUCACCACCGACAGGUUUUGCUGAUCACCACCGCUAAACUAUCGUUGGUUUCUUCAUAUUCUCUUUUUGACUUCCAACGGUCUUGGCUCACGGUGCUCAUCGGAGAUUUCAGUUGAGUGCUCGCUGAAGUUUCGGUUCUGAGGGAAAUUUUCAAAAUUAUUUAAAUAUAUAGGUUGGUUUCGCUCGCAUGGUAAGUAAUAUAACCGUUUUUCUAAAUUUAUUGACAAAUUAUAAUAUUAUUAUAUUAAAAAAUUUGAAUCAUACUAUUCAUGAUGCAUGAUUUUGAUGAAUGAUAUUUUAUUAUUUAAUAUACUUUAUUUUAAAAUAUCACGAUGAUGCAUGGUUGGAAAUAUUGAACUCAUUUGAUUGAUUUCAAUAUCGAAUGAUUUCUUGUAUUUUUGUUGAACUGAGAUAUGAACUGCAUGAUUGUUUCAAACUCUCAGCCUGACUAUGCUAAGAACCCUACCAAUGGGGGCUAAUAUGUUGGCACUUGAUUUAUCAUGAAAGGUUUAUGUCGCAAGAAGAUGCACGACAUACUACAAGUAGUUACGUGGUCCUGAAAGACUUUGCUGCAAGAAAAUGUUUGGCACACCCCAAGAAGAUACGCGGUAUCAUGACCCUACCAUAUAAAAAAUAUAGUCAUAGCUCACGAUUGACGAGAUAAACUUGAUGUUUUGAAAGAAUUUGGAUUUAUGAAUAAAAUUUGAUUUUGAGAAAGAUUGAAUUUGGCAUGCAUAAUGUUUUGAUGAUAUUUCAUAUUAUGGCUUGGUUUGAAUUAAUGAAUUCUAUAUACUUAUUUCUAUAAAUAAUUAUUUAACUUAUUACCUGAUUAAACUAAUUAAAGUAUUCAUUACUUACUAGGUUGUUUACCUCAUUAUUAUAUAUCUUACUAUUUUUACAUAUUUGAGAACUAAGAUGGCCUAGGAUUAUUCUCGGGAGAGAGACCAGAGACCGAAUUCGAUAUCUUUAAUUUAUAUAGGAUUUGAUUAUAAGAUUAUUUGAAUAUUGUUGGUUUGUUGAGAUAUUAAAAAUUUAGUUUUAAUUAUUUAAAUUAAAAUUUGAAUAUUAAUUAAUUAAAUUUAUUUUAUUAUUUGUUUUAUGUUACCGGAAUGAGAUGCCUUAUAGAGAAAAUUUAUAGCAUCACUGUUCCGCAGCUAUUCUCAAAUUAUGGCUAUUAAGAACACUCUGAGCUCCUCUAGUUUUUGUUGUUCUAGUUGACCUCUGCCUGAUCGUAACUCCACUCGUGCUCCUGAUCCUUUUCUUGUGGUGUUUCAUUUUAUAUACCAUUUUCUUCCAAUAAAAUAGGUGCAUGCGCCACCCUUUUCAUCCAAAAAUAAAAUAAAAUAAAAUAUUAAUUAUUAAACUUAGGAGUAAUGGCAUAUUUCAUAAAUAGCUAUUAGUAUUCAUGAAAAUCUUAUUUUUAUGAUUUAAUUAUAAGAAUAUUUUUAAUAAAAUAGCAUGAACAAAGAACAAUCAAAAUUCGUUUUUUUUUUUUUGAAUUUUUGGAAGUGAUAUGGAUAUUUUUUUAAAAUAAUUUUAAAAUAUCGUACUUGUGUGAAACGAGUUUCACCCAUCGCCCAUCGCCCAUCGCCCAUCCGUCGCGUACCCAAGAAAACCCUUUCUUCGCCCCCCCGCUAUCCCCUCUCUUCUUUCCUGUCCUCCCACGAGAAAAGACAAGUAGGAGGAGGAAGAGAAAGAAGCCGGCGGCUAAUGGAUCUCGCCCUCCUAACCCCCGCCCCUGCCACCCCUUCUCGCCACCUCCUCUUCCGCCCCUCCAACCCCGCGACCCUCCUCCUCCGCCUCCCUCCCCGCCGCCAUCGCGCCCGCCGCCGCUGCCGGGUCUCCGUUCCCCAGAGCUCCGCCUCCGAUGCCGCCGCCCCCGCCACCACUCCCGCCGUAGGCCCGUCGAUCUUCGGAGGCCGCCGGGAGCUCUCUGGACCCCAGGUGCUUGUCGACGCCCUGCCCCCUCCGGCUAGGGUGGCGAGCUCCGUCGUCGUCGCUGCCGCCGCUCUGGCGGCAGGGUACGGUCUAGGUCUUCGCUUUGUAGGCAGCCGGGUUGCGGCGCUCGGUGGGGCAGCCGCUCUUGGAGCGGCCGGUGGUGCGGUGGUCUAUGCUCUCAAUUCGAGCGUUCCGGAGGUUGCUGCAGUGAAUUUGCACAAUCUUGUGGCUAGUUAUGAUGAUCCGACGGCAGUAUCGAAGGAGGACGUGGAAGCUGUCGCCAAAAAGUUAGUUGGUUUAGUUUUGUUCCCGGAAAGUUUGAUUUUUUUUUCAUCAGAUCGUUUAGUUGUUUCCGUUUGAGGGACGAUAAACAGAUAAAGUAGAUUGCUCGAGGGUGAACUUGAUUGGCUUCUGGCUCCAGUGUUUUGGGUUGGCAGUGAAUAGGGUUUAACGAUCUAGGAAUUUUGGCUUGUUAGUGGUUUCUGGAUACCAAGGAAACGGGACCAAGAAGAAUGCAGUUGGUUUCAGUUAGUGUUCUAUUUAAGCUAUUCGUUAUUUGGGCGAUGAUUGAUGAGUGUAUCUCUCAUUUCAAAUUCAAAUUAUAUUUAAAACGAGAGGUUCUGAUUGGUUUUUAAGUUAUUACAUGGCUGUUAACUUUUUGUAUUAUUUAUGGUUUAACCUUGUUUUAUUUCCCCCCUCUGGAUUUUACUUUGCAGAUAUGGUGUUAGCAGACAGGAUAACGCCUUCAAAGCCGAGCUCUGUGAUUUGUAUAGCCGGUGAGCAGUAUAAUGAAUACAAAAUCAUUUGAAUAUAUAUGCAUCUACAUUUUAUUCCUUUCAUUAUUGCUUUGGUGCUGGCGAAAGUGCUAGUUUUUGACAGUGCUACAGAUAUCCAAAAAUAUGGGAUAACACAGAGUAAACUUACGUGGAUAUAUUUGUUGUCUCUAAGCAUGUAUACCUGGCUAUGUUUUGUCUGGCACUGAUUUACUUUGAUACCAUUUGUGUGUCAUGUGCAAAUAUGAAGUUUAUACUGAUAUUCAGGUAUGCUUCUUAUGAAAUACUAAAGACACAUAUAAAGUUAUGGAACAUCUUUCAUUGAUUAUGCCAAAUCGUGGUGAUAAAGUUAAUGCACAAAAAGCACAAUUGCUAAUACAUUUGAACUCUUAAGUGAAGGUCAUCUAUGCUGCAGAAGUAUGUUCAGAAUGUUUCUUAAUCAUAUUUUAUGCUACUUGAUGAUGUUUUUCUAAUCUAGUUGGUCAGAGUCAGUAAUAUGAAGACAUAGUAAAAAUGCUUGGAUAACAGUUGCAAUCAUUUGCGGAAGAGUUAUAGUGGCAGCAUAUUGCCUUACUCUACAUGCUUAUAAUAAUCAUCUUAUUCAUCUAGUAAAUUUGUUUUAAGGGACUACCAAUACUUAAUUGGUAGUAUCUCUAAAAAUUUCGGAAUACUUCCAUUGACAAGCGCCUAUUAUAGUCUUUUGUCUCUAACAAUUUAUUAUCUGUCCCUUUUAGUGCCUUCUGGUUUUAUGAAGAACUGAUUGAAUAGUUGAAGAAGUUUAGCCACGAAGAUCAAGUACCUUUAUUCAUUAACUCAGUUGAUAAAUUUUUUUCUUCGUACUUCAUUCAGGUUUGUGUCUUCAGUUCUUCCACCUGGUGGUGAAAAUCUUAAGGGACACGAGGUUGAGACAAUCAUCAAAUUUAAAGAAGCUCUUGGAAUUGAUGAUCCAGAUGCAGCAUCUGUUCAUAUAGAGGUAAAAUUCUUCUGUUUAGUUAUUUGCUUGAUGAGUUGUUUCUACUUAUCAUACUUAAUUAAGCACAUUAUAAGUUUUUGUUUCUUCUUCUUGUUACUCUUUUUGCUUUCAAAUUUUGCAGAUCGGAAGGCAUAUUUUCAGGCAAAGGCUGGAAACAGGAGAUUGCGAGGCUAAUAUAGAGCAACGCCGGGUAAGUUAUGCAUACUUUGAAUCUACUGGGCAAAACAAUCCACAUCUGUUUAGGUCUUUGAAGGAACAAGCACUGGCUGACAACUAUAAAGUGACUUUGCUGCACAGGCCUUUCAAAAGCUCAUCUAUGUUUCAACACUUGUAUUUGGGGAAGCGUCAAAAUUCCUUUUGCCUUGGAAGCGUCUUUUCCAAGUCACUGAUGCUCAGGUAUUUAAAUCUUGUUGGUGCUUAGUAUUUUAUCUUGUAAUCAGUCCAUUCAUUUCCUGUAGUAAAAGGAUGGGCAGGGAUGGGUUGAGCUUUAAGUUCUAGGUUCACUUGAAGACAAAAACGUGGAGCAAUACCAGCUGGUCACGGUACACAUGCACUCUUAGUGAAACCAGAAAAUUCUGACCACUUGACACUGCAGCUUUUAUGUAACAUAUCCAGGCCUCACACAUUGGGCAUAUGACAUGUAGGUGCCACAGUGUGUGUAGAGAGGGUAGCCAUGCUGGACGACCAGAUGCCUUGAUGUUUUUUUCUCCCUCGCUUAGCAUUUGAGUUAAAGGAAGAAAAUAUACCUUUUUGGAUCUUAUUUGGUGAAAUCUUGAUGACUGUGUAUCACAACUCUCUUGAAUAAUUUAUGGAGCAAUUGAUUUGAGUAGACAUGUUUUAUUCCAAGUUCUUGCAUCAUAAAGAUCUUGCAUUUGAUAGAAUUUCCCUAUUACUUCUCCAUUUUGUGAGUUUUCAGUCUACAUAUUUUGAAUUACAUAGGUUGUUGAAGUUUCAUGUUUCGAUAGUUUAUUUGUGGAUAUAUUUUCUCUCCAUUCAAUACAACUUCAUUUUGUUACUGGGUUUCUGAAGAUUUCAGUAACCCAGCUCUUGACGAAACAUGCAAUCUAGUUAUCAAUCUCACAAAAUUAGUUAUUCAAUGCCAGGUUGAUAUUGCUGUGCGAGACAAUGCUCAGAGAUUGUAUGCUUUAAAGCUAAAGCUGAUCGGAAGAGGUGAUGCACGAAUUUUCUUUCUGUAUCUUUACUUAAAACUGGUGAUACAAUUAGAUUGUUAUCACAAUUUUUUAAGUCUUCCUAAUUUGGAUAUAUCACCAUGUCAUCUAUAGGUCUAGUCCUAUAUGCCUGUAAAGAUAUAGGUUACAAAGUGUGCCAUUACUAGAAAUACUAGACUAACUGUUAAUGUUGGCAUAGCAUCAAUUAUUGGAGCCACCUACUAUAUCUCCCUGUGAUAACUUUUCUCUUCAAACUUUUGUGCCAAAGGAAAUAGUCGUGAAGCCAAGGAUUGAAGUUUUGGGCAAAAAGAUCAAUCUUGCCUUACAUGUUCUGAAACUAACUGAAAUUCUUGGUUGUUCAAGUUUGGUAGGUUUUAGUGUGGUAUCAGCCUAAACUAAUCGAAAAUGCUGUUUUUUUUCUUAAUACAGAUAUCAAAUAUCAUUUUAUGGUCAUAUUUCUUAAUACGGAUAUCAAAUAUCAUUUUAUGGUCAUAUUUUAACUAUAGGGUCGUUUUGAGGUCAUUUCUUUUACUUCUUUAAUUCAACUAUAUAGUGCCCAUUUUGGAUCAUUUUUUUCAUUUUUGAAUUAAAAUUCAAAAGAUGCUUAUGGAGGAUAGGUCUAACCUAUGAGGAACAAGUACUUUCUUAACACUAAUCAUAUACUUUAGAACUUUUUUUUAAAAAAAAAGAAGCAUGUGGCAGUUUGGAUAUAAGAAGUUUAAUAGAAAGGUAGCUUUUCCUAGAUAUAAGAGAAUCUUUUGGGUCUUUAAGAUAAUUUUUUUGAAGAGAAGUAGGAGAAAAAGUCCCAAAUGCACAAGAUUUGAGGUUGGAUCUGCUGGAUCUCAGUUUAAAUCCUCAAGACAUGUGUAUGAGAUAUAUCUAGUCAUUACCUUUUCAUAUUUAGUAGAUUUAACUGAGUCUUUCGUACUUAAACUGAUUGUACUUAUUAUAUCAUGUUUCAUAUUCAUAUGUAAUUAUAUGUUACUGCAUUUUUCGGUGUUCAGGAAUUAGAUUAUUAGUAAAGACUAACUCUAUAAUGUUUCAUUGGUCUUCAAAAGGUCUUAUGACUCUUCAUAUUUUAAGCAUUCAGCCCCAAACAAGAAACCAUAGAUUUGAUGAUUAAAAUAAUAUAAUAUGUUUUAAAACUAUGUAGCAUUUACUUCCUUGGCUUGGCUUAUUUUGCUUUUCUCUUAUUUUUCUUUGUUUUCCUAUUUCUUCAUUUUUUGAACAGAACUUGAGCUGAAAUCAAAACCUAGCAAACCUAACUAAAACCAAAACAAAAGCUGAGCUUUCAAACCUUGUGCAGAACGUUCUACCUACCUGAGAAGGAAUCUGCCUUUCAAACAUAUGUUUUGUUGGUUGUGAGACAAGUGUCUUGCUAGGGUACCUCUUCUCAAGCUCUUAUUACUAUUUUAAUUUUUAGUGUUUGUGUCAAAUCUGCUCGCCCAUGACAUGACUAGGAGAUACUGUACUGACAAAACAACACUGGUUCUUGGUAAAAGAAUUUGUUGCUGUAAUUACUAAUGGGUAAAAUUUUCAUUUGAGUUAAAAUAAGAGCUUAUUGUGGAUUAUAUCUGUUCUGUAUGUUUUGAGAUGCUAAGUUUUUCAAAAUUUAAUUUCUCCUUAGAGAUAAUAUGUCGAAAAUGAGCUAAAAGUAGACUAUAAGUGGAAAUUUUUGUUUAUUAGUCUAAUUAUCGAAUGUUCACUAUUAAUUGCACCUCUUUUUAGUUUUAAAUUAAUAUUAGACCUUUGGUUUCUUUGGGUGGACAUCCAAAAUCCAAGUAGAUUUCUCUUUGUUCCAAUGAGACUAUUGACAAUGAGUUUAAUUCAGUUUGCAUGCUAUGGUUGAUUGAUUAUUCUAUCUUUUUUCAGACAUUGAUGUGAACCAGCUUAUUGAUCUGAGGAAAUCACAGCUUCUAUAUAGACUCUCUGAUGAGGUAUGUGCACCUUUCACUUUUUUUUUUUUUGCUGUUUUUACUGUAUUGUUAUGAACAUCUGACAGUCCAUGAAGUAAUUUAUAUUCUAACGUAUCUUUGGUUUGUCAUAUUGUUGGCCUCUAGAUCAAUUUUUGAAAUAUUCCUGUUAUGGUGAUAUAGUUGAGAAGUAAUCAAGGUUUUAGGGAGAUACAAAAUUUCAGGUGAGAAAUGCACAAAAGUGGGGAAUUUAACAGAUAUACGAGAACUGUAAUGGUCUAUGGAUAGUUUACAAACCACCUUUUCAAGUUUGCUAGGUUUUUUCUCAAAAGUUUGUCAGUUGUUUCUCCAUGAAUCUAGGACACAUUCAGGGAGUUAAUUUUAUACUAAAGAAAGGAUUAUCUGUACCAUAUUACAGAAAGGGAAUUUUCAAUUUUGAUAUUCCUUGCCGGAUUCCAUUUGUCAACUUUUUUGGACCAAAAUAAUGUUCAAUUAAUUUAAAAGUACCUUACUUUGCAAAAAAAAUUCUAUUUGGAACCGUAUUCCCAUUAUUAUUUCCUAAAGAAUCAAUUCCUUGAUACUGACUUUUCUUUUCCCUGAGUUCUUUCCAAACAAACUAGCUUUCUACUUCUAAUCCCUAAUAGACUACAAUAAAUAGUGGAUGUAAUGUAUCUCCUAAUUUGUUAUAGUAAAUGGAUUUUUAUACGAGUGUCUCAUUGUUGAGAUCUUGUAAUAGAAACUGGAUAAUUAGAGUUUGUGGAACCUGGCAUAAAUUGGGCUAUGAAUGUGAUUAUAUUGAUGGCUGUGGAGCAUUAAAUUUUUGAAUAAUUUAUUAUGUUUUAUAUGUUUAUAUUACUAGUUUCAUAUGCCAAAACGACCUGCAUAAAAUGGAAGGCAUUUGCUGAUUUUGAGAUUUUUUUAUUUCUUAAGCAUAGAAGGGGAUGAUUCGAAAUGGAACUAAAGGCUUCAGUAGUCCAGCCUGCUGGACUCCAACUAUUUCCUUUUAAGAAUGGCACCAUGGGAGGCUUCUAGAGUUCAGCACAUGCUGGACUCUCAGCAUUUAUAUUUUUAGUGUUGCAAUCAUGGGAGACCCCAGAUUCUCACACGCAUUCUGCAAUUGGGGCCUUCCCAUUAUGUAUUAGUAGAUUUUAUAUUUUCAUCUACUUUUUUAUGCUUUCUAUAAUGAAUUUUUAUUUUAAAUUACUUUUUGUUUAUUUAUUUUAUAAUUUUGUCUUCUUUAUUUUGUUCUACAAUUUUUUUAUUUUAUGAAAUAUAUAUAUUUCUUCUUUAUUGGGGUUAAGUCAUAUCUAUUUCUUUAAUAUAUAUUGCAUGUGCCCUUCUAUAGUUUAAGAUUAUAAGUUGUGGACCUAUUUGACAUUGGUUACUUGCAGAUUGCUUCUGAGAUGUUGAGGGAACACACAAGAAAAUUGAUUGAAGAAAAUAUUUCAGUGGCGCUUGGCAUGUUGAAAUCUCGGACAAAAGCAAUGUACAACAUCUGUUCUUAAUCUAUAAUAACAUUGGGAUUUGAAUUCUUGUCAAAUUUGCUUAUCUUUAUCAGUUUGCUGACUAAGAAUGUUCUUUAUUUUAUAGUUAAAUGUCUUGUCACUUUGUUUCAAACAAUGCAUGGUCAUAUGUGUAAAGUCUCAUUAGGAAGUCAAAUUCUAUAUUUUCUAGUAAUCAUGAUGAUUUUGUUAAGGUAGCUAAGCCAGUAAACACUCCAUGUACAUGUCUAUCAAUUAGAGCAAUACAUUAGAAGGAAUUACCUAAACUUCAUUUAUUGACAGAGAGUCUCUUAAGCAUAUGAAUAAGUUCAACAUAAUACAAAACCACAACUGCCAAGUUCUAGAUCAAUUAGACUUAAUAUUAAUGCAGGGAUUUAAUUGAAACAAGUUUUUAAAUUAAAAUUUGUAACAAUGUCACUUUUUACCAAGAUUGUUAACCAGAGAUGAAAGUCAUCUUCUGGGCAAUUCUAAUGGGUUGUGGAUGCGUUGCAUCUGAAGAUUAAAAUGAACUAGCAAUAUGUAUUGUUUCAGUAUUAUACAAAUGAUGAAGUUUAAUACAUUUAACAGUGACUUCGUAUGCUUUUAAUGAACGAGUAAGUACUUUAAUCUUAUCAAAAUUUGGGAGCAAAUGUCUUAAAUAUUGGGAUGAGAUAUCUCUUAGAACAUCUAGGGAAACCAAACACCAAAAUAUUUUUUCCAGUUCAAAUAGGUCUCCAGAAAAUCCCUAAUUUUCUUCGCUCAACAAUCUCUCAUUAUCACAAAAUGAUUGACACUAUUUUUUCUUAAGACAAUUUUAAAAAUAUACUCUAUCAAUUGAAACAGUGGUCAUCAAUAUCAUUUUGGUGUACAUAUGUAAUUUAAACCUUCUUUUAGAACUGACAAUAAAGAAAAGUUUUGGCUGUUAGAACCUUCUUCAGACAGUAAUUUAUUGAUAUUCUUUUUUUAUGAAACCAACCAAUAAAGAUACUUUCUCUCGAUUAGGCUUAGCAUUUAGGUUUAUUUAGUUUCAACUUUAUGGUUUAGUGUUAAUUUAUAAUUUGCUGUUUGUUAGAGGUUAGUCUUUUUAAUCAUUUCUCUGUAUUUUCAGGUUUUAUGGGGUUUGAACUUGAGUUUUGUUGUUCGUAAGUAGGUUAUUUUGCUGGAAAUUGGUGUCUACAUGAUGGAGUGAGAUUUAGGAGUUUGGGUGGAUAUUUUUUGUAGUGUUGGUCCACUUUCUUAAGUCAUAAGGGCCCCAAGUUAUGCUCGUUUUUGAUGGAACAGCUAGCCAGCAUACAUGGGUCCCAUUUGAAGAAAAGAAUGGUGUCAGAUAUGUAUCUGCUCUCCCUUCUUAUCUCAUUGAGAGAGCGGGACUAUGAACCUCUCUUAGGUGCCUAAAAGAAAGAAACUAAUGAGAAAAUAGAGGAGAUAAAGGAUAUGAGAAAGAAAAGGAAAGCAGCGUGUUCACCCGUUUGCCCUUGAUUGCUGUACCACCUCUUUCUGUCAUGCUUGAUCUUCUUUUGUCCAUGUUAACCUUUGAUUAGUCAUCCAGCGAUUUAUUCUUAAUUCCAAUCUUCUUCCCAUCCUCCUUUAUUUUUAAUACUUUUUCUGUGCUCUUCUUUCAAGUAGGCUUGAGGGUUGGGAUCAUGAUUAAGGUGACCCUGAGAGUGUAGAUUCAUUAUCUUUACAGAUUUUUGCAAAUCUAAAAUUAAAUCAGAUUUAGGUUAAAAAUUUUGAGUUUUCAAAUAAUUUUAGACCACAAAGUGUAAAACUGAUGAUCAUGUUUUUUUUUUACACUCUUACAUAGUUCCAAGCUUUGGGGGAUUGGUAGCAAUAACCACCUGGUGCAAAGAGGGUCCAUUUGGAAAGAUGCAUAGGAUCAUUAGGGAACAUGGAGAAUUGGAGAUUCUUUUUGGUGCAUGGAGCUCAAACGAUCCUUUGAUUGGUGGAAUUUCAGAUUGUUGGGUCCCAUGUGUUGACUGCCAAAAGAGUAGGGGCAUUCUUUAUUGCAAGGACGAUAAGGUAGUUGGAUAUCCUUUGGCAUUAUGACCUGCAACUUUUGUUUCAUUUUGAAAUAAGUGGUGUCAUUAAAUAUCCCAUGUGACAACUGGCCACCAUAGUGAUGUAAUUUUAUUUUCACUCAGCAACUUUCCAUCCGUGGGUUUUCGUUACAUUUUGUAAUUGCUGCUUUAAUAGUGCUUUGAUGACUUUGAAUCUUAUAAUUGAGGAGUUCAUCUCGCAGAGGAUAUUAGAAGGGUUGCCGCCUUUCAUCAUGGACAUUCAAAUAUUCCUUUUGCAGAAUCCUUGUCUCUUAGAGUUUGGGGUGGAGAUGACUUUAUAUUCAUCCUUAAUUCUAUUGAAAAACUUUUUAGUCCAAACUCCAUAAUGGACUUAUUAAUAUGCCUUUUGCUAUUAUAUCGGUGAUCUUGAUUGUUGGUCAUUCUGAAUCUUACACAGGCCAGAGGUCAAAUAAUGAGAUCAUUCUUCAGAGAAGAUAAGAAGCUCCACUUGUAUGAUUCAUAUGCUUGGACUUUUGAGCCUAAUCUCUCUCUCUCUCUCUCUGUGUGUGUGUGUGUGUGUCUCUCUCUCUCUCUCUCUCUCUCUCUCUCUCUCUUCUUGAUAAGGGGAAGGAGACAAUGCUGAUUUUAUUGCCGACUGACUUGUCCAAGACGGCAGGGCUAUUACUUGAAAUCCUGCAGGACACCAUCCAUAUUGGCUGCAAAACUAUCCCUUGGAGCUGUGUUUUGUCUUAAAGUAUUGACCAAAACAAGAAUGUAUUUUUUGUCAUUACCAUGAAAUUGUUCUACAACCGCUGUGGAUUUGGCAAUUGGGUUCUUUCAUUGUGUCGCAGAUAUGAAUGAUCAACAUAGGGAAGUCAAAGCCUGAAAUGAAAAUGAAAAGACAUCAAAUAGAUUAGCCAAGCUAUGUUGCACUAUCUUCUAACUGUAGGCUGUGUUUUUAUAGCUGGAGCUAUGGUGAUCAAGCAAGGGCUUAAGGACGGAUUUUUUGAGGAUGGAAGUGUGGCCAGAUCUUGAAAUCACCAUUGUUCUGUGAAACGGAACCCUGUGGAUUAUAAACAUUCAUGAUUUUAGUCUGAAGUACGAUUGCUCAGAUAUGCUUAAUGGGAUAUGAGUAGUCCACUUUACUGUCUUCCAUACCUUGGAAGACUGUUGACAUGGUUCAAUAAAUCAAUCAACUUUCCUGGUGAGCUGCCCUCCUGAUUGUUAUAGAUUUGUAACAUUUGUUCCUUGUGUGGUUAGCAGAAGUUCACAAUAGCCUUUCAUCUCUCUCUUGUGGAAAAAAAUCUUCUACUUUAGACUGAUUUAGGCAAAACUAGAAAGUUCCUCAAGAUUUAAAUGGUGACUAUAUUCUCCAAUCAUUCAUAAAGAUUUGCAAUUGAAGAAAGCCCCUUUUUCAGCAAAGCCCCUUUUUCAGCAUUUUAAAGGGAAGAUCAACAUGGCAAGUUCAUUACUGAUUCUCUGUGUAAGGGAAAUCAGGCCAAAACUCCUGACUUAUUGCCUGCAGAAUCUAAGAAGGCUGGUAACAAGAUUGAUGGUUUGCUUCCAUUUUAGUUUCUCCAUUGUUUAUAUUAUCAUUAAAAUUUUGAAUUAAAGAGCAAGAGAAUUUAUUAAAAAAUAAGCAUAUAAAUAUAUUAUAUAUUUCCAGUAGUUUUAUUAUAUAAGUUGUGGCAUGAGAAUGUUAUAAAUCUGAAUAUGAAGAUUUGUUAUACAUAGUCUGCAAGUAGUUCAUUUAUCUGUUUCAGGUUUAGCUUUAACAUAUUCACUAACAAAUCAAAGGGAUGCAGCACAGGAACAACGCUUGUUAUUGAGGAGCUCAAUAAGGUUCUGGCAUUCAAUGACUUGCUGACAUCAUUAAGCAAACAUCCUGAAGCUGACCAAUUUGCCCCUGGGAUCGGACCUGUUUCUUUAUUAGGUGCAUAGAAUUCUUUCAUGCUUAAUUUCCUUGCCUCUUAUUAGUCCAAUGUAACAAUAAAAUGACAUUGAUGUGUAUUCUUGCUUAGGUGGAGAAUAUGAUGGUGAUAGAAAGAUGGAUGAUUUAAAAUUGCUAUAUAGAGUGUAUGCAGCGGAUUCUUUUCCAAAUGGACGUCUUGAAGAAAAAAAAGGUGAACACAAAUUUGGAUAAUUUGUCUGAUAUUUGACAUAUUUGGUAUGUUAGAUUCUGGCAAUACAGAUACAUUGACAUGUCGGCAUAAACUAUGAAACAUCAUACGUAUAAACCAGUUUGUGAAAUUGUACAAAGGAAAAUAUUGAAUCAUGACAAAGAAAAAGUGUUAGUGUUUUGUUUGGAGCAAUGUACACCGAACCAUUACCGAAUGGCAUACCGGACGACUGCUGGUUCAGUAUUGGUAAGUACUAAGUACUAUAUCAACAUGAUGCAUAUUGAUACCAAGGUGAGGGAGAGGGAGAUGGGGAGAACGAGGAAAGGAGGAAGGGAGGGGGGGGGGAGGACUCAUCUAGCCAUGAAGAUCCUAGCAUCAACUCGAGGAGGAUGAGCUCAAAGAGGUCAAGGUGACAAAAUAGGCCGUCACCACGGACGACGGCGACAUUAGAGGGGUGCUAGGGUUUUCCUCUAGAGGAUGGACUAGAACUUGAAGCAGAGGCCAGAGAAGGUAAGAGAGGGAGAGGGGAGAGGGAGAAGAGAGAGAGAGGGAGGGAGGGCGAAAAGAGAGGACUUACCUGGACAUGAAGAUCCCCGUGCCAACCCGAGGAGGAUGAGCUUGAAGAGGCCAAAGUAACAAAUGAGGCACUAGUGAUGGACGACGGUGUCAUCAGAGGGGGAUCGUUCAGGGUUACCUCCAAAGAGUGGAGGACGAUAACAUGGAGCAGAGGCUAAAAGAUGAGAUGGGAGAUGAAGAACUCACUUGGCCACGAAGAUUCCGGCUUUGACUUGAGGAGGAUGAGCUCGAACAAGUCGAGGCGAUAGGCAGGGCCUUCUCUAUGGAUGGUAUUAUCGUCGGAGGGGGCACUAGGGUUUUCCUCUAGAGAGGACUAGAAUCCGGAGCAAAGAGGUGAGAGAGGACGAUCAGGGGAGGAGAGAGGGGAGAGGGUAGAGAAAGGGGCACAUGUUGCUUUCUGAGGGCCUUGUUUUCCCUUUUCAUGUAUAGGUAUAGAUUUGCAAGCUUUGGCCAACUCUAGAGAUAUGUUGUUAAAGAUGAUUGUACAUUACUUGCCAAUUGAGUGGAAGUCUCAUUUUAUUUGACUUAUUAAAUUGGGCUUCCUAGACCUUUGCUUAUAACAUAACACUAUUCUUGGAGACUUGUGGACACUAUUAGAUAUCUUAACUUUUCAUCUGGGAGUGGAUGUGCUUCGAGCUCCCAAAUUGACAUAAGUAUUUGACAACAACAGGCUUAUACAAUUUUCUUUAAAAAAGAACAUGAUUGAGUGUAGUGGCUAAUGGAAUCCUAGGAUCAUUAGAGCACUUACAGUAGAAUUUUAGGACCUUUGUUUAUGAUAUUUAAUAUAAAUAAGCAUGCAUAUAGGUUUAAGAUAAUUAUACCUUCUCAUUAUGGUGAUUCUAGAGUUCGUUUUGUCUUAUUAGGAGAGACUGUGGUCGUGAAUGCACAUGACUUGAGGAUUGCUAUCCUCAAGUCCGAGUGCUUUAUCUUCCAAGUGCCAAUAUUUAGUUUUUCUAUUCUUACACAAGCUUUAUGUUGCAACUCUCCUCCAUCAUUCCAAUGUCUCUUGUUUGACCAUUGAUAAUUGCACAAUUAAACAAGGAUUGUUGAAUUGGUAUCGAGACUUGUAUCGGUUGGCCAUCAGUAUGAUACAAUAUGGGUUUGGUCCAUACCGACACUCGGUACACCUUCCUUAUUUUUCUCUUUUUUGUUUUCUCAUUGUUCUUCUUUUUUCAUUUAUUAUUUUGAUAAAUAUUAUUGUCUAAUUUGUAAUUUUAUCAUGGUUUUGAUGUCGUUUUUACCAUAAAUAGAAUUUAACUUGGCAUGCAUAAUAUAUUUUUGAAGUCAUGGUUAUGUACAAUAUAAUAUACAACUAAUAGAGUAUUUUAAUGUAUUUAAAAUACAAAAUACGUAUCAACCAAGGUCUGUCAAACUGGUAUCAGGAUCCGUACCGGUCGGUGGCCGAUUCGGUACGGUACCAACACGGUAUGCAGAAGUGUACCGGUUCCAAAUCGGUAUGCCAAAUUUUAUUUCCAAUGCCUUUGAAGUUUGAUUUAUUGGUAAUCAAUUUUUUUUAAAACUUUUUCAAUGAUUUUAAGUAUAAUUUGAUGUUUCAGGAGGACUAGAGGAGGGGGAGAGGGGGGGGGAGAGGGAGAGAGGGUAGAGCGGAGAAGUGAGAGGGAUCUACGAGAGAUUGCGAGAUAGGGAGAGGCUUUAUACCGUUUGAACUAACCGAACCAUCCUAAUAAUCGACUGGUCUGGUUCAUGAUGCCCCAAGCUGCCCAGUGUGGGAUGGUUCAACAAUCCUUACUCUGGAGUGAUUGCUUCAUAGAGCAAAGUGUCCUCAAAUAGGGUCUUUUGAAGAUCAAUGUUAUCAUUAAAAUCACCAUGGCCUUUUAUAAAAGCUUUGAAUUAUUAGGAUAUAUUUUUCAAUUUUCAUUAGGAACCAUACACAUUUACCAACAAAUAAUCUAAUAUUGAUCUUCAGCGAAGGUACCCAACUCUUGUAUAUCUAGGGAGCAGAUUUGGGACUUGUUGCUAUAUUUUACAUAGAAAUUGGUCACAACAUUUUUGACCAAAAGCUUUGAUGUAAAACUUUUCUAUCAUAAAGAUAUUUUUCCAAUGAGCUGAAGUCAUAACGACAUUAGAUUCCAUGGCAAAAAUCUCUAAGCCUUGAAGACUUUGCCUGUUGUCUUUUUUUCUUUUUUAAGCGCUUAGAUAGAUCUUUGUUGAUUAAGUCAGACCCUAGAAAAUUCCCUAUGUAGAUGAUAGAGUUAUUAUUGAACUUUUUCAUAAAUAAUACAGUUGAGUAUUAACCGAGAGGACCUCAGGAAAACCAUCUAAUUUUGUGAAUAAUUCGGUUCCAGAAUUUCAUUUGAAAUUUGCAGCAUCCUUUUUCCACUGAAUUUUUUGAAUAUUGAGCAUUUCUUGAUCUUGAAAUAGAUAUUUCAAUGAUAUUUUUUUUAAAGAUUCUCGAACCACAAAUGUCAUCAUUGACGCAUACUUGAAUCUGUUCCCUUAUAUGUUGCUCCUAUAUAUCAUUAAGGGGCAUCUGGAUGCACAAACAGACUAUCCAUGGUUUGUAGGUGAAGAAGAGAAGAAAGUGAGAAAGAGCAGGGUAUCUUUGAUUCCCAUGCUCAUUUUGUCACGGAUAAGGUAAAUCACCAUUUUGGGUGGCUUAUAUUGUCCCAAAAUCAGCAUUCUAGAUUCCAGUGGCUCGCACCAUCCCUUGCACAACUGUUCUUCUCCUUUUCCUUUCUUGACAAGUACUGGUGUCCUGUAAACGCAGAUAAAUAGUUGCCACAUCCAAGCAGGCGCUAAAGGAGUAUGACAUAUCAGUCAGCAUUUUCUUAGUAUCUGUAUCUAAUUGCAGUAUUGUCACCUAUAUAUUUAUAUUUAUAUAUAUAUGCAGCUUUAUUAGAUACAGAGGUGUAAAGAAAUGCAUUUACAAUUACGACCAAUUUAAUGUUUUUGGUUGAAUAGAAAUCUAAUUGUUGGAUGGGAUCUAGAUGGCAUAAAAUAUCUAUCUAUGAAAGUUCAUAUGUUUUGAAACCCCUAGGAUAUGCAUCCUCCCAAGUAGAUAAUCAUAAUGGAAUGAUAUAGUGCGUUGGAUUCGGGACGCUUGCUACAUCAUAUAGCAAUCUCCAAAACACAUGAUUUUUUAUUAGUANNNNNNNNNNNNNNNNNNNNNNNNNNNNNNNNNNNNNNNNNNNNNNNNNNNNNNNNNNNNNNNNNNNNNNNNNNNNNNNNNNNNNNNNNNNNNNNNNNNNNNNNNNNNNNNNNNNNNNNNNNNNNNNNNNNNNNNNNNNNNNNNNNNNNNNNNNNNNNNNNNNNNACUAUAUAUAUAUAUAUAUAUAUAUAUAUAUAUAUAUACAUAUUUGCAUGUAUGUAUAUAUAUAUGUAUGUAUGUAUGUAUUUACUUAUUUGCAUGUAUGUAUAUAUAUAUGUAUGUAUGUAUGUAUUUACUUAUAUAUGCAAGGUUUGCCAUCUUGGUAUCAGGCCCUGUAUGGGUACCAACACCGUAAUAGUACGGUAUAAGAUGACGAGGCAUACCGAGUGUCGGUAUAAUACGAGAUUGCGUACCGGUUCAGUAUGCUUGGUACAGUUUGGUACCAACUGGUACGGCAAACCUUGUAUAUAUGCAUAUCUAUACAUGCAUAGAGUACAUACAUAUAUACAUAUAUGCAUACAUAAGCAUACAAGUACAUGUGCUUAGUAGCAAAAAAAAAAGAAAUAGUGAAUAACAUUGAAUAAAUGGAAAAUAAAAUAGAAAAUGAAGAAAUAAAAUGGAAAAUAGAAAUUAGAGGUGGAUAAGGUUGUUAGAGUGGGAGAUAGAGAUAAAGAGGACAUAAAUUUGUUGGAGAGAAGUUAGUUAGGAUAAAAAGAAAGGAAUUUGAUUUGGAUGAGAUUUAGUUAUUAGCCAUGUUUUUAUUUCCAAAAUUACCCAUGUUGGCGAUUAUUGUAUAACAAAGUUUAGUUUGUAAAUCAAAUAAUAUUCCCUUCGUGGGCAAAUGUGACAGACCCAAAGAACCCUGAUCACUCUUUUUAAUAUAGUAAAGUUAUAUAUAUAUGUAUAUAUAUAUGUAUAUAUAUAUAUAUAUGUAUGUAUGUAUGUAUGUAUAUAUAUGUAUGUAUAUAUAUUUCUAUUCGAAAACCACAAAAUCGAGGCAACAUUACUUUGACACUAAACUUUAAUAAGGAAAUCUUGAUAAUUCCAGGAUAUAAUACUAGGGGGGCAUGACACUUGAUUUAUAAUAUCAUUUUGAGGUAGAAUAUGACCAGUAAUUUGAAGAUGAGUAACCUUUAUAUAGACUUAUUGCAUAAAAAUACAUGGAUUUGUUAUACUUUGAAAUGUUUCAUCGGUCUGUACAAUGGAUAUUGAAAUUUAGAUAGAUAAUAUGGAGUUUAUCUUUUGGAUGAGUAUGCGUGGUGUUUUUGGGAGAUUGACAUUUAUGGUGCUUGAGAGAUUGGGGUAUUAAAUACCUUGUCAAUAGAUGCAGGUGACAUGGAGAAGUAGUGAUACUCAAUCCUCUUUUCUUUUAUAUGACUUGCGUAGAUGAAAUUUAAAUUCACCCAGUUGACAUUUGAUAGAUAUAUGAUAGUAUGUUACAAACAACUUGUUGGUCAUGCAGCAUAGGUCUGAAGCAUGGCUUGCUGAUGGCAUGCAGUCUUGGCACUGUCAUCUAAUGUACUGUGCCAUGCCAUGCCGUUCCAUAUCAGUACAUGCCUAGCACAGGCACAGCUACAUGCCAAGUUCUGGCAUGAAACAGAUAUGAUUCCAAUGCUGCAUGCCAGUGUUUAUCAUGGCAUGUGUCAUGUCAUGCAAAUCCAGCAUUUACAUUGAUGUUUUACCAAGCAAGCAAUUUCCGUUCAGCUACUCAAGCAAUAUGUGGAAAUUUCUAGAAAGCAAAAGUUGGCCACAUGAAAAUCCAUGUAACGAAGUUGGAUCAUGCAUGUAAUUCUUUUUCCUGUUUGUCCAUAGUACUAACCAUUUUUUAAUCAAAAUAUCAGCCUUGAUGUAAACUCUUUCUUGCAUACAUUUUUUAUAUUGGACAAAAGUCAUCUUAGAUUUAUUGGUUGUAACAGAAACUGUUUGUUGUCCACCUUUGACAAGAGUUUGUAGAGUAUAUUCCCUUUCUCAUCUGAUAUUUUAUUCUAUAAAUGGAUACAUGUUGUACAUAAAAAUAGAUUUUGCAUCAUGUUUUAAACUUUGAUCAGAACUCUGAAAUUGGAACUGAAACAUAACUUUCCUUUGGAACAUAUCUGAAAUAAUAGUUGGUCUCAGAGUUUUUAUUGAAAUUAACCUGUGGGACUAAUUUUGGUGUAAGAUUGGCCAUUUUUUAGAUCAUAUGUUUCCUUUUUUUAAAAGAAAAUGGAAUAUGCUUUGUAAGUUUUGAGAAAAUCAGUGAUCAUAUAUUGUUUUUAUUUGAAAAAAAAUUAGAGACUUUUUUAGAUUUUGCAAGGCUUCUAUGGAAAGAGAGAUGGGGUUUCUUCAAGUAGAUUGAUUCUAAUAAGCAGUGGAUAUGCAAUAUUGGAGCCAAAAAUCUCCUUCAUGACUAAGUUAAAGCAAGGUUUGCCGUACCGAUGCAUACCACCCCGUAUUGGGCAUGUCGUACCAUACCGUUACCGAAGCAAGACUUGGUAUAGGGGGCGUACCGAGUCUUGGUAUGCCAAACUGAUCCCUGUACUAGGCAAACCGAUACUAUUUUAGCAUGGUGCUUGUAUGAAGUCCCGUACCAAGACUGUGAACCCUGAGUUAAAGUGCUUUUCAUAAUUUCUCUCCUAUAAGAUUCCAAGUAAAUUCUUACUAUGAAUCUUGUGCUGUUAUGUUUUCAAAUUUCAAGAGAAAAUGUUGCAUUUUUUUUUGAAAAAUGUGGAUGUCAAUUUUUAUCAUUGCAAAUUGCAAUCAAACAAUUGAAUGAUAUUACACACUUAAAUGAUGUGAAACAUGUAUUUUAAUUUUGUAUUUAUUAAAGUAACAGAUUAAAUAAUGGAAACUAUACAUCCAAAGAUCUGAGGUAAUAAAAAUGUACUCUAAAAAUGAACAUAUCUUUUUUGUUUAUUUAUCAACCUUUACUAUAUUUCCGAAUAUUUUAACAUUUCUUAAAUUUUUAUUUUUUAAUUUAUUGUUCGUUACAUUAGUUAAUGAAGUUGCAAUUAGCAACCCAGUUAAACUUUUCUUGAUUGCUUAGAAUAGCAUUUGUAUCUUGCAAUUUUUUGGUUCUACAUCAACCAUAUUAAUUUCUCAGUCUAGUUUUUCUUUCUUAAAAAUUGCAGCUUGUGGCUUUGAGCCAUUUGAAGAAUAUAUUUGGUUUAGGAAAUCGUGAGGCAGAAGCCAUUAUGCUGGACAUUACCUCCAAGGUCUACCGGAGGCGGCUUUCACAAUCUUUUAGUGGUGGCGAUCUGGAAGCAGCUCCAAGCAAAGCAGCCUUCCUUCAAAACCUUUGUGAAGAACUACAUUUCGAUCCACAAAAGGCUAGUGAGAUUCAUGAAGGUACUUGAUGAUUCUUAAGUUUCCUUUUCCUAUGGAGCCAUUGAUGUGUAAACAAUAAAAACAUAGCUUCUUUUUAAUCAAAGUAAUUUCUUUCCCUACAUUAUCUAGGAGUAGAUUCACAACAAUGACAUAUACAGGGUAUACCUGCAAGCUUUUAUCAUGAUAGAUUAGCUUUAUAAUAAUGCGCUAGAUUUUUACAUAUUUAAUAUUAUCAUGCAACAAUAUCCAUCUUCUUUACUGCCUUAAGCCAGCUCAAAUUCAAGUCAGAUUGUUGGAGGGCCAAUUCAUCUCCUUCGCUGAGGUAGUUUNNNNNNNNNNNNNNNNNNNNNNNNNNNNNNNNNNNNNNNNNNNNNNNNNNNNNNNNNNNNNNNNNNNNNNNNNNNNNNNNNNNNNNNNNNNNNNNNNNNNNNNNNNNNNNNNNNNNNNNNNNNNNNNNNNNNNNNNNNNNNNNNNNGCAAACACUAUAUGAUCAUCACACAAGUUCUCACUUUUCAUGUCAAAGAAUUUCAUAGAUGAACAUUCAAACUUUUGAACAGUUUAACUUAAUACUACACAUAAGAAACCAGUUAUAAACAAAAACUUUGAAGCUUCGAUUUUAAUUAAUGAAGAGCAUUAUAUCUUCGGAGUAUAUAUAAUAGAGUAGUAAAGAUAGGGAUAUAAGAUUUUGUGAAAUCUCUUGGCCUUGAGAACGCAUCCUAGACCAUCAAUUAUUUACAUAAUUUUGAAGGGUCCUCCCUUCCAUGUUUAUGUGAUGUUUCACAAAUUCAAUUGUCAUGUAUCACACAUAGAGAUAGGAUCUGCAUACGUUCAAUAUGCAAAAAUGCAUAUUAGUUCCAUGUGAUCAUGAUGUGAAUUGAGCUCAAGUUUGGUAUACAUAUUAUCCUAAGUCAACUUAAAAUUCUUUCUCUAGGAUACAUAAUAAACAACUUCCUAUGACCCUGUAAGACUUAAAAAAAGGCCAAUUGAAGUCAAGGAACUUCAAUUUUCUCAAAGUAUCAACAGUAUAGAAUAUUAAUAUUAUUUUCCUGAUUCAUAAAUCAAUAAUUCUCCAUCCAUCAACCUAACCUAAGCAACAACAUAAGACAUGUUCAUUGAUUUUUCUUUUCCCUUUUUGUUUUGUGGGGGGGAGGGCAGACUAGAUUUAACAGCAGUCCUACACUUUAGCCAAAUGUAUAGUUGCCUCAAAUGCUUGUAAAAGAAAAAUGUAAAAGUAAUUGAUUAGAUAUUGCAAAUAAUGUAUUGUCAAAAUGAAAGAGGGAAGAAAGGGAAUACUGUUACCUUAUCUCUUCUUUACAGAGCCAUUGAAUCAGCUUUGGGUUAUUACUGUCGACUGGAUGCAGGAAGCUGUAGGAACAUUGCCCAAACAGAAUCAGUGCGAGAGUAAAUUACGAAAAAAUAAAGCUAACUGAGAGUAGAUAACGAACUCAUUGAACUCCGUCAGAUUUAGAAGACCAUUCCCAUCCACAUCUGAAGCAUUGAAGUGAUCCUCUUUCCACCAACCCAUGUCAUUAUCAGAAGAAGACUUAUCUAGCAAAUUUCAAAACCCCAUACUAAGAUUAGAUUACCAGAUCAUCAAUUGUUUGAUGCCUCUGCAUAAGUACACAAGACUUUCAAAAAGCAUGAUGCAUUCAAAGGAUCAAACAUGCAUAAAUAACUGUUCUAGUUUAACAACUUGAUUCAUGUCAUAAUGGCUGCAAAUUACCUUAACAUAUACAGAUGAGACAACAUGUAAAUCAAUGUCGAAGCUUAAUGCUAAAGAAAAUCUUUUCAGAGAAAACAGUGGAAGCUUAAGGGUAAGUACAAACUUGAACAUCAAAGAAAACGAGGUAAGUACAUUAAACGAUUAGCAAAAGGUGGGGAAAAGAAACCAAUGUUGAAGCUUCUAAACGAAAACUUAGAUUUUGGAGAAGAUUAAUGAUAAAGAAAAAUUUGAGCUUUGAGCCAAAAAGGGUUGAGUACAUCAAAGAUUAAAAGAAGGACGGCGAGAAGAACAGACAAUCUGAUCAACAAAGACUCUUGGACAAUCCCGCUAAACAUCCAAACUUAUUCACGAAAAUACGAAACAAAAGAAAUUAACAACAAAAUCGAAAAAGGGGGGGGGGGGGGGUGGAAGCAAAACAGGGAUCUCACCGACCAUCGGAAUGUCUGUUCCAGGUGGGGCCCUCGUACUCGUGGAAAGAGAUAAACCCAUCGUGGUUCUUGUCGUGGAGCUCCAUGUCCCGCUGGGUCCGGUGCAUCGUCUCCCUCGUCCCCUGCCGGAGGUUCCACUCCGUCAACUCAUCGGAACUCACGAACCCAUCGCUCGGGCUCAGAUCGAUCUUGGGGAAGAGAAGAACGAUGCGGUGGGUGACGUUGAAGCGCUUGUCGUCGUUGAUGUAGUCCUCGGCGUUCAUGAAGUCCUCCCACUCGGGCGCGGCCUCCCCCUGGCCGUCGCGGUGGGGGAUGGAGAAGUGCUCCCGCUCCCACUGCUUGUCCUCGCGGCGGAUCUCGAUGUCGGAGAUGAUGGGGUCGAAGGGGAUCGGCGGGUGGUGGCGGCCGCCGGAGGCGGAGGUGUUUUGGCGGAGGAUGAGACGACGGUGGGGGCGGUGCCGGUGGUGGAGAUUUGUCGGAGAGAAGAGAGAGGCGAGAAGGACGAGCAGGAGGAGAGCUAGGGUUGUGCAGAUUAAUAUCACCGAGGACGACUUUCCCAUCUCUCGCGAAAGAGCGAAAGAGCGAGCUGGAGAUUUGGGGGAAGAAGGGGAGUUUGCUGUAUGUGCUGUUAGUUUGAAUGCAGCUGCCGCGAGCAUUCGAUGACGUAGAAUUAACCAAAACCAAGGCGACACGUCAUCGAAAUCACGUUGCAGACCGGAUCGGCGCAGCUGGCAGCUGGUGAAUUGCCGCCGCGAGUUACUCGUGCGUGCCGGAUUUUUACGGCCGAUUCGAGUGGGCACGACGAUUUUGGGAAGCCGAAACAUCCAAUGAGAGUUGUGCUUUGAUAUAAAAAAAUUAGGUUAAUCAAUUAUUGUUUCAAAAUAUUAUUUUAAUUUUUAAUACUACAUUAUAUAUAAAAUGAUUUGUCAUCUUUUUUUUACCGAGAAUAUCUGUCUUAUUUAAUCUAAUAAGAUACACUUUCACAUAGAUUGGGUUCUCUGCCUUUCUCUAAUUCAACUCUUAAAUUACACUUUAAUUCUAUUUCUAAACAGAUUAAACUGCAACACAUUCUAUUUUUUUCUCUUUCUUUUUUCGGAACAUGCAAAAUUGUUAAUAACACUAGCUAGCUGAAGAAAAUAUUUCAAACCAAAAUCUCUGAUCUCAGCCAAAAUAAUUACCUACCAUCAAUCCUUGGACCUAACCAAACCCUUUGUAUCAAGACCAUAACAAUCAAUGUUGUACCAUAAUAGCAACCUAACCCCUUGUGUUGAGUUAGGCAUUCUACUAAUUCUACUACUCUACUUUUGCACCAAAAAAUAACAAUCAAUGUUGUACCAUAAUGGCAACCUAAACCCUUAUAUUGAGUUAGGCAUUCUACUAAUUCUACUAACCUACCUUUGUACAAAAAAUAAAAAAUAAUAUAAAAAAAAAUCUACCAGCGUACCCUAAUGUAAUUCUGAUGCCGGCAACACUAGCUUAGCUCCAAACUCUUGCUAUGGCCAUUAAAUAAUUUUACAGUUUUGGGAGGGUCCAAUAAAUAAAUACAUAGCUAUUAGCUAACCCAAUAAUACCCAAUUUUUCAGGCCGAUAUCAGCCAAAAUAAUUACCUACCAUCAAUCCUCGGNNNNNNNNNNNNNNNNNNNNCAUCAAGACCAUAACAAUCAAUAUUGUACCAUAAUGGCAACCUAACCCCUUGUAUUGAGUUAGACAUUCUACUAUUUCUAGUACCCUACCUUUGUACCAAAAAAUAACAAUCAAUGUUGUACCAUAAUGGCAACCUAAACCCUUGUAUUGAGUUAGGCAUUCUACUAAUUCUACUACCCUACCUUUGUACCAACAAAAAAAAAAAAACUUACUAGCGUACCCUAAUGUAAUUCUGAUGCCGACAACACUGGCUUAGCUCCAAACUCUUGCUAUGGCCAUUAAAUAAUUUUACAGUUUUGGGAGGGUCCAGUAAAUAAAUACAUAGCCAGCCCUAAUAAUACCCAAUUUUUCAGGCUAAAUAAACAGCCGAGAACCCAAAAUUGUUUUGAACAAUAAGGUCGCAACCUGGAGAUACAAACGGGUAUCUUCGCUGAGAUGAAAAACACGCCAAGAGAACCAAAAAUUACAGCACAAAUCUUUAUAAUAACAGUCAUUCUUCAAACACAUAAUAAAUCACAAGUUCGAGCAUAGUAGGAUACAUAUAGAAUCAUUCCACAUUCCCACUCACUCGAUCUCGCCAUCCAGCAUAGUCAAAUGUCUGCACCAUGAUCUUAAAGAAUGCCACAGUAGCCAAAAUCCACUUUCACAACAUGAGAGGAGGUCCGAGCCCAUUUGCAGUUUCUUUUCUCAAAAAAUAAUAAUAAUAAUUGUUUAAGCCAGCUAAACUAAUUUAUCUGACUUCAGCUUCCCCAGGAUGAUUUCCCCCACUAGGUAUAUAUAUACCAUUCUCUUCAAGUAGAUACAGAUGCUUUGACGAUUUGGAUGGCCAGAGAUAAUAUCCCAGACCUAGACAUGCAAUCGCACAUGAAUGCAUGCCUACAAAUCAUGUUUUUAAAGGAGCCUUCUUCUCUCUGUCAGAUAUGCGAGCAGGGGCUCUGGAAUGUGACUCGAACCGGCCUCUACCCUCUUCUUCCUUUUCCUGAAAGUAAAUUAUAAGCAUAGCAAGUUCGAGUGCGAGGUAGAUGGAUGGAGACAGCAAGAAAGAACAAGAAUCAAUUCUGCACACACAAGCCACACUUCAAUGAUUUUCAUUGUGAUAGGUUAAAUGGUUUCGAAGUAGCUAAAAUGUGAGGCAGUAGGAGGUUACAAAGCCCUGUUAACAGGUAAAUGACAAAGUCGUUCAAAGAAUUAGAACUGUUUGAACAAGAAAGAGUGACAAGUGAAAGUAUAGCAGGAUAAAACCUUCUUCUUAACUAUCCGGACAACGUCUUUUCAUUAUGAAGAUGUGUGAAAGCCGGCGGUGCUGUGAAUAUUGCCUUCCACCAGUUCCCCAAACAAGCACAUAUCGCUCGUACUUGAUUAAACUCUUGUGCACAUGAUUACAGAAGUCUUCCACUGUGCAGCCACCUCUAUCCUGAUUGAAUAUCACAGAAGCAGAUUGUGAAUAGCAACUGCCUCAUUUCAGAUUUCGAUGCAUACAUAUUGUGCAUAAGAAAAUGCAAAUUAAUGUGGAAAGGACAAAAGGAUCUGUAAAAUCAGGUUGUUGGCCCUGUGGACACAAGCCCCAUCUCCUCCCACAUUUUUGCCAGUAAUCUGCUAAAUUCAGAUGUAAUACAUCAUGAGAAUAUUACCCAUAAGGAUGCUUAAACAAAAGCGAAAAAAAGAAGGGCUGCAAUGAACUAGAGUUGGUUGAGAAUCUUGUAUUAUUGGCAACAUAAAAAUGUUUAUGAAUUUUGUGAUGUCAGCAUUAAACCACAGCGUAAAGAUAAAAUUAUUUGCAGAAAGGAACAGGCCAAAAAAUAAGAAAAAAUAGGUCUUGCCUUUAAAUUGCAGCUAAUGACAAUUGAAUUUGGCUGUCAGGCUAGAUUGUCCACAUCAUCAAUACCAAUGACAUCAAUCUUGUUAUAAACAUAAAUACACUUCAUGUACUUCUGGUUCCCCUCAAUGACAUCAAUGAGAUCAUCCACAGUAGCAUCCUCACGAAAUACACCUACAAGGAAAUGAUAACAACGUCCAGGCAUCUAGCAGCAGAAAGCUACAGAACAUUCUUACAAACAUAUGGCAACAGUAUAGAACUAAUUAAGAAAUUAUUCAUGCCGGAUGAAUAAUGUAAGAAAAAAUGACAUUUGAAUUGAGUAUAGAGUGAUUCCAUAAAAAGCUUUUGCAUUGAUAUUAAUGUAGAGACAGGAUUGCCAAUUCUUCAAUAAUAUAGAAGUGUAAUAAUACUAUCUACUUACUUACAUAUAACAAUUCUUAAAAGGUGGUUCAGAUGACCUGCGAAGUAAAUCAACUAAAUGUUUGGAAAUUACAAAGGAUCAGAGCUUUGACCGUAGCAGAAGCAUUUUCAGGGAUCAUUCCAUGGAAGGUAUAAGUUUCUUCUGUAGGCUGUUGCGGCAAAUGUGUCAUCUCCUUGAAUUAUGCAUCUGCAAGCAGAGAGAGUGGACAUUGCUGCAGGUUUCUAAAUAGAAAUGCCUCUUUCUGGAAUUGGAAUAUGAUCUUUUAGAUCACCUAAGUUUCUUAAUCUCCAUGAGGACUUCACAUUUAUGAGCCUCAGAUAUGGCGUUACCCAAGUAGCUGAAACUUGGAAGACUACUCUUAAAUCGAGAGAAACCGGUCGGCUGCAGCUGAUUGGCUUGUCAACUGAGGGUGGACUUGACCAUGCUAAAGAACAGAUCGAGCACAGGGAGAGAUAUUUCUUUCGGUGCUUUAAUGACAUCGUACCAACUUAAAUAUAUGCUGCAGAGCUUCAUUGUCGGCAGAGUAAAACAAAACAAAGUAAGAGAGGGCUCAGCAUCCAUUAGAUCUCAUGGCAAGCUGCUUGCACACCCAUGGUGGCUUGGGUACUGGACAAGUCAUAUCUCCCAUAAACCUUUCCAGGCCACAAAUAGCAGCAGAAUUUUCAGUGAAUUCCUAAUAUUUUAGCGUGUAAAAAGGACAUGGAUAAAGAACACAUUUGUACUUCUAAACUAAAGAGGGUAAAAGAGGGAGUACAGACAUAUCUACUUUUUUAGCACGAGUAAUAACUGCAAAUUUCUCAGGUGGAGAUGAGGCAACAGUAGGCCAACCAUUCAGUCAGGUUUCUGACCAAUCUGUUCUACACUUCUAUCAUAAGCUAAUGAGGGCAAAGGCUGAUAAAAGAACUGUAAAGCUAGUCAGUUGGUAAAAUUCUAUUUCAGGUAUCAAUUGCUAUCUUAAAAAACUUUCUGAAAAUGCUAAGAAAACACUAGGGAAGUCUGUUAACCCACUGGAGACAUGGCUGACUCUACUGUUUGGAUAAAAGGAGAAUGCAUUGGCCUCAUUGUUCUGGCAUUUACGUGAUUGUAUUGUUUCUUAGUUUAGUCAUAGUCAUUAUCACCUCAGGACGAGCAAACAAAUUGCAAUUGCGCAAUUUUCUACAAAUCAGUCCCAUGGCUGAUGUAAACAAGUCUAAUCUCCAAGUCUAAUCUCCGUACGAGUAUUGUGUUUCAUUCCUAAACAGGCCACUUAAAAAUAAAAAAGAUCAAAUACAAAAUAAUCAGAAAACUAAGGGCACCUCUCAUGUUAUUUGAGUUUUUGUUUCUCUACAAAUUAGUAAACUACAACUUAGCGAUUGAUGUUGAAGAGAGAAUUUACCAAAUCUUCUGCUAUUCCUUGCUUUUAUUUUCACUCUUCUUUGAAAGCAAUAAAUAUUUGCUUCCAAAAGCUCGGAAACUUUACAAGCAAUUCUUAAAAACAAAAGGCUUUAAUCAUCAUGUUUUUUCAGACUAGUUCAUUUUUGUUCUUGGGUUUUUGAAAACAAAAGACUGAAAACCUAAGCAAUCCAAAAUGUCGCUAAGAAAACCAAAUACAAUUUCUUGCCACUUUCUUUUCCAAGAAAAAGGGUAUUGAAAAUUUCUAGGCUUAAUGAUCCGAAUACCAACAGCAAGUGCCCCACCCACCAAUUGCACCUCAGGACUCAACCAUCAGCUCUUUUCAAACCCAAAAAGCUGGAACCUCCUAAUGCCACAGCACCGUUCAAUACUCUCUAACCAUCACUGCUCCUAAGUUCUCUAAGCUCCCAAGAAUGGUCCCUUCUAAACCCAUUCGCUCCUCCUUCUACCCCUUCUUUCCUCCGCCGAACAACCGAGCAAGACGACAUAAGGACUCUAGGGACAACACCCAUAUACUUGAUAAGGCUAGAUACCAAUUCUACUAUCAGCGUUUUUUCUACCUGUUUAAUCGACGGCAUUCGCGAGGCAAAAGAACUAUGGAUUACAGAACAUCAGACUUUUUUUGCAUAAUUAAAAUCUAGCAACCAGUAAUAUAUGCGAAUCGAAUCAAAUUUGCCUCUCUUUUUUCACGACGCAACAAUCUAAAUUAAAGAGAAUGAAUCAGAAAAUCAAGAUAGGUAAUGCCAUACAAAUAUCGAAAAAACCUGGAUUCAAGAAAGAACUAGAGAAAGAAAUGCUCGUUUCGUUACUGAUUUCUUGACUACAUCGAUAAAGAUUGGGACAGAAGGAGAUCGGGACGCGGAGGCUUAACCCUAGCUUUCCGCUUACCAGGAGGAGAGGAAAGUGAGAUCGCUGGUACGAGCGAGCGAGAGACAUCGAAAGCGAAGGUUGGAUUGGACGCGCUGCCGCUCGACGAGUCCACAUCGACAACUCCCCCGAGACUGUUAAAGCUUCAGCAAGAAACGGAUCUCAAAGAAGCGUUCUUCGUUAUUAAAGGUUUAGUAAUUUUUUACCCAAAAAAAAAAAAGUUGGCAAUUCAAUGGAGCAAAUGGCCCGCGUAGAUCGCCCAUUUUAUCCAAACCGACCUAACCCAAUAAAACAGUGAUUUCAUUCGAUUAACUUAGACCCAAGUGCCUUAUUUAGUUAAUGUUUGGAUAUUUAGAUGGUACAAGUGAACCUAAUUAUAGUAAGGGACCUUUGAACUGCUGUGAGUGAUCUUACAAGAUGAAAUGCAGCAUGUGGUUUAGCAAAUUGGAUGUUUUUUUAUGUUUUCUUAUAAUGGCGGCUGGAGUUUGGUUCGGGUUGUAUCCUUCGCAGAAGAUUGAUCAAUCUUCUUUUACGAUAUCGGCUGUUGAAUUGUAUAAUGAAUAGAUCUCAAAACAUUCUAAACUUCUUCAUUCAUCGCUGCAUAGAUCUCGAAGCAACUCCAAUAGUAGAUUCGAAGAAUCUUUCAAUCAUGUAAAAGACUUAUUCUUAUUCGUUGGAGUUUUAAACCCUCUUUUUUUUUUGCUUGCACUAAUCCACCAAUCUAACUUCUUCCAACUGUUGUCCCGUCCUCAAAGCUUCACCAAAUACCCUCUCGCGAGGUUUGCCUUCUCUUAUCAUCCCUCCCAUCCAUCGGAUUCCUAGUUCAGUAAGGUUGCUUCUUCACCUAUUCGACUCUCCCUAUAUAAACGGUCGAGGACUACUGCUAUAUGCACUCAACCAGUUCUGCCAGUCGGUCAAAUUCUUUUAUUUCAUUCGAUCCACGGGGUUAUUCCAUUUCAUGGGCUAGUUAGUUUACUAGGUCUGGGAAGAAAUUUCAUAUUCGAAUGCAACCCUGNNNNNNNNNNNNNNNNNNNNNNNNNNNNNNNNNNNNNNNNNNNNNNNNNNNNNNNNNNNNNNNNNNNNNNNNACAUGUGUGAUAAAUCCAAAAAACGUCGGGACUUUCUUCCCCAUCAACCACUACGAUGGAAACGACACGACAAAUCAAGACCCGGAAAGGAGAAGGGCUGGAUUGGAUUCAAAACCGGAAGCGGUAAGGCUUCGCCGUUUGAGAACACCGGAGGUUCGGGGGUGGGCCCCCCGGCCUUUCGUCUAGUUAAAUUACCUCCUAUUUCCCCCCGAGGGGGGCUUUGGGGGGGGGGUAACGUUCCAUGGCCUAAGGAAGGAGAGGGGAAGUUUCACGAAAAUAUUGUCUACGAAAUCAAACUCUAUAUAUAAUUUGUCAUUUGAUAGGCACUGCAUAUCUUUCAUGAAACUAAAUUUUUUUUUUUUUUUUGGUACACACCAGACAAGAGCAAUCAUAUCCUGCCAUUGCCACGAAGAUUAUACCAAAAUUUCCGCAAGAAGCCUCUAAGCUGCUAAGGAUGUAGUUUGUAAAUCCGAAGGAACUGACCAAAGCAGCCUCGCUUUCUUCGCAGGAAGACGAAAGCAAACACUUCAUGAGAAACCAAGUAAUGGCAACCACAUGAACCUAGUUAAACGCCCACCUUUUCGAUAUAUCAUCAAUAAAAAUUGAACUCCUUAGCUGUUGUACAUGAAGCACCGCUGUAGAUCCUGAGAAGCCAGGGGUAAAGGACAUCAGCAGUUUUCACAGUACAAUCUAUACAUUGUUCCACAGAGUAACACCUAGGAGGCUAGAACGGAUGAAUUUUCCAUUUCUUCUCUACUUUUGUUUUUUUAUUUGAAUACAUCGAGAUGAAACUGGUAAAAGUUGGUACAAUACAUUCUUUUCGUUCUUUUUUCUUUUUUCUCUCAACGCAACAUCAGUCACAGAGAGAGCUACAGUACUCCUCCUGCUCUCCUUAACCUCUCCCUGAGUACCUUUACUCCCAUGUAUCUGGAUAUCGAAAACAAUGGAAACAAUCAGUAAUUAGGGAAUUCAGCAAACAGAGCUCCUUGCAAUUAAGAACUAUGGAGAAAGAUCAAACUUGUGAAGCAUUUACAAUGCUAAUACCUGCCGAGCAUCAUGACAGUUGCCUGAGGGUUAGUCCCCGGCGAGUUAAAGAAUAUCGAGCUAUCGAUCACCCGCAGGCCGGCGAUGCCGAGAACCCGGUAGUCACGGUCCACCACCUUGCCCAGAUGGCAUCCGCCAUGGUAGUGCCAGAUUGUGGUCACUGUAUCCCUGCAGAACUGCUCGAUGGAUGCGGUAUCAUUGGUGUGCUUCGGUAUCAAGUUCACAUUUGCCUUCACGCUCAUGUUCAGCAACCUCUGCAUGGAGUGGCCACAGUCAUCAUCAGAGAGGCUAGCAAAUUGCCUCGUCUGCACAAUCUUCUCGAUCAUCCUGAUCCCGUAGACGCACCGCCGGAGGUCGUGCGGGUGGCUGAAGUAGUUGAAGGUGAUGGAGGGGUUGCUGUCCACAUUUGUGUCGACGAGGCUGAGUUCGCCGGUGGAGAGCGGGCCGUCGAUCUUCUCCAGUAUGAAGCCCCCUUGGAAUGCCUCCCGAGGGAGGCUCCCCUUGUUCUUAGCAUACUGCCUGGCUGCUUCCAGGGUCCGUUUCUUUGGAGGGAUGGUGGAGAGCUGCCCAAUCUGCGGUGAGCUAGCUGCAGUUUAGUUGCAGGAGCUUUUGAAAAAGAAAAGGAUUAGAGGAGAGCAAAAGAUGGAUAAAAUAGCUGGUGGAUGAUGUUGCCGGACCUCAGCUGACAUGAUCCCGUGGUGGCGAUGGAUGCUGUCCGAUGACUCGCUGAACCCGCUGCUGGCCUCGAUGAACGAACCGGCCUUCGUGAUCCCGACGGUCUGUAUCAGGGACUGCUUCAUAGGCUUCUUGGUGGGUAUGAAAAUGGAAUUCAUUGGGUUGUCCGACAUGCCUUUUCCGACGUACUGGUUGUCGAGGACCACCGGAAUGUUUAGCUUCUUGAGAUCUUCCUCGGGUCCAAUUCCACUCAGAAGCAGCAGCUGAGGGCUUCCAAUUGUACCAGCGGACAAUAUAAUCUCACUGCUCCCCCCAUCAUUGAGGACUGCUUGGUGUUGCAUGCCGUUCUCAUCCUUGAAGAGGACUCCCACUGCCUUGGGCUGCUGCCCUGUUCAUCGAUUUCAUGUUAGAUAUAUGAUGGAUGACCAGGAUAUCUUAUCCCUAUGUUUCGUUCUGUUGGUAAUUAUUCUCACUUCCAGCACGCUACGUUCAACUGAAAUAACUGCUAUUUCAGAGAAGGCGGCUAGGGUUAUUGCUCUUAGGCCUCUACCUUGCGUAUCGAAAAUAAUCUUCUGAACUGUGGCAUGAAGCAAGACCCUGAGAUUCCUUCUAUGUCCGGCGGCGAGCAGAUCAGCAGCAGUGCUUCGGAAUCCAUGCUUGUCGAAGAUGGUGCCGCCAACCUUAGUCCCAUACAGAUGGUCGUAGGUGUAGCCAUUGAAAGGUGACACACCAGCUUCCAGCAGCCCUUUCCUCAGUGCGGCUUGCCAUGGUGCGAUCUUGGGCCAGUGAACGAUCCUCUUUUCGAUCCAUGGAUAUGACUCAUUCACCAGCUCACCGUUCCAACCUGCCUCCCUCACGUAGCUGUGAAGCCAUGUAAAACUUAAACGGAUCAGUUCAUUCCUUUUCUGGCUUCCUGAAUUAGUGGAAGUUACGAUCCCCAUAGCUUUACAAGCUAAGGGGAGGAGAGCAAAAGAGCAGCUCCAUUCAUUAAGGUGUAAGAAGGUUGAAUAAAGCACGAGGUUGGUGGGAAGGGGAGGUUGGAAUUCAAGUACCAGAAAUUAAAGCAGGAGGUUGGAAGGAAGACUCAAUGACAUCAAGGGCAACCAUCACCACCACCAUAACAGCAAUAAAAUCAGUUUUCCAAGCUUGCCAAGUUUUGGAAUUAAUAGUGAAGACAACAUAUAUAUUUAUGAACGUUUAUCAGAUUGUUUAUAGCCCACUAGGCUCCCCCUUGUAUCAGGACAGACGAGUGAGUUUUUGAGUGGAAACAAAAGAUGGUGUCUAAUGGACAGGAGGCAGUAAAAAGGUCUUUCUUCCCAGCUACUACAAGCUUCUUCUAGCUAGCCAGCAUCAAUUAUUCAACUAAGAACACAAGCAGUAAACAGGAAAAAAAAAAUUUUCAUGAAUUCAGCAAUGAUUUGAAUAUUUUUUUCCUCACUACAAAGAAUAAGCUAAUUAACAUCGCUUUCCAUUACUAUAUUUUAUGAUUUAUUGAAGAUAGUGUAAUCUGAAAAGAAAAUGUGAAUGUCUAUUAAUUCCAGUACAUCUACUGAUUUGCACAAAUUGUUCUCUUUCUGAAAUUGGUCGUUAUCAUCUCAUCACUUAUCAAAACCAUGCAAAGCGAAACCCCCAUUUGCCUUUUUCGUUAAUUGUCAUGCAUCGACAUGAGAAGUGGAUUCUAUCUACUUGCAAGUGCUUUUUCUUAAGCAGUUGACCAUGCUUUUCUUAAGCAGUUAUCAUCUCAUCAAGCAAUUGUUGUCUUUGAAGCAACCAAAUUUUGUAAGUGCUUUUCUUAAGCAGUUGACUUGAUGGUCAUGAGAGAUUGCUUGCAUGAAAGAAAAAAUGUUGAACGAUGUUGCUAAGUACUUUAUGACAUGGUGAUGCAAAAAUUAUCUUGAUGCCUAGAUAUGCAUGCACAUGAAAAGAAGAAAACUUCAAAGAGGUCGUGAUAAUCUAGACUUUGAAAAGGCCUCAUUACCAUUACCCAAAAAAAGAGGGGCCUCCCUAUGCAAGUUUUUACUAGUUGUAAUUAAACCAAGCAUGCUGGCCUUGGUAAAGCAGUAGAAGAGUUAGGAUAAACCAAAGCCACUUUAAUUAAGAAAAUUAAAGAAAGUACAAAGAGAACAAGAUAAGAGACAGUCAGAACAGGAAAAAAAACAGUAAAGCAAAAUUCAGAUGUCACUCGCUAUUUUAGUCUUAAAAUACUAAAUCACGCUUUUCUCUAAAUAGAAGGAACUUGUCAAAUGGUGCUAACAAAAGAGCUUGAAUUGUUCAUGUUUCGAUGACUCGGACAAAAAUAGGCUUAUCUCAAACUUAGAUUUUUAACAUUAACUAACCAAAGAAUGACUACUCGGAAGCAUAUUGUUGGUGUUUUUUUUUUUGUAGAAGAGGUUAUCACCAUUGAUAUAGUAUAUAUUUAUCAGCUUGACCUCAGCAUAGCCUGACCUUGGCAAUUGGUUGAGGUGACGACCUCAGCAUCAGCUGAACCACCAAUCACUACAAUCGAUCGAGUUACUGACCUCGGCAAUGGCCGACUUGCCAAUGUGAACCAUCAUACCAACCUGCACAAACUAAUCAACUAGCAGCACAGACACGUCCCCAAUUCAAAGCAUAUUAAAGAUAGUUAAAAUCCGUUGAAGGCAUGAUUAUGAUCCCGCUAUUUAUGGGGCACAUUGUGGGCGGUUAUAGCUCAUCCCGCAUGAUUGACGGAUCUACACCAUUAUUCAUGGUGCACGUGACAUGCGGAAUUUUACUGAGUAGUUAAGGCUCACUGCUGCCUAACUCGCGCGGUAAUGGACAGUAACCCUCACUCUAUAGUCUCUAUAAACAGUAUCCAGAGGAUCUCCAGGUCGGCUUUUUAAUCACUCUCCUACCAUGCAAUUCUCUCAAAUCUCCAUUGUUUCCUCCAAAAUUUAUAUCUAACUUAGGCAUCACGUGGUCUCCCGCCAGACAAACUCCGACUAGUAAAUUUUCUUUUCUCGAUUUCAGGUCGGAUCACUAGUACCAGACCCAAUUUGAGCUCGCCACCGCAACCGUUCUCCAGCUCAUCUCUUCGGCUCGGAUCACGUCCAAUCUCUCUAGACAAACUCGAUGCCCGUCCGACCUCACCACCUUCAGCUAGGACUCUGGUGGCAACAACCACCGCUCAGAUUUCAACUUGGAACCUCUCACUUGGAGAGAUAGGUGCCAAUAAACUGUACUACCAGCUGCUGGUUUUUUUUUUUCUUUGCAUUAAAACAUGGUGAAGAGACUAAUAAGCAAUUCAGCACAAGGAAAUAACAUAACAGACAAGAGCAGAAGAUCGGAGAUGAGUUGGACGCAUACCUUGGGCUGGCUCUGGUGUAGAAGCCGGCAUUGAUGCAAGUCGCCCCACCUAAAACUCUAGCUCGGGCAUUGAUGACACCAUCGGUGGAGAUGAAUGGUUGAGAAGGAGCAGUGGGAGAGGUGUCAGCCAGAGAGAUGUGGAAGUUCUCCAAGUAGGAGAUGUUGCGAUUGCCAUAGGGGGAGCCUCCCCUCUCCAGCAGCAGAACUUUGUAUCUCUGAGAAAGGGUGGCAGCCAAGGGGCACCCUGCUGUUCCCCCACCAACUAUGAUGUAGUCAUACCCUUGUGGUGGUGUUGAGGAGAACCUGCUUGCUCUCUCCAGAUGUGGAUGCCUCCGCUUGUGGAACCCCCUACCUGAUAUUAUAAAGCAAUGCAUCACAACUUUUCCAGUUUUCUUUUCUUCAUUCACAAAAGAAAAUUUUUGACUGAGGUGGAGGAUUUGAACUCGAAAUUUGGAAACACAUUUGCACUCGGAUUUAACAAUCUCAACAAGCCAGUUUGAGAUUUUCAGAAUUGCAAUGGAAGAAUUACCGGGUGUUACCUUCUCUUAAAAAUUGUUAGCCGUAUAGAAGCUGUGUAUGAGCUGUAUUGUUAGCUGUAUAUAAGUUGUAUAUAUGAGUUGUACAUAACCACCUUCAACUAUAAAAAAUGGGCUAUGGCACUGUCUGGUGGAAGCAAUUGGCCUUCAGCACAUAUCUCAAGUCUUACCAUGCAAUUAUAACAAAAUGUCAAUCAGGAUUACUACAAAAACAAAUUCAGCUUUCUCUCGGAAGAAAAGGAAAAAAGAAUUAAUCUAUACAUAAUGCAGUAAAUUAGCUCGAGUUCUUAGCUUCCAAUCAGAGAACAUACAUAAGGAAAAAGGUACGCAUCGUGACUCAAUUCGUUUGGAGUGCAAAAAUGCAUGUGGCUUUUUCUUAUAUAAAAUCCUAGAAGCAUCUCAAAAAAUAUAUAAAAUCCUCGAAAACUUCUCUCCUUUUGCAAACUGAAGCCUUAUCUUACAACAAAAAAUAAAAAUAAAAAUUUGGGACAAGAAACUAAUCAAACCUAUAGGAAGAAACUCCUAAACUUCAGAAACUGUAGUUUGAAAAGUUAGGGGAACCAAAAUCUUAGAAUAUCUAGAGAAAACUAACUGCCAAGAUGAGUAAAAAGAUACUCUGAAGGUUGAGAAUUUGGAAGAUGGUGGGGUUCCAAGAAUUCAUGCCAAAUGGGAAGUAGUUCUCUUCUCAGAGAACUGGCCGCCGCCUAAAAUUCUAACCAACGGAGGCAAAUUCCCCUGGUUUUAACUUUGAGAUACAGAAAUUUUCUCACAAACUUUGAGACAUAACAAGCAUACAAAAGUUCAAAAAUGAAAUCUAAAGUAUUCGGGGAAGCAAAAAAAAAAAGCAGACCUUGUGUUGAUCCAAAUAUGCUGAGGAACAGCAAGAUUUUAAGAAAAAGCUCUCCCUUCCUGCAAGCCAUGGGUCUGAGAGGCAGCACGAACGCCAGGAGAAUAGCGUGGUAGUGCCGCAGUUCCUAAUAAUAAGCGAUAAAAGCCUAAGCGCCAAGUCUGGCUCUCCUUGGUGCUGCUUACUCCUCUUAUUCUUCCCUUAUUUCUCUCAUUCUCUCUCUUCCUCCAUUAGAUGCAAGUACUAGAGACAGUGCAGGUUUUGGUUAAUAAAGCUUGGUGCAUUUAAGGGAAGGUUGGAAAUCAUUUAAUGGAGGCAUGAAUGCUAGGCUAGCUAGCUUGGAGCAGUCUUCACCGUAACAUGCAACGGAACAAACUUCACUUACCUCAUUCCAAAAGAGACGCUACCGGCUUCCCCCCCAUUAACCACAGCACAAACGUGUCUGCCCCUGCUUGCCAGUGAUCACCACCUUGGAGCUGAUGAGAAAACUAUGGGUCGCCUAUGCUUUUGCCACCAAUGUGGUAGCUCAGUUAGAAUGGAGCGUUUGUUUCUAACCAAGUGGUUCCAAGUUCAAAACGCGCGGACGUCGAUUAAAUUCGAAAACCGGAUGUCCCACCUCUGGACACAAGAUCUAGAAACACUACUGAUCGGCUCGUACCAAGGUGGCGUCGGGAUGACGUACUCACUCGUAAGGAGGUUGCCACGUAGGUGGGGCCAUCCGCGAGAUGGGGAAGGUAUGAGAAAUAUAAGUAUGCCUCUACCUCCAAGAGGGUAAGGGGUGCUUUCUAUCCGUAUCGGACAUAUUCCGGUGGGAGAGAGGCCCAGUGUGGAGUUGCUAUGCAGGAGAGGUCCCCCCCCCCCCUUUUUGAGGAAAAAAAAAAAGGUGUCCACUUGACGUACCUAUCUUUUAGUAACCAAAGCAAUGGAUGGGAGUGGCAAUCGAUCUGGAUCAGAUACAUAAUAGAUUAAAAAUCUGCGGGUCCCAAUUUGACUUUUUUUAUUAAACAGGUAAUCUAAUCUGAUCUUUAAUAUGUUAAAUCAAGUUAAACGGAUUUGGAUGAUUAAGUAUUGCCGCCCCUAAUAUUUUACCAGUACAUGCUUAGCGUACUUCCUUCUAAUUAUUACUCACGUAACAAGCAAAUGAUUGUAUAUUACUUAUAUGCUAUUGUUAUCCCCGCCACAUUAAACAUUUAAACUCUCAUUAUUCCUCCAUCUAUCUCAUUUAUUCCUCCUUCCCUUAUAUAACCACCGGCCGAGUCCCGGCGGCGGCUCCUCCUCCUCCAGCAGCCAUUCCAUCAGAGGCACCACCUCGGUGGCAUGGCCAUUGGUCGUGCAGGCGGCGACCAUGGCCGUCCACGAGGCGAGUCUGGUGGGACAUUUGGUCGAACACCUUGCGGGAGGAGAUGACGUCGCCGCACUUGGAGUACGUGGCGACGAGGGAAUUUGCAGCGACGGGGUGGGGGGCGAGACCUGCUACAAGGGCGAUGGCGUAUAGGGACAACCGAGGCGGAGGGAUGCGAGGCCGGCGGCGACCGUGUCCUCAUUGGAUCGGAGUUUUCCGUACAUCUCGGUGCGGAUCAUGGCCCCAUAUGUUAGACCAUCAAAUGAUCCAAUAAGUGAUUCACGUUAACCUUUUCUCUCUCUCUCUUCUUUUUUUUUUCUCUCUCUCUCUCUCAUUGGGCUCGUUGGUUCGUGAAAAAAAAAAAGAAUGAGAAAAGUAUAGUCAAUGGAAAAGUAAUGAGAUGCCUCUUAUUUGAUUUGAGUUUUCAAACGAGAGAGACGAAAAAGUUGUAUUUCGAUUGAAAUAUGAUUCUCACGGAAAGUUUUUCUCUUGAAAAACAUGUAAAAGUUACUUUCUCGUGAGCCGGAAAUCAUCUCAUUUUUAUUUUUUUUACAAAAAAAUCCUUCAGCAUUAAAAAGACAUUAAAUACCUAAUUUUUAUUAAGAGUAUAAUAAAAAUUACACAUAACUUUUUCAAAAAAGUGGAUGGUCAACCAACAUCUAUCAUUUUUCUAUUGUCAACCAAAAAUGCCAAAAGUAUUUUUUCAGGCAUACUCUUCUCAGAAAUCUGCUUCUCAGAAAUCAUUUUUCUAGAAGGAAAAAUGCUUUCUACGAACCAAACGAGCUCUUUAUUUUUUUUGUUGCUAAGGCAGAAGAGUUAUACUACGGACACGCCCAAAAAAUUAGCAAACAAAUGCCCUAGGCAGCUGCCCUUUCUGGGUUCACGAGGUACCAUGGGAAUGGCAGGACACCCCUCCCUCUUUUACAAUCCGGUGAUGUAGAGUACCGUUACGUGAAAUUUUUUUAAAUUCUCUCGGCAUGAUGCCGUAUAUUGUUGAGGACCACAAUGACCGUUAUACGUCUUCGAAGGUGUGGGCUCUUGACGUGAGCCACAUGGUCUCGAGCACAGUAGACUAGAAGUUAAUGAGGCAAUGUAGUAGGUGGACUUGUGGAAGUUAGGUUUGGAUCAAUUGGAGAACCGUACCAGUCCAACCACAAAUCAGCACACAUAAUUAACAUAGAUAUAACAGAAGCAAAAAGAAAAAGAGAGCAAUGUAGAUGUGUUCGUGUGUGUUAGUUUGCAGCUAGACUGAUCCAUUAGCUCAACAGCAGAUCUGGUCCAACUAAAAAUUUUACAUAAUCGGAGGAUGAGUCAUCCAUGGCUGGACUCAUGUUUUACCAAAGUGCAGCUGGACUUGUUGCUUAUUAAAAAGAGGCUGGAGUGUGGUCUACCAUUCAUGCAAAAGAGGAUGGUGUGGUGUCUCACUCAAAUCUUUAAAUGUAACGCGGCCAAUUAGAAAUAUGGGAGGGCUGCAUCUUCCCCUUUCAUCACGUUUGCUUCACUUGAAUUCUAAAGUGAACCGCAAUGGUAUGGGAUCACAAAUAGGAAAUGUUUAUUAAAAUUCGGCUCCUCAUUUCUCAUGAGAAUUUAUACUUCACUUUUAAGACUCUGCUGGCUUUUUUCAGCUUGCAAAGCAUGCAUGCAUCGAAAGCAAUUCCACAGCUUUCUUCUACAGUUCAGGUCUCUGUCAUUGGGACCAAUAUGUCCUAUAUUUGCUUAGGGUUGUUAAAGCUUCUAUUAUAACUAUGGGUACAUCUUAGUUUUUCUUACCAUUAAUAAGAGAAAAAAAAAAGGUUGUUCUAGACUUUUCUUGCCGCUAAGAUUUUUGUUAGCUUUCUAUUGCUUCUAAGUGUAGCAAGUUCCCCUGAAAUAGAUGUUCUUACCAUUAAUAAGAGAAAAAUAGUUGUUCUAGGCUUCUUGCCUAUGGUUUACUCAAGAAUGGGGGCAGCAUACAGAUACCCAUCAUUGUAGGAAUUUGUAGCAGUACUGGUAUCUUCCAGAUUGGAGCUUUUUGUCCUAGUGGUCGAUCCUCUGAUUAAGAACCUGAGGUCCUUAGUUUGAGUCUUGAAUGGUUCAUUUCCAAGUACUUGAGCUCAGAUACUUGUAGUGCGAAAUGGAUCUCCUCCCUUUUGCCCGGUGGAAAAAAAAUCUGUAUUAGAAUCAUAGGCACAAGAAAAGAUGAAUUGACUGGAGAAAAAAAAAAGAGAAAGGAGUGCCAUACUAAUAGAUUUAGGUUACAAAGGUGAUGUACAUUAAAUCUCGAUUCUUUCCUCUUUCUAUCAUUUAUGAGAGAAGAUAUCAUGUUGUAAAUACAUUUGCAUGAAAAUAUAUAUUUGACCAAAAAAAAAUGAAGAUAUUGAGAAAAUUUUAAAAGUCUGAUCCAUGUAUCUCUUUGGUUCCAUUAGUUAGUAAAACAUCUUAUUCUAUGUACACAACCCCUUGCAGAAAUACAUAGAACCUGGAAGAUGAAUUCGCUUCUUGAAAACUGUUAUCUGCAGCAAAACCAUGCUGAAGGUUGAGCCAAUAAUCAAGCAAUUGACAACCUAUGGACAAGCAGCUGAGCAAAAACAUGGCAAGCAGUGGCAUUCAAAAACAUUUAAAACUCAUCCAAGUACUCCAUACCAAAUAGUGGUCGCUUCGGUGGUGAAGAUUUGGACAGGACAACCCCAGCUAGAACCAGAUAAAGCCAAGCUUGUCCAGGACGACCCCAGCUAGAACAACUCUCAGGUCUCAUCAUAGAAUACAGGCUCACAUAAUAGCAAGUCUUGCACUCUGCAGACACAGAAGAGGGGAGAGGAAAAAAUAGGUUUCUGGUGGGGAUCAUGCUUUAACCAUAGGGGCCAUCUAAGCAGCCUCAAUGUUGGUGAAUGCAAUUAUUAAAUCCUUUCCAGCUAAGCUGUCUCUUCAAGACUGCAACUCAAGAAAAGAUGAAAGCAAUUCGCAGCGGCAGGAGCGGCGGCAGCGGCAGAGAGCAUGGCAUUACGAGUAUUGGAAUUCUGAACCGCAGCAUCAAGCAUAAAUCAUAGGUUAAAGGUUUGUAUAGGGAGAAUAAGAAAUUGUACAUACCAAUAAAGGCAGUUGAAUAGAUUGAUCGGUGAAGAGAGCUACACUUACAGAGUCAAAAACAGUUAAUUGGAGUAGCAGUCUUUAUUCCAAUUCCAACUACAGAAUGAUCCUCAUAAGCCAAGAUUCAGUAUUCCAGUCUGGAGAAACAGAACUGCAUCAAUAAUGUACAUUGCCAUUGGGCAAAAGAAUACUAGUUGAAUCCUCCUGAUUUUCUUAAUCAGAAUAACAAGGAAGCUUCUUUGAACAUAGCAGCUUCAUUAGUCAGAUUUCUAUUUGUGCCCAAAAGAAUAAUGCUUCUUGUUUCAGUCAUGUUUAUCCUUCAAGAGAAUAAGCUGCAAAAUUUUCCCAUCUUUAUCCAACCCCCACCACGAACUUCUCCAGUUUCUUAGGGAUUACUGCUUCCCUUUGAUGAACAAGGGCCUUCUGAACCCUACUCAUCCUAGAGCAUGGUCAGCUGCCAGGAUAGUUCUGUUGAUGGAUCUGAUCUUCAGCAGUGAUGAAAGGGAACCGUAUUCCUACACCCACUGAUCACUACUCACAAAACCAGUGCCGAAUCUCCCAAGCUCGCUUGCACUUCCUGAUGAGAAGCCUCUCACUCUAUGCCAAAACUGCCCAUUCCUACCUAUUCUGAGAGGGCCUGAGCUUGAACACCUUUGGAAAGAUCCAGAAACAUUCCUUGUAAACCUUGCUAAUGUGUUGAAUAUAUCAGAUGCCGAUAUCACCCUCUCCGAUUCCAGAUCCAACCCUGUACUGAUCCUUAUUUCCAUACCCCGCAUAGAUAUCGCCUCCUGGCUGCAGCUUCCUGAUCCUCUACACUCAGCACCAUCGUUGCAGACUAGUGUUAAGGCUUGAACUACCUCGCCCAUAAAUGGACGCUGAUUAACUUCGGGCUGAACACACAUUGAAGCAAUGGCUGCAACUUUUGCCACGCUGCCAAAUGGACUGGUGCCAAGAGACGGAUCUAUGAUAUUCUCUAAUCCAUCCUUGCUAGUAAGAUGCGGACGAGCCCAUGUCACCAGAUUUUCUUGUCCUGGAGGCCGCAACAUGUCAACUGGUUUCCUUCCCAUUAGGAGCUCAAGGAGGACAACACCAUAGCUGUAAACAUCGCUCUUGACAAGAAGAUGCCCCGUCAUUGCAUAUUCUGGGGCUACAUAACUACGAAAAAAGAAAAGCACAGCUUUUAUCAUUUAAAGCAUCACAUUGAGUCAUAAGCAACAAGAUAAUUAUGACAUGUUAGAGCUAUAUACCCAAAAGUUCCCAUAACACGUGUUGAAAUGUGCUCGUUUUCCUCAUCCAGAGCUGUUCUGGCUAGGCCAAAAUCAGACACUUUGGGAGUGAAGUCAUGUUCCAACAAGAUGUUACUGGCUUUGAAAUCACGAUGUAUGACACGAGGGCUUGAAUCUUCAUGCAGAUAUGCUAGACCUCGAGCAGCACCAAGCGCAAUCUUCAGCCUAGCAUUCCAAUCAAGUGGAGCAAUUUCCUUAUCCGCUCCUAUGUAGAAAUCACAGUUCAAAUUGUUUCUAAGAAGCAGCUUGAAAUCAAUGAAAGGAAAAUACUAAAAUAACAUGAUGUAACUAAUGAAUAAAUUUUUCGUCGGCCUAAACCUAAACUAGUUAUCUCCGUACCCUCGGGGCAAUUGGUCCCAAGACUGAUAGGCCAGAAACAAACUCUAUUAUGUUCAAACAAGGUCAACAAUUUGACCAACUGGAAGCAUGCAGACAGUGAUAAACGUCAACAGUUGGAAAACAAGCCCAAGACUGAUAACAGAUAUUUUGGGGCUAAUGCUCUACAAUUUGGAUAGCCACUGGAGUCGCUGAUCGAACUAAAUGUGCAUUAUGGAUGAUAUUUCGUGAAUGACUGAAUUAUUAAGCAAAAAUAUUCUGCAUAAUGUAACAUUAGGAACUAGUAGCAGUACUUACCAUAUAGAUGAGAUUCCACACUGCCAUUUGGAAUGAGUUCAUAGACCAGACAGCGGAAAUGCUCCUCUGUGCAUAUACCAAUCAACUUUACCAAGUUUCUGUGAUGCAAGCGGCUCAGCAUCUCAACCUCGGCCAAGAAUUCCCGGCUACCCUGCUGAUCAUCUCUCUUGAGCACCUUAAUGGCCACUCUUCUUCCAUCCUCAAGAGUGCCUUCAUAUACACGUCCAAAACCACCUUCACCAAUAAUUCUUGAAUCAUUAAAUUUGUUCGUAGCUCUUUCCACCUCGGCUAGGCUGAAUGAUUUUGCUGAUCCGGUACAUGUUGCAACACUAGGGUUGAAGGAUGCUGAGGCAGAACUUGGCCUACUUCCAGAUAUUGUACGUCUACUCCCUGUAACUUUUUUGGCAUAUCGAAAAGGAUAUACUACAAAAUAAAAAUCACAUUAAUCAAAGGUGUCUCUAGAAUCUCCUUUUAUUAACAUGAGCAAAUGGACACCAUUUUUGAUUCUGGGGAUAUACCAGAGACUGUAUAAAUAUUUCGUGUUGAAUAUUUAUUCUAUUAUUACCUAUGGUUAAGUUGCUAAAGUCUGUACAUACAAAAUGAACUGGAUCAGCAAAUGUAACUUAAUGUUAACUAGAACGAUGUUAUUGAGAGUUGCAGAUUUGAAUGUCAGUUUAUUAUCAUCCUUUUUACCAACUUCUGAUAAAAUCACCAUCACACAAAUUGAAUAGGAAAUAUUAUUACCUGAUGCCUUUGCAAAUGAAGGUAGCGAUAUCUGUGGGGUUGGUUUUGGCAAAUGAGAAAUUUGUCUAUGUUUCAACAAGAAAACGCACACAACUCCAACACAUAAUACCAAUGCUAUAACAGCUGAAAGAACUAUGAUAGCUAUUACAGUGCCACUUUGUUUUUCUUUUUGCUCUCUCAAAUCAACCCCAAGAGGAUGUUUUGUCCUUGAGUUAUUGUCACCGCCAUAAACAUUUCCAGGUGCCGUAGAUGGUGGAGGAAGCCCUGCAUAUAUAAUAUAAAAGAAAAUCAAGACAAGCCAAGCAUGACAACAGUCAAGUAUGCACUAUCAGAAAGAAAUUUUCGACAGUGAAAAUGCUUUCUCUCCAUGUAUCAUGUCUCACCAGAUGCUUUGAACUCUAAACUUCCAAUUAACUGGGCACUUCUAUGACAUUCUAUUAGGCAGAACAUCACAUCAUGAGAGAUCCUAGCCCUCCAUCUUUUCCAAUUCAUCAAAAAUGAGGCAAGUUACCUUUUUCUGUUUUCUAAUCAAAAAGCACCGCUGCAAAAGAUCUAUGCUAGUUAGGAUAAGCAAUAUAUUAGUUAUAAUAUUGAACCCGAACUCUCGAGUGCUUGAGGCUCCUGGUCAUUCUUUUUAACAUCUCUCUCUUGACAUUGUAACUACUCCCAUCUUUAAUAAAACAACUCCGAUGAGAAAAACAGUUGAGUCAAACCUCCCAAAGUUGGGAGUUUAUUUUCAAAAUAAAAUCAAUAAUGAAAUUAUUUAAUCAGAUUGGGGGAUCACAACCAUCCAUACUACCUCUCUCAUGCAUCACACGUGCCACACUCCAAAGUGCCUCAUUGUUUAAGAGGCUCUAAUUCAUGAAGCUCCAACCCCCUAGAAUCAGUCCUAUUAAACCCCAUAUAGUUCAAUUCUUGCUCUUAAAAGCAAGGUCCGCCGUACCGGUACCGGUCGGCAUACCGGUGGCCGGCCGGACCGAUACGGUACCGGUCCGGUCCGUACCGGCCGGUACCGGUACUGUACCGGCCCGGUACGGUGCGGAGCUGUGGUUCUUUUGAAAAAAAAAUGACGUACCGAUGAGAACCAGCCGGUUCGCACCGGUAUGAUGCCGGUAACGCUACCGGCACGGACCACGUACCGGUCGGCUCUCCUAAAAAACCAUCCGGUACUGGAUUCCACGCGGAUCCGGUACCGAUCUAGGGCGGGACCAGUACAGCAGACCAUGCUUAAAAGUGAAGGGAACCUCCCAAACCAAGCUUAUAUUUAUGAAUUAUAAAAUAUGCUUAAUCAUACCUCUCCCAUGCAUCAAACAUGCUGAGGAUGUUAUAAGAAUAAACAAAUGCACAGCAUGUGCCUAGAUCUGAUUGUUUAUGAUGCUAACAGAAGGUAAUGUGGCCCAGUUAGUCGAUUGUUCAAAUCAUCCAUCAAAAAUGACACAUGGAGAUAUAAGACGGCACUCCAUUUUACGCUAGACACUUUAUGCAACAUAAAAUUUGCAUUGACUAACAUGAGGAAUAACACCAAAACAUGUACUCUAACCUGGAUAGAGAACAUAUAAUACAUCAUAAUCCCCAAAAAAUGAGGGGUUUAUGAAAACCUGCUUGUGCCCGAACUUCUCAUAAACUAAAAAUGCUGUGGUGUUGUCGAAUUUGUCUCCAAGUGGCACCAGAUCAAUGAGUACAAUAGUUUUGUCAUUAUCCUCACUGGCAGCAUUUGCUCCCAUGAUAUGGACCAGACUUUGUUUCAUGAAAACCCCAUAUGCAAUUUCUUGGGCAAGCUCAGAGACUAAAGGGAAGAAUGUGUAUAGUGCAAUGCUUAGACGAAGUCCAACUCUUAUUGGCAUCACACAAGCACAUGGUGAUCCUGGAGCGCUAUUUGUUAAAGGCUCUGUGCAAGAUAAUGGCAUAGAACAGUCUGCAGACAAACCAAAUAAACAAUGAUUGCAAUUGUAUAUUCAGCUAGACUUGGAGAAUCUUAGAACAAUGCAAUGGGAAUAUCACAAAAGUUGACAACUACGCGGUGACAAAAUGAUGACUCUCCGUACCUACCUAGAUUAGGUGGUGGAGGCGGUAAUGAAUGGAAAGGUUGAGGCUGUGGUGCUCUUGGCUUUCCUGCGGCAAAACCAGAAGGAGAAAGCACAGGAGAUUGAACAGGCCCUGUAGGCAUCAGCAUGAUCAAAAACCAGUAACAACUAGUAUUGUAAAAAGGGAGAAACAUGUAUCAGAACAAGAGUACAAAAUAAGAGCACUAAGUAUACGUUUAUUUUGGCUAGAUGGGAAUCUUAUAGAUGGGGAAGGCGUAGGGGUUCCUUCAUUAUCUACCGAGUAAAAUGGAGCUCGGGAAAUGAAGGGCCUGAAGAAAAAGAUACAGGGUCUAGAGUUAAAGCAAUAAUACAACUGUUUGCUCUGGAUGUUAUUUAAUAAAUUUAAUACCUUGAAUAAAAGGUGGCAGAGCACGAUGCCCUCUACUAUGCUUUGGAAGUGCAGCUGGAGGAUGCGAAGGAGCUGGAGAAAAACAUCUGCCUCUUAUUAAAACCCAAUAAAGGAUCAACAUAACAUUUUCAGUUGUAUCAUUCCAACCUGGAUUGUGGAAUUCUGCAGAAGGAGCAGAUGCAGGGAUUCCAAUUCUUUUCCUAGCUGUUGGCUGGCGAAAUGAAACUCCAGGUACUGGUGCAUGCCCAUGAAGUAUCCUUUCCAUUGGAGGUUGGGGAAGUGAAUUGGAAGGAGCAUUUACUGUAUUUGAGGGAACAUCAGCCUCAUGUGGUGCCGGGCUUAUAACAGGAAAAGAGCCUGUGGAAAAGAUUAUCAUUGGAUUAGCAUUUUUAACUUUUCAUUCAUCAUUUUUCAAGGAGGAGAUGAGUACCUUUUGUGUGUGAAUAAGCUGUGGGGGAUAAAGGGCUAGAUAUAUGCCUUGGUGGUCUCCCAUGGUUGACAAAAGAAGUGGUGGGUGCCAGAGAAACAGCAGGCCCUGCACAUCAUACAUUGCCACAAAUGCAUUAUCAACAUAUAAAGAUCAGUCGUGGAAUCGGUUUGUUGGAGAAAUAAUAGGUGUUGAACAUCAUAGAUUGUGCAUGAUCAUUAAAAAAGAUCCAUCAUACAUUCCAACAUUUUGUUUUCAGCGAGAAGAAGAAGAAUACCUUUUGCCACAAAUGCAUGAUCAACUUCAAAAAAAAAAGACACGAAAUUUGCGGCUUAUAUUUUGGAUCUAGUAUUUUUUUUGUUAAAGAGAAUAAUACCUUUGGGAUGAGAAUAAUUUGCUUGUGUUGAAUGACUGGACAAUUCCUUUGGUGGUGCAGCAGUACGCAUGCCAUAUCCAUUCCCUUGUAUGACAGGAGAAGCAAUUGAUUUAGGAGGAACAGCCAGCUCUGUACAUCAUUUAUCACCAUAAAUGCAUGAUCAAUUAAACUUGAAAAAAUUGUAAGCCAAGGAACGAUCGAGGAUACAAUGAACCAUUAAGCAAGAAAUCCUGAACGACUAGUAAAAUGCCAACAGAAUUUAGGUCAGCUGGCUGGUGCCUCUCCUUAGUGGAGAGGUUCCAGGUUUGGUCCGAACAAGAAGAAGAAAAGCAUAAAGUGCUCAAAUGCUUAAGCUGCAAAUUUGUAGUAUGAGGAGCAAGUGGUGUUGUGGAUCGAGCUAUUUUCUCUCUAGCCGGAAACACAGUAGGUGGUUGGAGUGGAGAUUUUCUUGGAGACAGCGAAACUGGUUCAGUCACAUAGACUUAGAUAUUAGAUUUAUAGAAAAAUCAUUCAUUGGCAACCAAGUGAAUGUGCUGUUAAUUAACCAUAUCCUGUGCAUGUGGUACUGGAACUGGAGAAUUACUAUUGGGUGCCUUUUUACAAACACCAGCCACAGGCACUCCAAUUCCAGUAUGUGCUAAUGGAGGGAUCAUAUAGGAUGGAGAAAGAUCAUGAACUGUAAAUGGAUAUGGCAUGCGUACUGCUGCACCACUAGGGAGAUCACUGUUGGUCCUUUUUUGGUUGUUACAUGAUCAGGUGCAGCACUAGGAAUGGUAUUACUGCUUGGGUGGAAGGGAGUAAAACCAGAGACUUAGGCUGUUCGGGCAUGUACAGCAGCUCCUAACAUGUAAGCUUAAAAUUUUAGCAAGUGGCCUUAGAUUUCACAAGAAAUUCAAUAUAUUUCCAUCAAGGCUACCUUCAGGGACCAUUAUUUGAUAUGUGCAUAUUCACUUGAUUAUGGAAGAUACACAGGUGUAGGUCCUCUCUCUUUGACAUGUGGCAGGGCAGGUGAUAUGUGUGAAUGGGAUUCAUGGAACCCAGCAUGAGAACAGAAGCAUUUAUAUCCAUGUUAGUGUUUGGAAAUUCAAAUCAACUGAACUGGUCCUAAAUAUUAAACUGUACUUGGUGGUUCAAGUGGUGGAAGAAUGGAUGGAGCCAGCAUGCCUGAGGGCUCGAGCUUCAAAUCCGUGUCAUUUGGUGGAGGCCCAGAUGUUGUUGAUAGCAGUCUUCUGCGAGCCCAUGGAUGUACAUGUGAUGAUUUUGAUAGUUUCUGUACAAAAUUUGAAAUUGGACCUACAACAACAGUGUUAGUGAGAUCAUAUAAGCACAUAGCCAUGCUCUGAAGGUACACUAAAGUGUAUUUCUAAACCAUGCAAAAGCAGGCAUAUGUAGCCAACAAAUUCCCAAAAUGUUACAUGGAGUUGUUGUUAGGGCAACCGCUGGGACACAUAUAUCAUAUGCAACUCGCAUUUUGCAUGUCGUUGUAAUUCAGAACAACAUUCAAAAUACAAUCAUUCUAACAGAAGAUGCAACGAACUGGUUAAUCCACAUUGGAUGCAUCAGUUACUAAUUUAAGAAAAUAAUAUAUUUUUAUGUAUUUUAGCAUUAUAAAUUGGUGUGAUUUAGAACAUCAACUUAAUUUGAGCACAAGUAUUCAUCUCGUAGUCAUAAAUUUCAGUAAAUAAUAAGAAAAAGUUAUGUUAUUCACUCUAGCAAUGAAAAUAAUAAAUAUCAAAGAAAUUAAAAGACUCUGAUUUCAAAUUCCAUCUCUUGCUGCUUCCUCCUAUUUGCUCCUACAUAGGCAUCUCUGUGUAAGGGAUAUAUGUGAAGUAAAGGAAGCACAGAUAUGAAAGCAUAUAGAAAAACUCACAUACACAGCCUAUUGAAAAAAGCAAUUAUUAGCAUGGUGUUAACUUCUUCUCCAAACACAGACUCCUCUCUAAUAAUAACUUGUUGUCUCUUUACUAGUCAGAAUUAACAAAUAUCCCCAAUAAAGUAGAGCAUAACACAAAUUGUCGGUCAGUUGUUAAAAAACAUUACCAGUUAGUGACACUAUAAAGAAAAAUUGGUAGCAUGUUCACAACACAUUUUGUUAUUAAAUUUUUCAUUGAACCUAUUAAUUAGAGUGACAAAGAAACUUGACAUAAAGAGACGAUAUUUUGCAUCCAAAGUAAUAAGUAUAAGGAGAUCUUGAAAUAGGCAUGUGGUGAAGCGAGGUAUGCUCGAUCUACAUGUUCUCGUGGAGUUGGGAACCCUGACAGGGUGUGUAAGCAACAAGUCCACUCUGUUAAGGGAACCUUGCUUAAUAGCUCAUGUAACUUACCAAGACUAGAUGCAAGCAACUAAAAAUUAUGGUGUAUGUGCCGUUUUUACAACACAUAUACAUUAUUUUUAUCUGCACAACCAGGUAGAUCUAGUGCCCAGUUGACACAAUUAUCUGGAGGUUAACCAUUGAACAGCAUAUAAUAGUAUUUUCCUUUUAAUGCUCAUACAGGAGUUGGAUUUAUAGGGGAACUGAUUUUCAAGAACAAGCAUCAUAUCCAUUGAGCAUGUGUUGGUAUGUUGAGGAAACAUUCCUAAGCAUUAUGUUUUGGUUGAAAUUCUCCCACAACAUUUUAUCUGUCAUAAAGGUAAUUUUUCCCAUUUGACCUUUACAACACCUCUGCUAUCUUCCCCAAACACCAUGAUAAAUGAUCAUAAGCAGCAACUAUCUUUGGGGCGACCCAAUCAUGUCUUUCCACUCCACAGCACCAAAAUAAAUAUUUUUUGCUGGCACACUCCAUUGAGUGUCCAUUAUUAUUAUUAAAACUCAAAAGGACACAUUAUGAAAGAGUAGGUGAAAAUUAUUUUAGUUUGAACUGCAACUAGCGGUGUAACCAAACCAAGCUUGAUCAAGCAAGAAUCCAAUCACGUUUGGUUUGAAAUUAAUUUCAAGCCUGAAUUUCAGAUCAAGCUUGAAUUGUUUACCAUUAUUUCAAGCCUGAUUUGAUCUGAAUUUCAAAUCAAGCUGAACAUGAGUCUGCUUGACCAGAUUAACAAUCCAAAAUCAAUCUGAAGUCAACUCGAGAUUAAAUCAAGCUUGGUUCCAGCAUAAAUGAAAGCUUGAUUCUUGAUUUCAUGUUUCAUUCCAAAAGUUUGGUUCGGAUCUAAAUUAAAUUAACAUUUAAUUGAUCCAAAGUGUAAAAUAACACACCAGUGAGAACUUUAAUCCAAUGAUCCAUUAUAUAAUUUAAUUUAAAUAUAUUUGACUUUACUGAGCCGAGCUUGAUCGAGCUAGGUCAAUUUUUGGCUCAGCUCGAAAUUAAUUUGGAUCCUAUUUUGCUGGUUCAAGCUUAGUUUGUUUAGCUUCAAACCAAGCUUGAUUCAAACUUUUCUCACGCAGAGCUAGAGCUGAGCUUGAGCUGCUCAGUCCGUUUGACACCCCAAACUGCAACUUACUCUCUUCAUAGCAAUUUAAAUUUUCCAAAGCAUACCAUGCUCUGAGAAGGAAUAUGUCCGUUUCCUCUUUACGGCCUGAAUGCAAAUCCCAGAAUUAACAGCUUCCAGUUAAGCACUUGUUCGGACUCAGUUUUAAUCAUUUAAGAUCAAGUCCGGAUAGGUUAAUCCAGAACUCAUGGCCGCAGAUAAUGUCGCCUUUUUUCUUAAUUUUGACGUGCAUGCAUGCAUUUCCAAUAUAUUUUAAAUCUUUUACCAAACGAUAUCUUUUGAGAAGAAAGAUUAGAUGACAAAAGCAUCAUUUAAGCAUACCUGUCUUGAUGAGAAGGAUGGGUCAUCUGAGAGCAAAUCUGGAUGAAGUGAAUGCAAUUCGAUGAUGUUUAGGAUUAAAGCAAGAAAAUUCGAACCAGUUUCUUAUGAAAACAAAGCCUUCAGAUGAGCUGUAUUACAAUUGUGCAGACUUCUUGAUGGUUUUAAUAACAUGUUUUGUGGGACUAUAAGAACUAUGUACCUAAAGCAAAUAGUUUUCUGUCGCUUCUUCUAAACUGCAUGAAAUGAAUCCUGAAUCACAUAACUACCUGCUCUCUUUACCCAUUUAGAGUCGAAUCAAAAACGUUAAAAAAAUCUCUCUUAACUCUAACCUGAAGUUUACCCAAACUUCUGUCGCUUCCCCGAUUCCAAAUUAGAAUGGGAGAUAGCGGCAAAGGGGGAAAAAGAUCCAAGGUGGAGCCAUAACAAAACCAAAUAGUGUCCCAAGUUUGCUUUUUCUUUUUUUCAUAAAUUAUAACACAGCUAAAGCAUAACAAAAAUAUAAAUUAAACACUUCUGCAAUGAAUUUUACCGUGAGAUCCAUGGACGGCCAGAAGAACAACCACGACUAGGAGAACCCAUGGGCGAAGAGUCUCUCGCCAUCGCCCCAUCCUACUGCUCCCCUCACUCAACAUAAAUCCAACAUCGAAUAACUCAACAAAAGCUUCUCGUAUCCAGGAUCGAAUAACUCAACAAACCCUCACAGCCACCUCUGCACCUUCCUCCACUCCAAGAAAACUCAUAUCAGGUGAAGCACAGAACCCAGAAAACCUAGAAAAGGACAGAGCUGAAGCACCCACCAGGAGUAAGAGAUGGGCAACGCCAAAGGCGACAAAUUUAAGCAAAACCAUGUCGGCAAGCAGCGAUUUUGAUAUCAAAAAACAAACCGGGACAGCAGAGGAAAAAGAUCGAGAACGGUGUUCAGAGCAAAUCUCCACAGCAAGAAACGAGGGCUUAUGUUGCCAUGACGAAUAAAAAACUUCAAGUUAGCUCCUUUAUGGACCAAAACCUCCAAAAAUAGCUCCUUUACAUGAGAGAGAGAGAGAGAGAUGCUAAGGGGACAGUAUGGUGAAGUUCAGCCAACAGCCCUUGGUGAAUUGGUGGAAAAGUUUCUGAAGAGGAAUAAAGAAAUAUAUAAUAUGGGUGAGGUCUUUAGGAAGAUAUUGUGGGGGCUUUGUUUAGUGGGGAGGGACCAAUCCUUGGACCCUUUUCUAGCACCAGAUUCUUUGCAUCCAUCUCAGGCUCUCUAUGUUGGUUGAGGUCAUUCUUCCUAGUCUCAAGAAAUUAUAUCCUACACCAAGCCAAUCACAAAUGCAUGUUUUCAUGCCUCCCAUUCAUCAAGGCUCAUUUGGAUGACUAAUACUUUCCAUCUCCCACCAUCUUUAUGGAGUGUGGGACUAAAAAGAGGGUGAUGUUAAGGGUGGUUGGAUGAGGCAAUCGAUUAUAAAAUCAUUAGAGCUGUUUCACAUGGUGAUCUUGGAAGUUCAUGCUAGGGACUAUUGUUAGCUUAGUUUAAUGAGAGCUUCAUGGUUGGUUAUGGUGGAGUGCGAUGCAGUUGCAGUAGUUCGAAUGGAUACUUAAUAUAUGCCAAUUGGGAUGGACAAGCUGAAAAAGGAGGUUGGUAAGGACAUCAAUUUUUUUUCUGUGAUUUCGAGCUAUUUGACUCGAUUAGGCCCUCAUACACUAGUUUCCUAGCACAUGAUGUUCGUGAUAAUAUUGUUGCUAACAAUAAAACCAAAAUGAAAAAGAUUUCCCAUGUGCGCUUUUGAUUAAUUCUUGCACUUGUGUAUUCAUCUCUAGACUCGUCACAAGUAGAAUGAUAGUAUAAGGUUUGAUUUAUCAUUCUUUUGAUAUAGAAAAAUGUCAAUAAUAUUAAGAUGCACUUAAUAGCUGCCAGUGAUCAGAUGAGCGUGAGUCGUGAUUAAGACAUAUCAUAGAGCAAUCCAAGUAAUUAAGUGUACAAAUUUGUAUAUGAUAUUCAUUUCUAUCAGCAAACCUUCAUGAUCGAGAUAGGAUAGAUGAUAUAAAGCAUUGCUAAAGUAUGAAUCGGCAAGAAACUUUUCAGAGUCUGAAAAUCAGAACUUUCUAUUAGAAAUUAGAGAAAAACAUUAAUAGUUCUGGAAUCAUGAGACGCUCAAGAGGAUGAAUAUCGAAGAAAUUAUAGUAGUAAUAAAAGCAUACAUAGCUAUCCAAUAUAAUCAUGAAUAACUCAGGACUGUUUUACAUUCUUUAUCAUUUCAUGGACUAAUAACCAGAUCAAUCUUUGAUCAAACUCCUGAUGGUCAGUAGAGAUUAUGUUAAUAGUUGGAGACUGUGGCUGUUCUACAUACUGUAGGCUCUGACAGUCUCGCUGCAGGACACUAUACAAGAUCCUUCCUUCUACAAUACUCUCUCUCUCUCACCCAACAUUUUGUGAAGAGGUUGUGGAGCCACCAUCGCAUUGGACUAGUACCUGGGUAACUCUCACGCAGAAUUGAAACCACAUGUUGGGACCACCACUAUAAGAAAAGGUAGAGGAUUGGAUGGCUGAAGCUAAGGCACUAUCCAAUACCUAUCAAUGGACUCUUCCUGUUUGUUUGGCUGGUCACAGAGCUGGAGCUUGAUUCAAACUACUGGUUCAGAGACAAGCAAUGAAGGUUUCCUCAAGUGACCAUAGAAGUCAGCAUGUCACUGAAGGUUUGCAGGUAAAACAGCAUCUCCCCACCUAGAAUGAGAGUUUAAAAUUCAGAAGGAAGAGCUCUUUUGGUUCCCCACUCCCAAAGGCUUGGUUGGUGGCCCCACUCAAACAGCAGAGAUCUCAGUGGCAUAUAGAUCCUUUGGAUUGCUCUGAUCUUCCCUUGGCUGCAGCACCACCGAGUCCUCUUCAAUCUGCCAUCAAUGCUUUCCAGCAAAAGCUAAAUCAUUAAUGUAGCAAAGAGAGAACCAAUUUGUGACUACGUCUAUAAGAAUGUAAACAUGUCCUGCUUCUUCACAGUUUAUGAGUAAACAUUUUUUCCAUGAAAUUUGGAAAUAUUAAAAAUUUUCUAAAAGAAUUGAUGAGAAAAAAGGAGGAAAAAAAAAUCAUACGGAAGAAGAGCUUGUACAAUUCGUGAGAGUAAACAAGGAGGCAGCGCCUUUCAAAUCAUGUUCUGAAACAUCCUCAAUAGGGUUUAAUUCUUCUUUCGACUCUAUCUUACCACUGCAAAAUUAAACAAAAUAAUGCAACUUUUAGAACCGAAGCAACAAAAAAAAAGAAAAGGAAAAGGAAAGGAAAAAAGAACAGUGUGCACCAAAUAUUUAAAGCAUUCAUCAUGAUUAUAAGGAGGCUUACGUUUUUUUUCCCUCUAUAAUGUAACUUAUUAUUGCUGUAAUGAAACGUACAAUUCUAUUCAUUUAUUGUAUUUAAAGGUUGGUUUUUGCCACUUUUAAAAACCGGUGAAUUGGAGGUUGACCGACUAAUCCGACCUCCUAAUUUCCAAAUCCAGUCCUCAAAUCCCGAUGCAACUCUAGGACAUGAUUUAUAGAAAGAGAGAGAAAAAUGCAGCUCAUUCAGAAACCGGUGUUGUUCUGGAAAUUUUCGUCCAAAAUUUUUUAUGUCAAAAUAAUGGUAUGAGAUAUGAUGGAUUUGCAUCUUUGUAUAAAAAAAAUAUGGAAAUUGCACGGAAAUUUUCUGCUCUAUAUAGAAAGCUGAAUAAAUAUGGAAAUAUAUCACCAUGCAUUAAGGGUAUAAUUUUAAAAUUUAACAGUAUUUAUCGAGCAAUUAGAAAAUUCAGAUCCUCCUUCCAUCUCCACGUCUCUUAAUUCUAACUUUCAGAAAACAUCCCUGCAGGUCUUUUAUUCUUCUGUACAGACCGAGCCUAGCUUAAUUUGAACCAUAAUUUUUUUAAGAAAAUUUAUCAGAAGCACGAGAACCCUGACCCUAACCUGCACUGAAAUGGUUCAGCAACAGCAGCAGCAGCAGCGAAAUUCUUGGCGGAUUCCUCCUCGUCAUCCCCUAUCAAUGCCUGCCUGAUCUCGAACAUGUCGACGAGCGACUUCACGUCCUCCUCCUCCUCCUCAACCUCGCACGGCAUCGACGUUGUUGGGACCUCCAUGUGGACGACCCCUCUGUUAUUAUAAUUACGAUGAUGAUUCUUGCCAUUAUUGUUAUGAUGGUCGUCGUGGGGGUCGUCAUAAUAGAAAUAAUCGCAGAACUGCUGCUGGGGUUGCCGCUGAUGCAUCGGAAGAACAACACCGACAGUGUCGUCUGCAUUUAGAAUGAGAUUGGGAUAGACGACGCCGAGGUCGGAGGCAACGGCGGUGGUGGCAGGGGAUGGACCUGGUCGAGCCUGGGAGCGGCAGAUGGCGAGCUGGCGGAGGACGAGGGCGAGCUCGGCGGAGUCGCGCUGGAGCUGGCGCUCGAGCUCGAGGAUGAUGCGGUAGCACCCGCCGACAGGGUCGUGGGCGCGGGCGUUGGACUGGAAGAUGAUGGAGCGCAUGGCUUCGGCACGCUGGACGGGGUCGAGGUGGCGGAUGAUCUUGAGGAUGUUGCUGACGCCGAAAAGGCGGUGGGCGUUGAGGAAUUGGCGUUGCUGGUCGGCGGGGAAGUAGGGGGCGAGGGUGCAGUCUCGAUUGCACUUGCGACGCUGGUACUUGCAGGCGGCGCAGGCCUGGGUGGCGGAGGCGGAGGCGGAGGAGGGGCGGUGGGGGUGGGGAUGGGAGGUGCUGGUGGCGCUGGUAUUGGAGGAGGUGGCAGCGGUCAUGGUUUGAAUUAGAAGGGAAUUUGGGCGAUGGGGCGAGGUUGGUGGGGGGGAGUCUCCUGAGCCUGCGGUUCCGGCGGGCCUUCGGUGGGGAGGAGGGUUGAGAUCGAUCGCUGCGCGCUCGGCAGGCUGGUAGGGGAACGGACGAGCCAAAAAAAGGGUGGGAGGCGAAGGAGGGGAAAGGGCCAUCAAAGAGGGAGAGAUCUUGGCGUUGCGGAGACUGCGAAGGGGAGAGAACGAGAUAUUGCAACCCAUGGGAUCAGCUACCUGCGCCGCCCAACGGCUACAAGGAGAAAUACAAAACGAUCCUUGGAUCACCAUCCAACGGCACCCACUUCAUGCCGGAAAAUGCCUGGCGGAGCCCGAUCCGGUUUUUUUCCGAACCGCUGGGCGUGAACGUGGAAUUAAAAAGAUAUGCUAUUUUUCAUCACGCGAUCUGCUGAUUUAACAUUGUAAUAACAAGUUUUUUUUUCCACGAAUAUCCUCCUAAAAAUUUAAAUUCAUAAAAUACCUUUUUAAAAUUUAUAUUUAUUUCUGUACCCUCAUAAAAUACUAUUUUUACAUAAUUACUCAUAAUAUAAUGGUUCUUCUAAUACCAUUAAUAAACACUAUAUUUAUUUUAAUUAAAAAUAGAAUAGAAUUUUAAAAUUAUAUUUUUAUAUCUCAUCGUUUUAUAAAUAUUUCUUUAUGUACAUCUACUCAUUAAAGAUAUUUUAGUCAUUUUUAUAUAAAACAGUUAAUUUUUGGCAUGGAUACAUAUGCAAAAAUAAGGACAAAAAAGGGUAGAAUAGCAAAACAAGUGUUUACAAAGGUAUACAUACAAAUAUCAAUUUUGGAAGAAUAUUCAUACAAAAUUCGAUAUUUAGGAUGAUAUUUAUGCAAAAAAUCCUUGAUAACAAUUACUACUUGCUAAUUUGGCAGUGGUUUUAGCUUCUUGUAUAUGAAUGCCUAUUGUUCAUCGUUGCAUUAAAUAAUAAUAAUACUGGUGGUACUAAGAUAAUGAUUUAAACAGUGGUGGGGGUUUUGAUAAUGUUCUUUGUCAUCGAAUAAAAUAUUUUUGUAAUUUAUGUAGCUAUUGAAAUUUAAAAUUCAAUAGGCAUUUUUCUUCAACAGCCACAACAACUUCAUCUAACAUUUCUUUGACAUUUUGUUUUCAUGUUGAUUGGCAUUUGCUAUUCAUUUUCAACAGUUCAAAAUAUUGAUGGGAUUGGAGUAAUGGUUGCAUAGGAAGAACAAUCUUGUGCAAGUAGAGGAAUCAUUAUACCUAUAUCUUCGAGAAAGAUUGUUGCUAGGGCUUGGUUCCCAUAUACAAUAGCAAAAAGAUCAUUGUUAAUCUUUAACAUGUCAGAUUGGUAGCAAGAUUUCAAGUUUCAAAACUUACAUUAUCCUUAACAAAAAUUAAUCUUGGAAAUUGCGGCUAUUUUCAGAUAGCCUUUGUUGAUCUUUAUGCAAAAAUUUCAGCUUAAAAGGUACAAUUUCUUCAUGGUUUGAUUUCAAAAAGCUCUUAGCGUUUUCUUAUUGUCUCAUUCUUAAGGACUUGUUUGGUUCACAUAAAGAGGACGAAAAAAGUAUGGUCGAUGAAAAAUGGAGAAAUACCUCAUGUUUGGUUAGAGAAUUUUCAAAGGAGAGAAAUAAAAACAUAGCUUUUCUGUGAGAAUAAGAUUUCCAUAUUUUAUGAAAAUUUGUGCAACUAUGAGUAAGUCUAAUUUCCACUGAUUAAAAAUUGGGAUAUUUUUUUUCCAGAAAUGCUCUUAAGUUUUUAGAUAGAGUUGGGGUAAGAUCUUUUACUUUACUAUGAACAUGACAAGUAUUUUACAUAACUUUCACCAAAAGAAAGAUGCUCGCCAAACAUAAGCUAUUUUGCAACAUGCCAUUUUUCUAUGAUCAGCUAAUCAUUUCAAAACUAUUUUUUUAGGCAUCAUACACCUAAGCAUCAACUUUUCAUUAAAAAAAUUGAGAAAUUCUUUUUGUGAACCAAAUGAAUUCUAAAAGAUAAAAACACAAGACAAUUAAGGAAACUAUGAAUGUACUACUACGAUAAAUAAAAAUUAGCACGCAUAACAAAUCGAGCAUAUAGAAAAUGUAAAGUGCAUAUCAUGUAAAUUAUUUGGCAGUAACCAUAUUUCUUUAAUUACUUUAUGCACAACAUUUCUUGUAGUAGACUAAUCAAAACGUUCUCUGUUAAUAGGUCUCAUAAGAACCUUGGUCGAAGUUCUCUUAGUUCCUUCUGAUACUGCAACAUAUAAUUGUUCCCUAGAAACUAGUUCAUGCAAGUAAUCCAACAUUUUCAAACUUUGCUAGCCGCAACGGUUUAUGUGGGAAAAAUUUAUGAAGUUCGGUUGAUAUCUCAGCAUCAAUUGCAUUUUCUUGAUAAAUCUCUAUAAAUUAAGCAGGCUCCAUUAGAUAAUCCAGAGGGAAGAUUUCAAGAGUUUCGGAUUCCAUAUGUACUUAUUUUGCGCUAUAGAAAACCAUGCAUACUUGGAUAGGUGACAUCUCCCUAAUCAUAUCGGCAUGCCAGAUCAAAAUAUAAUUUUCUCAUCAACAUACAUGCUAUUUGGAUUAAGUAUUUCACAAUUCAUUAUAAUGGAAGCAAAACUUUUUUUUCUCAGUAGAUUAUCCAUAUCUUGAUUUGUAUCAUUCAAACACACCAUCUAAUGUUUGCACCGCUGACAGUAUCUAUAGACUAUUUUUUUUUGUGGUACAAUAGCGGCUCAUAUUCCUUAGAUAUGAAUGGGGCCAACAAAAUUAGAGAAUAAAUAGCUACAAAGAGGCUUCAGUGCUACACAUGGUCUGCCUAAAUAAAACCCUCAGUGUGAAUUUCUCAGAUAAAUAGCUACAAAGAGUGCUUUCACCGUUAAUGUUCUUUCCAAUCUCUACGCAUUUCACCGCUCCAUUGAAAAUUUUUUCUGCCCCUACUAUACUCCAGCUUGGAAGUUCCCACCGCUCCUUGUAGGACUUAACCCAACAACUUACAGUAUGAACUAAUGACAGCCAUGCACCAUUUAUGUCUGCAUUUUUUGAAAGUACUUUUGUUUUUGAAGAGGAUUCGCGGCGUAUCAAGUCCUGAUAAAAUUUUUGGCUCGAUUUUAAUUAAACCACAUGCAGCAGCGGACCGGUUUAUUUAUGGGCGGGACGGACCCAAGCCGAGCCCUCUCCUUGGUUUUUUUUCCUAGUCCGCUCCCAUCCAUUUUAACCCGCGGCCCGCCCUUCCCUCCGUGACCGAUCUCCUUUCAGACAAGAGCACGACCUCGAGGGCUUCCUUCCCCUUUUGCGCAGCGGGCGGGAAAGAGUGUGAGAAAGGGACGGCGAGCGAGAGAGAUGAGGGAGAGAGGAAAGGCGGAGCAACCCACAGUGGACGAGCGGUAUACCCAAUGGAAGACCCUCAUACCCGUCCUCUACGACUGGCUCGCCAACCACAACCUCGUCUGGCCCUCCCUCUCCUGCCGGUUCGUAUUAUAACCCUCUUUCUUCCUCUCCUCUCCUCUCUUCCUCGCUUUUCUCGGCUAGGGUUCCUGGGGAAGGAGAACACAGGAGGAGGGUCUCGCAUUCUAGGAUUUUAGUUCUUGUCUUCCAUCCUAGGGUUUUGGGCCGUACAAGGGGGUGCUGGAAACGAAGCUGCCUGUCUGUAGGGGAAGAUUAGUAACGAAAAGGAGGCGAUCUUUUCAUGUUCUUGAAGGCUUUGGACUUCGAUUCAAUUAGUGAGACGUUAUAGUCGCUGUUUCUUUUUAUUUAGGGCUUGGAGGCCAAUUUUUUUUCCUGCUUUCUAUUUUUUUUAAAAAAUCUUUUUGAAGUGUAAGCUUCUUGAUUUCUUGGCCUUUUACUUUUCCUUGAAAAAGGUGGGGUCCGCAGCUCGAGCAAGCAACGUACAAGAAUCGUCAACGUCUGUAUCUUUCUGAGCAGGUAAGUGGCCUUAGAUUUAUUUACUGCUUCGUUUAAAACUGUAGAAUUUUAUCAGCCUCGGUAAUAGCAUAUAUUGUUCCGCUGAUUCUGUUUGGUAGUUACGUGUACUUUUUUUUUUUCUUUCAAAAAAAGGGUUCCGAAUGGCCUGCUUGCCUGUUAUCUCACUGAGUUUCUCAUGAAUCAAAUAACAUUACAUAUAAUAUAGGUGAGGGUACGAUGAGCCAAUUUUUGUCGUAUUGAAAAUUAUUAAUGCGUGUGAUUUUUGAAUAAUUGAAUUAUUUAUCUGGAGUAGAAGGGUGCUCUCACUAAUUUACUUACCAUAACUGUUCCUUUUUAUACUGAGUUUGUAAAUCAUCUGAUUUUGUGUUAAAACAAAACUCUUUAUUCAAUUGCAAGCAUCGAACUCAGCAAUUUCCAUAUUAAUUUGUGUUUCUACCCGUAUUUACUCUUUUGUGUUUCCGCGCAAUUACUGGCAUUCUUAUCUUGCUAGAUAUUCACAUAGAUUUCUUUUUGUUUAUUUUGCCCUAUUGUGCCGUGUUCCUUUUUUUUCUCUUAAUGCAUUUUAAAGGUGGCAAAUUAUCAUCUUGAUUGAUAAUAAAUGAGUGUUAGAUUUUUCUGAAGAAGUGGUAGCUUAUUGCUCAUGCAUACUUUCAUGCUUAUGUUUUGCUCACAUUUACACAAGCAUAUUACUUCCAUUGAGCAAAUCUUUUUCAGUAGCAAAUUGUAAAUGCGGAACUUAUACUGUUUGAAUAGUGCUUGUCCAUUGAUCUCUUGUUUACGCUUUUGUUCCAGACUGAUGGCAGUGUUCCUAAUACUCUCGUCAUCGCAAAUUGCGAAGUUGUCAAACCAAGGGUUGCGGCUGCAGAGCAUAUCUCCCAGGUUAAGUGGUCAUGAACUGUUGGUUUUAGUGCUUUUUUACAUUGCUUGAAGUUUGUCAGAGUGGUGCCUGAGUUAUUCCAUAGUUAAUAAGCAUUUUUAAAUAAUCUUAUACUAGAAUAUUGUUUGCUUUGCCAUGGGCUAGUAUGUAUUUACUGCUCAAAUUACAUCCCACUAGGUAAAUUGAAACUUUUUAGUUGCACACAAAUCUUUCAGAAUCUAUUUGCUUUUGUACUCAAUAUUAUGAGAAAAUAAUUUCCAUCUCAGUUUUGAAGUUGUCAUGAAGAGCAUAAAUAUGGUAAGGCUCCUGUUUGGCACGUUAUACUAGGAUUAUUUGCAUGAUAAAAUGUUUUCAUUUGCAUUUAGACUCAUUAGUUUUCUGCUGAUAAUAAAGUACUUUUCUGAUUGCAGUUUAAUGAAGAAGCACGCUCUCCCUUUGUUAAAAAGUUCAAAACUAUCAUACAUCCUGGGGAGGUAUGAAGUGAUUAUUUUAUGGCAACUUAUACUUUGUUUCAACAUUUAUGGUGUGUAUUCAAUCGCAUCUGAAGAUUAUCGGUGUGGUUAUUACCAAAUGUGGUCAUGAUGCCUGAAAAAACUUGAUGAUGUUAAUUCGUCUAGGCAAUUGCCUAGGUCAUCCAAUCAUUUUUCAAGUUAUGGUAAUGAAUUUGCAAAUUAGUCCAAACUUCUUGGCCAAUCAACUUUAAGCAAAAAAUUUGGUUGCUGAAAACCUUUUGUAAAGUUUUAAGGGAAGGCAGGUCAGCUUUUGAGUAAUAGAGGAAGUUGUCAAGGAGCUACUGUCUGUAACUCCACACAUCACUUGGAUCCAGAUUCUUUCAUGUGUUUUACUGAGGGAUCUAUAAUGGGUUCCAUAUGCAAGAGCUUUUAGCAACAUCAAAGGCAUUUAUGAAUUCAAAAAUUUUCAUGUGUUACGAAUGUCUGCCAUCAUGCAGGUUAACAGAAUCAGAGAGCUUCCUCAGAACAGUAAGAUAGUGGCAACACAUACUGACAGCCCUGAUGUAUGUCUUUGAUUAUCUUUAUUCCAGCUGUAUAUAUCAAGUUUACUCUCCAUUUUUUUUUAUUUAUUUUUUGAAGGUUUUGAAAGCUGGAUCCAAUGUUACUUAAGUGUUAAGCUCCAUUGCAGGUACUUAUCUGGGAUGUUGAGGUGCAGCCUAAUCGUCAUGCUGUUUUAGGAGCUGCUGACUCUCGUCCAGAUUUGGUCUGUUGUCAAUCAACUACUUUACCUGAUUAUGCUUUUCUUAAUGCUAAAUUACAGCGCCGAUGGAUAAAGUUAGCAGUUGGUACUGUUUUUAUGAUUUCUGUGCUGAGGAAAAAAGCACGUGCAAUUUGCGUGAAGAUUUAAUUAGGAAACCUUAUAUAUUUAGAUUUUUGGUUGGAAUAUUUCCUUUUAACCAACUGCAACUUGCUAUCUUGUUGUCAUCAUGCAGAUAUUGACAGGACAUCAAGAAAAUGCGGAAUUUGCACUUUCCAUGUGUCCUUCAGAUCCUUUUGUACUUUCCGGAGGUUAGAAACUUUUUUUUUUGGAGAUAUAUAAACACAUGCAUGUACACGUGUGCAUACAGGCAUAAUUCCUUGCUGUAGCUCAUUUCACUUUGUAGGUAUAGAGGCUUCUUGUGUCUGUUGCUUUUGAUAGUCAUGGUAAUUUAUCAUGGAGAGGUUAACCUUGUUGUACCAAUUCUUCUUCCUGUAUGUACUCAUAAAGUUAAAAUGUUGGCUAUUCAUGAAAGCAUGCCAUUGUGCUUUUUAGUUGACAGUUCUCCAGUAUUGGUGUUAUGGGUGCCGUUUGAUUUACUAUUACUAUGGAACUGAUCUUUGAACAAAUUUGUCUUGAUGAAACAUUUUCUUACGCAAUUGAUGCAUCGGAUUAAUUCACAUGGUAUAUUCUGUACAUGCAUCUAAAUAAAUUUCAAGACUUUGUGACCUUGUAUAUAAUUUAUUUUCAGGCCAAAAUUUGCAGGCAUCUGUUAGUCGAGAUUGUUCAGAUUCUUAUGCCUAACACAUUAAUUUUGUUUGCACAUUUUAACAUUAAACUGAAAAUCUCCCUAAUCUUUCUCUUGUAUAUUAUUGUGACCAAGAUAACUAAUUGUAGGGAAGGACAAAUUGGUCGUUCUGUGGAGCAUUCAAGAUCAUAUCUCCACGUUAGCAGAGUCGUCAGCUGCUAAAUCUCCUGCAACACCUGCAAGCUCAAGUGGGAAGCAGCCUGCAAAAGCUGGUAAUGAGAAAAGCUCAGACAGUCCUACGGUUGGACCACGAGGCGUAUACCAAGGGCAUGAAGAUACUGUUGAAGAUGUGCAAUUCUGUCCUUCUAGGUAUAAUAGUAGUUAAAAUUUUGGAGCUGAGACAUAUCAUAUAAUUCUGUGAUUCUUUUACCUCAUAUGUUGGAUCAGCUGUAUCACCAUCAUGAAAAUCCUGUGAGUUGUUCUGGUUCUUGUGAUAUGUUGUUUCUAUGCUGAUAUUUUGUUCCCCGACUGUUAUGAAGCGCACAAGAAUUCUGUAGUGUCGGUGAUGAUUCUUGCCUCAUUCUUUGGGAUGCCCGAACUGGUACUGCCCCAGCCAUCAAGGUAAUUUUUUUUAUUUCCCUUUGUAAUUAUCAUGAAAGUUCACAGGUUUAUAGAGAAGCUUUUUUGUUUCUGAUAGAUUUGCAAAUAUAAAAGUAAAUAAAUAAUAAUCUACAUGGUUGGAAGUUCCAUUGAUCCAUGUUGUUUGCUGAUUGAUGGCAACUUAUAUAUUUCCUAAUCCAUCUAUUUUAAGUCCAACAUUAUUUUAGCAGCAUUUUUAAUUUGGUUUACUUAUGUGAAAAGAAAUCCUAAUAGUUGGAUGCUGAGAAUUUUGCUACCUUAGCUAUGGAGAAAUUGUGUGCUUUAAUUUUGUAUUUAAAAAGCAUCUUCUUCGACAUUUAUUUGGCAAUUCUUUGCCAUUAUGCUACAGCUCAUUCUUCGUUCAUUCUCAAUAUUUUUGUCCAUUAUGUUGAUCAUACUGUACGAGUCGUCGAUAGUGGUUCUAAGAUCUAAUAUUAGCUGGCUAGAUGAACUAACCUUUGUCCAUUUUUAAGUGCAACUGUGUCAGGGACGUUGAUUACCUUUCUCGAGAUGUGUAGUCUUUUUUAGUUUUUGAUGUUCAAAAAUCUUUCAUAUGGUGAGGCAUUUUACCCAAACCCUUUGAUUUAGCCUAAAGUACUCAUGCCCGACCAUGUAACAUGGAUUUCCUAUAACACUUGGAGACAACUAUUUAAGAAGAAAUUCUCAGGUGUUGAAAGGAUCCAAUGCUUAGACAUGCACCUUUGCGUAACACACGAACUUGAGUCCACGUAAUGUAGAAGGUGAGUUACUGAAGCAGGGUGCAGCCUUUUGAGUUAACAAAAGAUUGCUAGGAAAGGGACGGAUAUAGGUGUAAAAGUGAGCAGUUCAAUAUUUGUCAAGUAAUUGGAUGAUGGAGAUGGUAGGGAUGCCAUUUGGUUUGUUAAGUUUGUCUAGGAUGUGGUAGCUCCAUUACAGUGCACCUUAUUCUUUAUUAUGGUUCCCUUUGUCCAUGGAUGAACAAGAAAAAUAUGGCCGGGUUUGUCUGACUCUGACCAAAUCAACUAAUGCAACCAGAGAUUACCAUUAUGUAUAUUCAUUAUGUAUAAGUUGGUCAACAUGAAUUUCAGCUUCGAUAAUUUUGGUGUCUGUCUUUCCAGUUUGGAAAAUUUUGGUGGAUGUGCGAGCAUGAUGCUUGGUUUGUAUGUGUCUUUUUGGGGCGCGCACCCAUGGUGUGUGCUCAUGCGUGUAGGCAUGUGUGUGCAUGGAUUUGUUUGUCUGUCACUAUGCAUGCGUUUUUUCCCCUUUUCUUUUUUGUCCUUUUUUGGAGUGGGAAGGUGCACAAACCAGUGUGUUCUUGUGCUUGUAUCUGUAUAUCAAAGGUGUCUAUGCAUUAGCCUUACAAAACUAUGCACUAGGACAACUUAACCCCCAUUUCAUGUAUAGCCUGUCACUAUUGCAUCCAACAAUUUCAGACUUGGCUUGGAUUUUGAAGUCCUCCAGCAGGAUUGGAUAUGAAGAGGUCCAAAUGGAAUAGGGUAUUGAUAGUAUUCCACACAAAUAUAACUUACUACUAGUAGUUAUAUAAUUUGUUAUGGGAUUAUUGAGUUUAUAAUGGAUAUGUUGAGCAACAAUGAACUGUCUAUCCUCCUUAUUGAGAUGCAUUCGACAACUUAAAAGUAGAAUUCUAGUUUGAGAACUAUUAGGUAACUAGUAGGCAUCCAGAUGCGGUACCAUGUAGCAUUCUUAAACGUUUUGGAUUUGAGACUUUUCCAUAUCUUUGCUAUUAUAGAUUUCGAUUUUAGAAUAUAUCCUAUAGGAUUUCCUCUGUCAACUCUUUUGCUGGAAAUGCCCUCAAUUUAUUCUAAAAGCAUUCAUUUCCGUUUCACACAAAAUAAGAGGAAAAUCAUGUACAACUACUCUCUUUCUCCAUAUUCUCAUGCGCCAUCUUUUCCACUUUUUUUUAAUGAUUCCUCAACUACUUAAAAUCUUUGAAAUUUAAAAUCUAAAUCAAAAGAAAAGAAGUAAACAUCCUUUUUCCUUGAUCCAAACACGAUCCUGUCCUCUCUCUAUAUUUAUUCCUUAUUUACCAAACAUUUCUGUUAAAUGUCUGAACUCUUUCAUUGAUCACAUUCCCACCUGCCCUCCAAAUCUCACA
rnacentral:lncRNA from 1 species